rnacentral:lncRNA from 1 species
AAAGGACAAAAAAGAGGAUAACAAAAGAAAGGAACAGGCACGGAUAGCGAUCGAAGAAGCCUGGGAUACCAUUCCUUUGGCACAAAUAAUAAGAGGUUACAUGUUAAUAACUCAAUCAAUUCUUCGAAAAUAUAUUCUAUUACCUGCAUUGAUAAUAGCCAAAAAUAUCGGGCGUAUGUUAUUCUUGCAACUUCCUGAAUGGUCUGAAGAUUUACAGGAAUGGAAUAGAGAAAUGCAGAUUAAAUGUACUUAUAAUGGUGUUCAAUUAUCAGAAACAGAAUUUCCCAAAAAUUGGUUAAGAGACGGGAUUCAGAUCAAAAUUUUAUUUCCUUUUUGUCUGAAACCUUGGCAUAUAUCUAAACUGUACCCCUCCCGCAGAGAGCUAAUGAAAAAGCAAAAACAAAAAGAUGAUUUUUGUUUUUUAACAGUUUGGGGAAUGGAAGCUGAACUUCCCUUUGGUUCUCCCCGAAAGCGACCUUCAUUUUUUGAGCCCAUUUUUAAGGAACUCGAAAAAAAAAUUGGAAAAUUCAAAAAGAAAUAUUUUCUAACUCUAAAAAUUUUAAAAGGAAAAACAAAAUUAUUUAGAAGAGUUUCAAAAGAAACCACAAAAUUGUUUAUCAAAAGUAUUGGAUUUCUAAAAAAAAUAAAAAAAGAACUUUCAAAAGUAAAUCUAAUUGUAUUAUUUAGAUUCAAAGAAAUAUCUGAAUCCAAUGAAACAAAAAAAGAAAAAGAUUAUCUAAUUAGUAAUCAAAUAAUUAACGAAUCAUUUCGUCAAAUUGAAUCUGGAAAUUGGCCAAAUUCUUCACUGAUAGAAACAAAAAUGAAGGAUUUGACUGAUAGAACAAGUACAAUCAAAAAUAAAAUAGAAAGAAUUACAAAAGAGAAAAAGAAAGUAACUCCAGAAAUAGACAUUAAUCCUAAUAAAACAAAUAAUAUUAAAAAAUUCGAAUCGCCAAAAAAAAUUUUCCAAAUAUUAAAAAGCAGAAAUACUCGAGUAAUAUGGAAAUUCCAUUAUUUUCUAAAAUUAUUCAUUCAAAGAUUAUACAUCAAUUUAUUUUUAUCUAUCAUUAAUAUUCCUAGAAUUACUACACAACUCUUUCUUAAAUCAACAAACAAAUUGAUUGAGAAAUUCAUCUCCAAUAAUGAAAUAAAUCAAGAAAAAAUUAAUAAUAAAAAAAAAUUCACUUUAUGUUUAUUUCGACUAUAAAAAAGUCACUUUAUAAUAUUAGUAAGAAAAAUUCACAUAUUUUGUGUGAUUUAUCCUACUUGUCACAAGCAUAUGUAUUUUACAAAUUAUCACAAACCCAAGUUAUUAAUUUUUCUAAAUUUAGAUCUGUUCUUCAAUAUAACACAACGUCUUGUUUCCUUAAGACUAAAAUAAAGGACUAUUUUAAAACACUAGGAAUAUUUCAUUCGGAAUUAAAAGAUAAGAAACUUCAGAGUUAUAGAAUAAAUCAAUGGAAAAACUGGUUAAGAUGGCAUUAUCAAUACGAUUUAUCUCAGAUUAGAUGGUCUAGAUUAAUGCCAAAAAAAUGGCGAACUAGGGUUAAUCAAAGUUGUAUGGCUCAAAAUAAAAAUAGAAACUUAAACAAAUGGAAUUCAUAUGAAAAAGACCAAUUACUUCAUUACAAAAAAGAAAAUGAUUCGGAACUCUAUUCAUUAUCAAACGAAAAAGAUAAUUUUAAAAAAUGUUAUGGAUAUGGUCUUUUAGCAUAUAAAUCGAUUAAUUAUGAAAAUAAAAGUGACUCAUUUUUUUCUAGAUUACCCUUUGAAGUUCAAGUAAAGAAGAACUUAGAAAUUUCGUAUAAUUCCAACACGUCCAAACACAACUUUGUUGAUAUGCCGGCAAUCUUCAUAUCAAUAAUUAUCUAAGAAAGGGCAAUAUUCUAGAUAGAGAAAGAAAUCUCGAUAGAAAAUAUUUUGAUUGGAAAAUUAUCCAUUUUUCUCUUAGACAAAAAGGAGAUAUUGAAGCCUGGGUUAAGAUCGAUACCAACAGUAAUCCAAAUACUAAAAUUGGUAUUAAUAAUUAUCAAAUAAUUGAUAAAAUUGAGAAAAAGGGGGUUUUUUAUCUUACAACUCAUCAACAUCCAGAAAAAACUCAAAAAAUUCGAAAAAAGUCUUUUUUGAUUGGAUGGGAAUGAAUGAAAAAAUAUUUAAUCGUCCCAUAUUGAAUCUGGAAUUUUGGUUCUUCCCAGAAUUUGUACUACUUUAUAAUGUCUAUAAAAUAAACCGUGGAUUAUACCAAGCAAAUUCCUUCUUUUUAUAUUUGAAUACAAAUAAAAAAAUGUUAGUCAAAAAUAAAAACCAAAAACUUUUUUUCUACCAUCAAAUAAAACAGAAAAAUAAAGAAUCGAAGUCAAGAAGCAAAAGAACCCCCAAGUCAAAGAGAGCGUGGAUCAGAUAUAGAAAACAAAGGAAAUCUGAGCCCAUGUUUCAAAACAUCAAACCGAUCUUGAAAAAGAUUACGUGGAAUCAGACACAAAAAAGGGUAAAAAUAAAAACAUUACAAAAGCAUAAUAAGCAAGUAUAAUUGAUUGUUCUUGGAAGGAAUAAAGUUUUAAUGAAAAAUGAAAAUAAUAAAAAUGGAAACAUACCUAUAGACGAUAAUGUUGAUUAAAGAUAUUACUACUCUAAUACUAAAAAAUUUGAAUACUGAUAUAAAAAGAGAAAUUUAUAAUAAAUUAUUAACAUAUGAGAUAAUAGAAAUAACAACCCAAGGUUGGACUGAUUAGUUAACCAUACAAAGGAUACAAGAUGAGCUUUAUUAUGACAUUAUGAUUUAUAUGAUGAUUUAGAUAUUGGAGAUUAAAUAUGACUGAAUAUUGGCUAAGACGAUAUUGUAGAAUUACAGGUAAAAAAGAUUAAAUAUCCAGAUAAAUUAAGUAGACUUUUAAAAUAUUAUAUAAAAAAUGAUGAUGAAUAAAAAUACUAAAAUAGAAAGAACCAAGAUAGAUAAAAAGGUAAGAAAAAUAUGGAAAAAAUUAAGACCUUGUAUAUAGAAUAUGAACUAUCGCAACUAGUCAAAACAGACAAUGGUAAAAGAUCAAUUGAUAAAUAUAAUUUCGAAACAGAUACAAUAUGUUCGCUAUUUGAAAAAACAGUUAGAACAAAGAAAUUUAUUAAACAACAAUUAAUAGAAAACAUAAUGGAAAAAAUGAGAAAGAACAAGAUUUACAACAUAGAAAAAUAGGUUAGAAGAAUAUAUUAGCAGGAGUAUAUAAUAACCAAUACUAGCACAAAGGAAAAGAUAUAUUAAUGUUAGAAUUAGAAUUAGAUUGUUUUGAAUAUGAAUUACAACAUAAUAUAAUACAUAGAUCAUAAUGAAAAAGAAGAGUUUGCAGUAGACGAAAAAAACAUAUGAAAAUCAAGAUGGAAUGAUAAUAAAAUAGUAUUUUCAAAUUUAGGAAGAAGAUACAAGAGAAUAGGAAAUAAGUUACUUAAUGCUAGAAAAAGAAAUAGCAAAAUUAGAAGAUAGUUUAACAGCUAUGGUAAGAAUAACAAAAAAAAAAUGAAGAAAUAGAUAAAUCAAGAGAAAUUGAAAAAAUAAAAACACAAGCCAAACAAGAAGUAACAAAAUUUAGAAGAAAAAAAAAAUACAAGAAUAGUGAAUUAGAAAAAGAAUUAGCUAGGUUAAAAUUAUUAUAUGAAAAUAAACAAAAACAAAAAGAUAAAGAGCUAGAAUUAANNNNNNNNNNNNNNNNNNNNNNNNNNNNNNNNNNNNNNNNNNNNNNNNNNNNNNNNNNNNNNNNNNNNNNNNNNNNNNNNNNNNNNNNNNNNNNNNNNNNNNNNNNNNNNNNNNNNNNNNNNNNNNNNNNNNNNNNNNNNNNNNNNNNNNNNNNNNNNNNNNNNNNNNNNNNNNNNNNNNNNNNNNNNNNNNNNNNNNNNNNNNNNNNNNNNNNNNNNNNNNNNNNNNNNNNNNNNNNNNNNNNNNNNNNNNNNNNNNNNNNNNNNNNNNNNNNNNNNNNNNNNNNNNNNNNNNNNNNNNNNNNNNNNNNNNNNNNNNNNNNNNNNNNNNNNNNNNNNNNNNNNNNNNNNNNNNNNNNNNNNNNNNNNNNNNNNNNNNNNNNNNNNNNNNNNNNNNNNNNNNNNNNNNNNNNNNNNNNNNNNNNNNNNNNNNNNNNNNNNNNNNNNNNNNNNNNNNNNNNNNNNNNNNNNNNNNNNNNNNNNNNNNNNNNNNNNNNNNNNGGAAUGAAAUCACCGCCCUUGGCAGCACACACAGUCGGACAACAUUGAGUUUGGCAUGCCAUCAUUGCCUAUUGAAACACAGACGGUCGAACGAUGUCCGGGCGUGGCAUGCAUCAUCACCUUUGGGUCAGCACAAACGGUCGAACGACGUUGCCGUGGCAUCCCAUUAUCGCCUUUGGACUAGCUAACACAGUCGAACGGCGUCGGGCGUGGCAUGCCAUCAUCUCCGUUGGAUGGAAAACACGGUCGAACGACGUUGGGCGUGGGCAUAUAACACCGCCUUUGUACAGCACACACGGUUGAACGACGUCGGUCGUGGCAUGAGAUCACCGCCCUUGAACUGAACGAACAGUCGGACGACAUCGAUCGUGGCAUGAUAUCACUGCCCUUGGACGGCCAAAAACGAUCGAACGACGUCGGGCGUGGCAUGCCCACGCCACCUUGGAUAGCACACACGGUCGAAACGACGUCGGCUUGGCAUGCAAUCAUCGCCUUUGGGCAGCACAUACGGUCGAACGAUGUUGGGCGUGGCAUGCCAUCAUGGCUCUUGGAUAGCACAUCACGGUCGAACGACAUCGGGCGUGGCAUCCUAUCAUAGCCCUUGAACGGCAAAUAAGGUUGAACGACGUUGGGCAUGUCAUACCAUCAUCGCCUUUGGACUAGCUGACAUAGUCAGACGAUGUCAGGCGUGGCAUGCCAUCAUCGCCCUUGGACGGGAAAAACGGUCGAACGACGUAGAGCGUGGAAUGCCAUAACCGCCUUGGGACAGCACACACGGUCAGACGACGUCGGGCGUGGCAUGCUAUCAUCGCCUUUGGGCAGCACAGACGGUCGGACGACGUCGAGCGUGGCAUGCCAUCACAACCCUUGGACAACACACAAGGUCGGAUGACAACUGGCGUGGCAUGCCAUCGCCGCCCUUGGACAGCACACACGGUAGGACGACGUGGGCGUGGCUUGAGAUCACCCCUCUUGGACUACACGCAUGGUCAGACGUGGCAUGACAUCACUUCCCUUGGAUAGCACACACGGUCGAACGACGUCAGGCGUGGCAUGACAUCACCGCCCUUGGACUACACGCACAGUUGGACGACGUCAAGCGUGGCAUGACAUCAACGCCCUUGGACAGCACAAACGGUCAGAACGACGUCGGGCAUGGCAUGCCAUCAUCGCCUUUGGGCAGCACACACAAUCGAACGACGUCAGGCGUGGCAAGCCAUCAUGGACCUUGGACAACACACACGGUCGAACGACGUCAGGAGUGGCAUGCCAUUAUAGCCCUUGGACGGCAAACAGGGUCGAACGACAUCAGGCAUGGCAUGCCAUCAUCGCUUUUAAACUAGUUGACACAGUCAGACGGCGUCGGGCGUGGCAUGCCAUCAUCGCCCUAGGACGGCAAACACCGUCGAACGACGUCGGGGGUGGCAUGCCAUCACCGCCUUUGGUCAGCACACACAGUCGGACAACGUCGGGCGUGGCAUGCCAUCGUCUGAUUUGGGCAGCACAGACGGUCGGAUGGGGUCAGGCGUGGCAUGCCAUCAUCGCCCUUGGACAGCACAAACGGUCAGCUGUCGUCGGGCGUGACAUGCCAUAAUAGCCCUUGGACAUCACACACGGUCGACAAUGUCGGGCGUGGCAUCAAAUCACCACCCUUGGACAGCACACACGGUCGAACGACAUCUAGCAUGGCAUGACAUCACUGCCCUUGGACUGCACGGACGAUCGGACGACAUCAGGCGUUGCAUGACAUCACCGCCCUUGGACAACACACAGCCGACAAUGUCGUGCGUGGCAUCACAUCACUACCCUAGGACAAUACACACGGUCGUCAACGUCGGGCGUGGCAUUGCAUCACCUCCCUUGGACAGCAUAAACGGUCGGACGACUUCGGGCGUGGCAUGACAUCACCGCCCUUGGACAGCACACACGGUCAAACGUUGUCGGGCGUGGCAUGACAUCACCGCCAUUGGACUGCACGCACGGUUGGACGACGUCGUUCGUGGCAUGACAAUACCGCCCUUGGACAGCAGACACGGUCGAACGACGUCGGGCGUGGCAUGACCUCACAGCCCUUGGGCAGCACACACGGUCGGACUACGUCGGGCGUGGCAUGCCAUCAUCGUGUUGGGCAGCACACACGGUCGAACGAUGUCGAGCGUGGCAUGCCAUCAUCGCGUUGAGGCAGCACACACGGUCGAACGACGUCAGGCGUGACAUGAGAUCAUCGCCUUAAGGCAGCACAAACGGUCAAACGACGUCAGGCGUGGCAUGACAUCACCGCCCUUGGACUGCACACACUGUCAGCAACGUCGAGCGUGGCAUGACAUCACCGCCCUUUGACAGCACACACGGUCGAUAACAUCGGGCGUGGCAUGGCAUCACCACUCUUUGACAGAACACACAGUCGGCAACGUCGGGCGUGGCAGGCCAUCACCGCCCUUGGGCAGCACACACGGUUAAACGCCUUCGGGUGUGGCAUGCCAUCAUCGCCUUUGGGCAGCACACACGGUCGAACGACAUCGAGCAUGGCAUGAAAUCAAAGCCUUUGGAAAGCACACACGAUCGAACGAUGUCGGGCGUGGGAUGCCAUCAACGCCUUUGGGUAGCAUAUACGAUCGAAUGACGUCGGGCAAGGCAUGCCAUCAGGGCCCUUGGACAGCACACACGGUCGAACGACGUCGGGUGUGGCAUUCCAUCAUGGACCUUUGACAACACACACAGUCGAACAACGUCGGGCGUGGCAUGCCAUCACAGCCCUUGGACGGCAAAAAGAAUCAAACGAUGUUGGGCGUGGCAUGCCAUCAUCGCUUUUAAAUGAGCAGACACAGUCGGACGGCGUCGGGCGUGGUAUGCUAUAUUAUCCCUUGAAUGGCAAACACAUUCAAACGAUGUCGGGGGUGGCAUGCCAUCACCGCCUUUGGACAAUACACACAGUCGGACGACGUCGAGCGUGGCAUGCCAUCAUCUCCUUUGGGCAGCACUGACGGUCGGACGGCUUCGGGCGUGGCAUGCCAUCACCGCCUUUGGACAGCACACACGGUCGGCAAUGUCGGGCAUGGCAUUACAUCACCGCCCUUGGACAGCACACACGGUCGAACGAUGUCUGGCAUGACAUGACAUCACCGCCCUUGGACUGCACACACGAUCAGACGAAGUCGAGCGUGGCAUGACAUCACCACCCUUGGAUAACAAACACGGUCUUUAACGUCGGGCGUAGCAUGACAUCACCGCCCUUGGACAGCACACACGGUUAGACGAUGUUGGGCAUGGCUUGACAUCACCGCCCUUGGACAGAUCACACGGUCCAACGAUGUCGGGCGUAGCAUGACAUCACCGCCCUUGGACUGCAUGUACGGUCGAAUGACGUCGGGCGUGGCAUGCCAUCACUGCCCUUGAACAGCACACACGGUCGGACUUCAUCGGGCGUGGCAUGACAUCACCGCCUUUGGAUAAAACACACGGUCGACCGACGUCGGGCGUGGCAUGCCAUCAUCGCCUUUGGGCAGCACACACAAUCGAACGACGUCGGGCGUGGCAUGACAUCACCGCCUUUGGACAACACACAUAGUGGAACGACGUCGAGCGUGACAUGCCAUCACCGCCUUUGGACAGCACACACGGUCGAAUGAUGUCAUGCGUGGCAUGCCAUCAUCGUCUUAAGACAACAUAAAUGGUCAAACGACGUCAGGCGUGGCAUGACAUCACCGCCUUUGGACAGCACAGACGGUCGAAUGACGUCAGGCGUGGCAUGACAUCACCGCCUUGGGGCAGGCACACACAGUCGAACAACGUCGAGCGUGGCAUACCAUCAUCGCCUUAAGGAAGAUCAAACGGGACGUCGAGCGUGGCAUGAUCAAGUGGGGGAGUUUGUCACGACCCGCAUGAUACCCAGGCAGAUCGCGACCCGUCUAGGAAGCCAGCAGCCUAUGCAAGGGGACAGACAGCCCAAAAAUGGCCAGCAGGCAAAGGGGCAGGCGUCCAAGCAGGCAGCAGACAAAGGGUCAGGCGUUUCAGCUGUUACAAGUAGUUACAGCCAUUACAGGUAGUUACAACCGUUACAGGCAGUUACAGCUGCUGCAGGCAGUUUCAGCCGUUACAGUCAUUUCUGCAGGUGAAGGGGCGAAAGUUUCAAGCCUUGGAGAGGCUUGUUCAAGGCCUCUAGGCGUGGGGCAGACUAGGAGCAGCUAGGAGUCUCUUUUUGGAAGACUUAGAAGCAUGUCUUGUGGGCAUGGACUUAGGGGCUUGUAUAUAGUGUAGCAUUUAUUUACUCUUAGUGUUUAGAGUAGUAUAAAUAGGUAGUCAUUGUAUUUGUAAUACAUCAACCAACAUUGAAUACAAGUCUUUCUUCCAAAACAGUCUUUUGUCUUUCCUUCAGUUUCUCUUAGCGAUCCGAGUAGUGAAAGGCUUACUUGAGUUUGCGAGAUCGUGAAAGAAUCGUGAGCAAACCGUCAAGUGCCGCACGGAGUAUUGUCCAGAUCGAAAAGUCUGUGACACUAUGGAUGGCAAACAUGGUUGAAUGACGUGUGGCGUGACAUGCCAUCACCGCCUUUGGACAGCAGUCAUGGUCGAACGACGUCAGGAAGGGCAUGCUAUCAUCGUCUUUGGGCCGCACAUAUGGUCGAAAGACGUCGAGUGUGGCAUGACAUCACCACCCUUGGACGUCACACACGAUCGAACGUCGUUGGGCGUGGCAUGCCAUCUUUGCCUUUGGGCAGCACACACGAUCGAAUGACGUCGGGCGUGGCAUGACAUCACCGCAUUUGGGCAGCACACACGGUAAAACAACGUCGAGCGUGACAUGCCAUCACCGCCUUUGGAUAGCACACACGGUCGAAUGACGUCGGGCGUGGCAUGCCAUCAUCACCUUUGGGAAGCACUCACGGUCGAACUACGUCGGGCGUGGCAAUGCCAUCAUCGCCUUUGGGAAGCACAAACGGUCGAACGACGUCCGGGCGUGGCAUGCCAACAUCACAUUUGGGCAGCACACAUGAUCGAACGACGUCGGGUGUGGCAUGCCAGCAUCGCCUUUGGGCAGCACACAAGGUCGAAAGACGUCGAACGUGGCAUGACAUCACCUCCUUUGGACAGCGCACACGAUCGAACAACGUCGGGCGCGACAUGCCAUCAUCGCCUUUGGAAAGCACACACGUUCGAACGACGUCGGGCGUGGCAUGCCAUCAUCACCUUUGGGCAGCACAAACAGUCGGACAGCGUCGCGCGUGGCAUGCCAUUAUCUCCUUUAGGAAGCACAAACGGUCAAACGACGUUGGGCGUGGCAUGACAUCACCGCCCUAGGACUGCACGCACAGUCGGACGACGUAGGGCGUGGCAUGACAUCACUGCCCUUGGACAACACACAUGGUCAAACGACGUCGGGCGUGGCAUGACAUCACCGCCCUUGGACGACAUGCACGGUUAAACGACGUCAGGCGUGGCAUGACAUCACCACCCUUUGACAGAACAGAAAAUUGGCAACGUCGGGCGUGGCAUGACAUCACCGCCAUAGAACAGCACAUGGUCGGAUGACGUCGGGCAUGGCAUGAAAUCCCCACCCUAGGGCAGCACACACAGUCGGACUACGUCAAGCGUGGCAUGACAUCACCGCCUUUGUACAGCACACACGGUCGAACGAUGUUGGGCGUGGCAUGCCAUCAUCGCCUUUGGGCAGCACACACGGUUGAACGACUUCGGGCGUGACAUGCCAUCACCGGCCUAGGACUGCACGCGCAGUCGUACGACGUCGGGCGUGGCAUGACAUCACUGCCCUUGGACAACACACAUUGUCGAACGACGUCAGGCAUGACAUGCCAUCACCGCCUUUGGACAGCACACACGGUCGAACGGCGCUGGGCAUGGCAUGCCAUUGUCACCCUUGGACAGCAAACACGAUCGAACAACGUCGGGCAUGGAAUGCCAUCAUCUCCUUUGGGAAGUACACACGGUCGACAUUGUCGGGUGUGGCAUGCCAUCAUGGCCCUUGGACACCACACACGAUCGAACGAAGUCGGUCGUGGCAUGCGAUCAUAGCCCUUGAACGGCAAACAAGGUUGAAUGACGUCGUGCGUGGCAUGCCAUCAUCGCCUUUGGACUAGUUGACACCAUCGGACGGCGUCGGACGUGGCAUGCCAUUAUUGCCCUUGGACGGGAAACACGGUCGAAUGACGUAGAGCGUGGAAUGACAUCAACGCCUUGGGACAGCACACACAAAAGGACAACGUCGGGCGUGGCAUACCAUCACCACCCUUGGACAGCACACAUGGUCGGAUGACGUCGGGUGUGGCAUGCCAUCACUACACUUGGACAGCACACACGGUGGGACGACGUCGGGCGUGACAUGAGAUCACUGCUCUUGGACUGCACGCAUGGUCGGACUACGUCGGGUAUGGCAUGACAUCACCAUGUUUGGACAGCACACACGGUCGAAUGAUGCGUGGCAUGGCAUGACAUCACCUGCCUUGAACUGCACGCACGGUAAGACGACAUCGGGCGUGGCAUGACAUCACCGUCUUGGACAGAACAUACGGUCAGCAACGUCGGGCGUGGCAUGACAUCGCCGCUCUUGGACAGCGCUCAUGGUCGGACGACAUCGGGCAUGGCAUGACAUCACUGCCCUUGGGCAGAAUACACGGUCGGACUACGUCGGGUAUGGCAUGACAUCACCUCCUUUGGACAGCACACACGGUCGAACGACGUCGUACGUGGCAUGCCAUCAUCGCCUUUGGGAAGCACACACGGUCGAAUGACGUCGGGCGUGGCAUACCAUCAUAGCCCAUGGAUGGCAAACACGGUCGAACGACGUCAAGCGUGGCAUGACAUCAACGCCCUUGGACAGCACACACGGUCAGAACGACGUCGGGCAUGGCAUACCAUCAUCGCCUUUGGGCAGCACACACAGUCGAACGACGUCAGGCGUGGCAAGCCAUCAUGGACAUUGGACAACACACACGGUCGAACGACGUCAGGCGUGGCAUGCCAUUAUAGCCCUUGGACAGGCAAACAGGGUCGAACGACAUCAGGCGUGGCAUGCCAUCAUCGCUUUUAAACUAGCUGACACAGUCGAACGGCGUCGAGCGUGGCAUGCCAUCAUCGCCCUAGGACGGCAAACACCGUCGAACGACGUCGGGGGUGGCAUGCCAUCACCGCCUUAGGUCAAGACACAUAGUCGAACGACGUCGGGCGUGGCAUGCCAUCGUCUCAUUUGGGCAGCACAGACGGUCGGAUGGCGUCGGGCGUGGCAUGCCAUCAUCGCCCUUGGACAGCACAAACGGUCGGCUGUCGUCGGGCGUGACAUGCCAUAAUAGCCCUUGGACAUCACACACGGUCGGCAACUUCGGGCGAGGCAUUAAAUCACCGCCCUUGGACAGCACACACGGUCGAACGUCGUCUAGCAUGGCAUGACAUCACCGCCCUUGGACUGCACGGACGAUCGGACGACGUCGGGCGUUGCAUGACAUCACCGCCCUUGGACAACACACAGCCGGCAAUGUCGUGCGUGGCAUCACAUCACCACCCUAGGACAAUACACACGGUCAUCAACGUCGGGCGUGGCAUGACAUCACCUCCCUUGGACAACACAAACGGUCGGACGACGUCAGGCGUGGCAUGACAUCACCGCCCUUGGACAGCACACACGGUCGAACAAUGUCGGGCGUGGCAUGACAUCACCGCCAUUGGACUGCACGCAUGGUUAGACGACGUUGUUCGUGGCAUGACAACACCGCCCUUGGACAGCAGACACAGUCGAUCGACAUCGGGCGUGGCAUGACCUCACAGCCCUUGGGAAGCACACACGGUCGGACUACGUCGGACGUGGCAUGCCAUCAUCGCGUUGGGCAGCACACACGGUCGAACGACGUCGGGCGUGGCAUGCCAUCAUCGCGUUGAGGCAGUACACACGAUCGAACGACGUCGGGCGUGACAUGCGAUCAUCGCCUUAAGGCAGCACAAACGAUCAAACGACGUCAGGCGUGGCAUGACAUCACCGCCCUUGGACUGCACGCACUGUCAGCAACGUGGAGCGUGGCAUGACAUCACCGCCCUUGGACAGCACACACGGUCGAUAACGUCGGGCAUGGCAUGGCAUCACCACUCUUUGACAGAACACACAGUCGGCAACGUCGGGCGUGGCAGGCCAUCACCAUUGGGCAGCACACACGGUUAAACGCUAUCGGGUGUGGCAUGCCAUCAUCGCCUUUGGGCAGCACACACGGUCGAAUGACGUCAGGCAUGGCAUGAAAUCAACGCCUUUGGAAAGCACACACGAUCGAACGAUUUCGGGCGUGGCAUGCCAUCAACGCCUUUGGGUAGCAUAUACGAUCGAAUGACGUCGGGCAAGGCAUGCCAUCACAGCCCUUGGACAGCACACACGGUCGAACGACGUCGAGUGUGGCAUUCCAUCAUGGACCUUUGACAACACACACAGCCGAACAACGUCAGGCGUGGCAUGCCUUCAUAGCCCUUGGACGACAAAAAGGGUCGAACGACGUUGGGCGUGGCAUGCCAUCAUCGCUUUUAAACGAGCAGACACAGUCGGACGGCGUCGGGCGUGAUAUGCCAUCAUCUCCCUUAAACGGCAAACACAGUCAAACGAUGUCGGGGGUGGCAUGCCAUCACCGCCUUUGGAGAACACACACAGUCGGACGACGUCGGGCGUGGCAUGCCAUCAUCUCCUUUGGGCAGCACUGACGGUCGGACGGCUUCGGGCGUGGCAUGCCAUCAUCGCCUUUGGAAAGCACACACGGUCGGCAAUGUCGGGCGUGGCAUUACAUCACCGCCCUUGGAAAACACACACGGUCGAACAACGUCUGGCAUGGCAUGACAUCACCGCCCUUGGACUGCACACACAAUCAGAAGACAUCGAGCGUGGCAUAACAUCACCGCCCUUGGAUAACAAACACUGUCUUUAACGUCGGGCGUAGCAUGACAUCACCGCCCUUGGACAGCACACACGGUCAGACGAUGUUGGGCAUGGCUUGACAUCACCGCCCUUGGACAGAACACACGGUCGAACGAAGUCGGGCGUAGCAUGACAUCACCGCCCUUGGACUGCAUGUACGGUCGGAUGACGUCGGGCGUGGCAUGACAUCACUGCCCUUGGACAGCACAGACGGUCGGACUUCGUCGGGUGUGGCAUGACAUCACCACCUUUGGACAACACACACGGUCGACCGACGUCGGGCGUGGCAUGCCAUCAUCGCCUUUGGGCAGCACACACAAUCGAACGACGUCGGGCGUGGCAUGACAUCACCACCUUUGGACAACACACACAGUGGAACGACGUCGAGCGUGACAUGUCAUCACCGCCUUUGGACAGCACACACGGUCGAAUGAUGUCAUGUGUGGCAUGCCAUCAUCGUCUUAAGACAACAUAAAUGGUCAAACGACGUCAGGCGUGGCAUGACAUCACCACCUUUGGACAGCACAGACGGUCGAACGACGUCAGGCGUGGCAUGACAUCACCGCCUUGGGGCAGGAACACACAGUCAAACGACGUCGAGCGUGGCAUGCCAUCAUCGCCUUAAGGAAGAACAAACGGGACGUCGAGCGUGGCAUGACAUCACCGCCUUUGGACUGCUCGCACGGUCGGCAACAUCGGGCGUGGCAUGACAUCACCGCCUUUGGCCAGCACACACGGUCGAACGACGUCGGGCGUGACAUGACAUCACCGCCUUUAGACAACACACGCGGUGGAGCAACUUCGGGCGUGGCAUGCCACAUUGCCUUUGGACUAGCUGACACAGUCGGACGGCGUCGGGUGUGGCAUGGCAUCGUCACCCUUGGACGGGAAACACGGUCGAACGACGUAGAGCGUGGCAUGUAAUCAAUGCCUAGGGACAGCACACACAGAAGGACGACGUUGGGUGUGUCAUGCUAUCAUCGCCUUUGGGCAGCACAGACGAUCGGACGACGUCGGGCGUGGCAUGCCAUCACCACCCUUAGACAGCACACGUGGUCGAAUGACAUUGGGCGUGGCAUGCCAUCACCGUCCUUGGAAAGCACACACGGUAGAACUAGGUCGGGCGUGGCAUGACAUCACCGCCUUUUGAUAGCACACACGGUCGAACGACGUCGGGCGUGGCAUGCCAUCAUCGCCUUUGGGCAGCACACACGGUCAAACGACGUCGGGCGUGGCAUGCCAUCAUAGCCUAUUGUAACGAUCCGCCUGAUACCUAGGCAGAUCGCGACCCAUCUAGGCAGCCAGCAGCCUGUGCAAGGGGACAGACAGCCCAAAAAUGGCCAGCAGGCAAAGGGGCAUGCGUCCAAGCAGGCAGCAGACAAAAGGUCAGGCGUUUCAGCUGUUACAAGCAGUUACAGCCGUUACAGGCAGUUACAGCCGUUGAAGGCAGUUUCAGCUAUUACAGUUGUUUCUGCAUGUGAAAGGGCGGCAGUUUCAAGCCUUGGAGAGGCUUGUUCAAGGCCUUUAGGUGUGGGGCAGACUAGGAGCAGCUAGGCGUCCCUUUUUGGAAGACUUAGAAGCAUGUCUUGUGGGCAUGGACUUAGGGGCUUGUAUAUAGUGUAGCAUUUAUUUACUCUUAGUGUUUAGAGUAGUAUAAAUAGGUAGUCAUUGUAUUUGUAAUACAUCAACCAACAUUUGAAUACAAGUCUUUCUUCCAAAAUAGUCUUUUGUCUUUCCUUUAAUUUCUCUUAGCGAUCCCAGUAGUGAAAGGCUUACUUGAGUUUGCGAGAUCGUGAAAGAAUCGUGAGCAAACCAUCAAGUGCCGCACGGAGUAUUGUCCAGAUCGAAAAGUUUGUGACAAUUGGUAUUAGAGCAGGUUCAUCGUAAGAGAAUGACGAACGAAGGAGAAGGCGCUAGCAGCACCCCCAACGUCCGCACUGAUGGUUGCAAGAAGAACAAGAAAGGGAAGAAGCAGCAGACGGGUAAUGAACCCAAUCUGCCCGGUCUUCCCCCAAGUGUUCCUCCACCAAGUGUUCCUACCCCAAGCGAAGGGAAGACAUCUCUCCCUCCCCAUAUUGUCGAUGGAAGUGACUAAGACACCGGCGAGGAGAUCGUGGACGUUACUGUCGGACAGGAGUGGAUUGCAAGGGUAGAAAAGGUAAGGCAAGCCGUUGAGAUCAUAGGCCACCGCUUGAACGGAACGGACAAAAAUCUUAAAGCUCUUGAAGAGUACUCCCUUGAGGAAGUUGACAGCGUCUGGAAGGAGGUUGAGACACGCCAGCGAGCAGAGUUCGAGACAAAGGAGGCCAUUACUUCCUUAGAGUUCAGGCUUAGGGAAGCACUUGGCGCAGUUGAGUCGCUUAAGGCCGAAGUGGCAGAACUCAAGGAAGAGAGAGAGGUUGGUGGAUCCUCAUCACAUGACCGGAAAAGGGAAGCCAGAGUUGAGGCGCCCAAGCCAUCUGUCUUCAAAGGCGUCCGUGACGCGCAAGCCGUGGAUAAUUUCCUUUGGCACUUGGAAAAUUAUUUCAAGUGUACGCGGGUUCGUAGUGAUGUGAACAAGAUCAACACGGCUGUGUUGUAUCUUUUAGAGUUGGCCAUGCUAUGGUGGAAGCAUAAAGAGUCUGACAUCGCAAAGGGGACAUUCGCGUUGAACACAUGGGAGCAGUUUUGUGUGCGGUUCAAGAAGGCGUUCCUCCCUAGCAACGUUGUCUAUGAGGCAAAGCGCAAGAUGCGGGAGUUGAGACAGAAGGGCAGCAUACGCGUGUAUGUGCAGGAGUUUACCACCCUUACAUUUCAGAUUCCCAACCUCAUGGACGACGACGCAUUGUUCUACUUCAUGGAUGGGCUGCAAAAUUGGGCAAGAAAAGAGUUGGAACGGCGGCAAGUCAGGACUAUAGACGACGCUAUUCCACAGGUUGAAGCCUUGACAGACUUCAGGCACGAGAAGUCCUUCAGUGCCGAUGAGGACAAUGAGGUAAGCAGUCAUGAUGAUAGUGGGGAAGACAGUGGCGAAGGUGAGGAGCAAAUGCCACAACCCAAAAGGCGUAACACCUACGGGUCCAGCGGCAAGAAGCCCGGAGAUCGUGGCAACACGGUAAGGGAUUCCUAGGAUGGUUGCUUUAUAUGCAAAGGGCCGCAUGGUUACAAAAGAUGCCCUGAACUCAAAAGUCUUGGUGCUAUCCUUCGUGAGCGGAAGGAAGAGAAGGCCCAAGAGGAAGUCGGGGAGACUAAGCAGUUGGGCGUGGUAAGCCUAUGCGGAGCUGCGAUUGAACAACCAUCGACGAGGCCAAGGCAAGAUAAGCCAAGGCAAGCAGAGUCGAAGCAUGCUGAGAAGGGACUUGCAAAGUCUAAGGCGUGGGCUCAAAUGGUCACGAUCAAUGGGAAUAUUGCUCGUGCUUUGGUCGACACCAGUGCGGAGGUCAAUGUUAUGACCAAGACGGCAGCAAAGAGGUUGGGGUUGCGAUAUACUGCAAGCAAUGCCCAAAUCAGAACUAUCAACGCAUUACCGACUCCUAUAGUUGGAGUUGCGCACGGGGUGAACAUCACGGUAGGCGAUUGGCAAGGGAAAACCAAGUUCAUCGUCGCCCCCAUCAAUAUGUUUGAUGUUAUUCUUGGGCAGAAGUUCUUCCAGCAGCGCCAUGCAGUAAUCGAUCCUCAUCUCCAAAAAUUGACAAUCAUGGAGAAAGGAAGGGAAUAUACAGUUCCCAUGGUGAAGGCGCAGGCAACGGAGGGACAGGCUAGACUGACAACCAUGAAGCUCGAGAGGGUCGAUUUAAGAAGAAGGUUAACACCAGCAGUGACCAUUGCAAGUUCGAGAGAAGACAAUGGUGCUAGAAACACCUUGCUACCGCGCAGGAAGAGGUUCCGAGUAGCUAGAAUUGAAAGAUGCUGCCGGAGCACUUGCCUCCGUUGAAGGAGGAAGUUCGGAAGAUCGCGUCGAGAAAGGUCGGGAAAUCGAUGAAGAGGCUGCUCGAAGGGAUUGAUCGAGUACGCGAGUUGAUGGUCGCCCGGCAGAAAUCAACGCCGAUACGGACGCAAUGCGACGCGGUCGUCGCAUCAUCAAGUGGGGGAGUUUGUCACUGACCCGCAUGAUACCCAGGCAGAUCGCGACCCGUCUAGGCAGCCAGCAGCCUGUGCAAGGGGACAGACAGCCCAAAAACAGCUAGCAGGCAAAGGGGCAGGCGUCCAAGCAGGCAGAAGACAAAGGUUCAGGCGUUUCAGCUGUUACAAGCAGUUACAGCCGUUACAGGCAGUUACAGCCGUUACAGGCAGUUUCAGCCGUUACAGGCAGUUUCAGCCGUUACAGUCAUUUCUGCAGGUGAAGGGGCGGCAGUUUCAAGCCUUGGAAGGGCUUGUUCAAGGCCUCUAGGCGUGGGGCAGACUAGGAGCAGCUAGGAGUCUCUUUUUGGAAGACUUAGAAGCAUGUCUUGUGGGAAUGGAAUUAGGGGCUUGUAUAUAGUGUAGCAUUUAUUUAUUCUUAGUGUUUAGAGUAGUAUAAAUAGGUAGUCAUUGUAUUUGUAAUACAUCAACAAACAUUUGUAUACAAGUCUUCCUUCCAAAACAGUCUUUUGUCUUUCCUUCAGUUUCUCUUAGCGAUCCAAGUAAUGAAAGGCUUACUUGAGUUUGCGAGAUCGUGAAAGAAUCGUGAGCAAAUCGUCAAGUGCCGCACGGAGUAUUGUCCAGACCGAAAAGUCUGUGACACUAUGGACGGCAAACACGGUUGAACGACGUCAGGCAUGACAUGCCAUCACCGCCUUUGGACAGCAGACACGGUCGAACGACGUCAGGUAGGGCAUGCUAUCAUCGUCUUUGGGCCGCACACACGGUCGAAAGACGUCGGGUGUGGCAUGACAUCACCACCCUUGGACGUCACACACGGUCGAACGUCGUUGGGCGUGGCAUGCCAUCUUCGCCUUUGGGCAGCACACACGAUCGAAUGACGUUGGGCGUGGCAUGACAUCACCGUAUUUGGGCAGCACACACGGUCAAACAACGUCGAGCGUGACAUGCCAUCACCGCCUUUGGAUAGCACACACGGUCGAAUGACGUCGGGCGUGGCAUGCCAUCAUCACCUUUGGGAAGCACACACGAUCGAACUACGUCGGGCGUGGCAAUGCCAUCAUCGCCUUGGGGAAGCACAAACGGUCGAACGACGUCCGGGCGUGGCAUGCCAACAUCACCUUUGGGCAGCACACACGAUCGAACGACGUCGGGUGUGGCAUGCCAGCAUCGCCUUUGGGCAGCACACACGGUCGAAAGACGUCGAGCGUGGCAUGACAUGCGCACAUGAUCGAACAACGUUGGGCGCGACAUGCCAUCAUCGCCUUUGGAAAGCACACACGAUCGAACGACGUCGGGCGUGGCAUGCCAUCAUCACCUUUGGGCAGCACAAACAGUCGGAUGGCGUCGCGCGUGGCAUGCCAUUAUCUCCUUUAGGCAGCACAAAUGGUCAAACGACGUCGGGCGUGGCAUGACAUAUACCGCCCUAGGACUGCACGCAUAGUCGGACGACGUCGGGCGUGGCAUGACAUCACUGCCCUUGGACAACACACAUGGUCGAACGACUUCGGGCGUCGCAUGACAUCACCGCCCUUGGACGGCAUGCACGGUCGAACGACGUCAGGCGUGGCAUGACAUCACCACCCUUGGACAGAACAGAAAAUCGGCAACGUCGGGCGUGGCAUGACAUCACCGCCAUAGGACAGCACACGGUCGGACGACGUCGGGCAUGGCAUGACAUCCCCGCCCUAGGGCAGCACACACAGUCAGACUACGUCAAGCGUGGCAUGACAUCACCGCCUUUGUACAGCACACACGGUCGAACAACGUCGGGCGUGGCAUGCCAUCAUCGCCUUUGGGCAGCACACACGGUCGAACGACGUCGGGCGGGGCAUGUCAUAAUAGCCCAUGGACGACAAACACGGUCGAACGACGUCAGGCGUGACAUGCCAUCACCGUCUUUGGACAGCACACACGGUCGAACGACGUCGGGCGUGGCAUGCCAUAAUCGCCUUAAGGCAGCACACACAGUCGAAAGACGUCGGGCGUGGCAUGAAAUCACCGCCUUUAGACAGCACACACGGUCGAACGAAGUCGCGCGUGGCAUGACAUCACCGCCCUUGGACGGCAUGCGCAGUCAAACGACGUCGGGCGUGGCAUGACAUCACCACCCUUGGAUUGCACAGACAAUCAGCAACGUAGGGCGUGGCAUGACAUCACCGCCAUAGUGUCGCACACGGUCGGAGGAUGUCGGGCAUGGCAUAACAUCACUGCCCUUGGUCAACACACACGGUUGGACUACGUCAGGCGUGGCAUGACAUCACCGCCUUUGUACAACACACACGGUCGAACGACGUCUGGCGUGGCAUGCCAUCAUCGCCUUUUGGCAGCACACACGAUUGAAUGACGUCUGGCGGGGCUUGCCAUAAUAGCCCAUGGAUGGCAAACACGAUCGAAUGACGUCAGGCGUGACAUGCCAUCACCACCUUUGGACAACACACACGGUCGAACGACGUUGGGCGUGGCAUGCCAUCUUGACUUUGGGAAGCACACACAGUCGAAAGAUGUCGGGCGUGGUAUGAUACACCAUCUUUGGGCAGCAAACACGGUCAAACGACGUCGGGCGUGACAUGCCAUCACCGCCUUUAGACAACACACACGGUCGAACGAAGUUGGGCGUGGCAUGCCAUCAUCGCCCUUGAACGACAAACAAGGUUGAAUGACGUCAGGCGUGGCAUGCCAUCAUCGCCUUUGGAUUAGCUGACACAGUCGGACGGCGUCGGGUGUGGCAUGCCAUCUUCGCCCUUGGAUGGGAAACACGGUCAAAUGACGUAGAGCGUGGCAUGCCAUCAACGCCUAAGGAAAGCACACAAGGAAGGAUGGCGUCGGGCGUGGCAUGCUAUCAUCUCCUUUGGACAGCACACAUGGUUGGAUGACGUCGGGCGUGGCAUGCCAUCACUGCCCUUGGACAGCACACACGGUAGGACGACGUCGGGCGUAGUAUGAGAUCACCACUCUUGGACUGCACUCAUGGUCGGACUACGUCGGGCGUGGCAUGACAUUACCACCUGUGGACAGCACACACGGUAGAAUGACGCGUGGCAUGGCAUGACAUCAUCGCCCUUGAACUGCACGCACGGUCAGAUGACAUCAGGCGUGGCAUGCCAUCACCGCCUUUGGACAGCACACACAGUCGGACGACGUCGGGCGUGGCAUGCCAUCAUCUCCUUUGGGCAGCACAGACGGUCGGACGGCUUCGGGUGUGGCAUGCUAUAAUCGCCCUUGGACAGCACAAACUAUCGGCCGUCGUCGGGCGUGGCAUUACAUCACCGCCCUUGGACAGCACAUACGGUCGAAUGACGUCUACCAUGGCAUGACAUCACCGCCCUUGGACUGCACGCAUGAUCAGACGAAUUCGAGCGUGGCAUGACAUCACCGCCCUUGGAAAGCACACAGCCGGCAAUGUCGAGCGUGGCAUGACAUCACCGCCCUUAGACAACACACACGGUCGUUAACGUCAGGCGUGGCAUGACAUCACCGCCCUUGGAUAGCACACACGGUCGAACGACGUCGGGCGUGGCUUGACAUCACCGCCCUUAAACAUAACACACGAUCGAACAAUUUCGGGCGUGGCAUGACAUCACUGCCCUUGAACUGCACGUACGGUCAGACGACGUCGGGCGUGGCAUGACAUCACUUCCCUUGGACAACACACACGGUCGGACUUCGUCGGGCGUGGCAUGACAUACCGCCUUUGGACAACACACACAGUCGAUCGACGUAGGGCGUGGCAUGCCAUCAUCGCCUUUGGGCAGCACACACAGUCGAACAACGUCAGGCGUGGCAUGACAUCACCGCCUUUGGACAGCACACAAGGUUGAAUGACGUCAAGCCUGGCAUGCCAUCAUAACCUUUGGGCAGCACACACGGUCGAACUACUUCGGGCGUGGCAUGCCAUCAUCGCCUUAAGGAAGCACAAAUGGUCAAACGACGUUAGGCGUGGCUGGACAUCACCGCCUUUGGACAGCACACACGGUCUAACGACGUCAGGCGUGGCAUGACAUCACCACCUUGGGGUAGGCACACACGGUUGAACGACGUCGAGCGUGGCAUGCCAUCAUCGCCUUAAGGCAGAACAAAUGGUCAAGCGACGUCGGGCGUGGCAUGACAUCACCGCCCUUGGACUGCUCGCACGGUCGGCAACGUCGGGCGUGGCAUGACAUCACCGCCUUUGGACAGCACACACGGUAGAACAACGUAAGGCGUGACAUGACAUCACACCUUUAGACAACACACACGGUGGAACGACGUCGAGCGUGGCAUGCCAUCAUCGCCUUUGGACUAGCUGACACAGUCGGAUGACGUUGGGCGUGGCAUGCCAUCAGCGCCCUUGGACGGGAAACAUGAUCGAAUGACAUAGAGCGUGGCAAGCCAUCAACGUCUAGGGACAGCACACACGGAAGGACGACGUCGGGCGUGUCAUGCUAUCAUCACCUUUGGGCAGCACAGACGGUUGGACGACGUUGGGCGUGGCAUGCCAUCACCGCCCUUGGACAGCAACAUGGUCGGAUGACAUUAAGCAUGGCAUGCCAUCACCGCCCAUGGACAGCACACACGAUAGGACUACGUCGGGCGUGGCAUGACAUCACAACCUUUGGUCAGCACACACGGUCGAACGACGUCGGGCGUGGCAUGCCAUCAUCGCCUUUGGGCAGCACACACGGUCGAUCGACAUCGGGCGUGGCAUGCCAUCAUAGCCUAUGGACGGCAAACACCGUCGAACGACGUUAGGCGUGACAUGCCAUCACCGCCUUUGGACAGCAGACACGGUCGAACGACGUCGGGUACGACAUGCUAUCAUUGCCUUUGGACCGCACACAUGGUCAAAAGACGUCGGGCGUGGCAUGACAUCACCGCCUUUGUACAGCACACACGGUCAAACGACGUCGGGCGUGAGAUAUCAUCACAGCCUUUGGACAGCGCACACGGUCGAACAACGUCGUGCGUGGCAUGCAAUCAUCACCUUUGGGCAGCACACACGGUCUAACUACGUCGAGCGUGGCAUGCCAUCAUCGCCGUUGGGCAGCACCAACGGUCGAACGACGUCGGGCGUGGCAUGCCAUCACCGCCUUUCGAUAGCACACACGGUCGAACGACGUCGGGUAGGGCAUGCCAUCAUCGCCUUUGGACAGCACACACAGUCGAAAGACGUCGGGCGUGGCAUGACAACUCACGCCUUUGGACAGCACACACGAUCAAACGACGUCGGGCGUGAUAUGCCAUCACCGCCUUUGGACAUCACACACGGUCGAACGACGUCGGGCGUGGCAUGCUAGCAUCGCCUAAAGGCAGCACACACAGUCGAAAGAUGUCGGGCGUGGCAUGACAUCACCGCCUUUGGACAGCACACACGGUCGAACGACGUCGGGCGUUACAUGCCAUUACCGCCUUUGGACAGCACACACGGUCGAACGACGUUGGGCAUGGCAUGCCAUCAUCACCUUUGGGCAGCACAAACGGUUGGACGGCAUCGGGCGUGGCAUGCCAUCGUCGCAUUUGGGCAGCACACAAUCAUCGCCUUUAGGCAGCACAAACGGUCGAACGACAUCGGGCGUGGCAAGCCAUCAUCACCUUUGGGCAGCACACACGGUCGAAUGACGUCGGGCGUGGCAUGCCAGCAUCCUUUUAAGGCAGCACACACAGUCGAAAGACGUCGAGCGUGGCAUGACGUCACCGCCUUUUGACAGCACACACGGUCGAAUGACGUUGGGCAUGACAUGCCAUCCCCACCUUUGGACAGCACACACGGUCGAACGACGCUGGGCAUGGCAUGCCACCAUCACCUUUGGGCAGCACAAACGGUCAAACGGCAUCGGGCGUGGCAUGCCAUCGUCACCCUUGGACGGCAAACACGGUCGAAUGACGUCGGGUGUGGAAUGCCAUCAUCUCCUUUGGGCAGUAUGCACGGUCGACAUCGUCAGGCAUGGCAUGCCAUCAUGGACCUUGGACACCACACACGAUCGAACGAAGUCGGUCGUGGCAUGCCAUCAUAGCCCUUGACCGGCAAACAAGGUUGAAUGACGUCGGGCGUGGCAUGUCAUCAUCGCCUUUGGACUAGCUGACACCAUCGAACGGCGUCGGGCUUGGCAUGCCAGCAUCGCCCUUCGACGAGACACACGGUCGAACGACGUAGAGCGUGGAAUGCCAUCAACGCCUUUGGACAGUACACAUGGUCGGAUGACGUCAGGCGUGGCAUGCCAUCAUCGCCUUUGGGCAGUACACAUGGUCGGAUGACGUCGGGCGUGGCAUGCCAUCACUACCCUUGGACAGCACACACGGUAGGACGACGAUGGGCGUGGCAUGACUUCACCGCUCUUGGACUGGACGCAUGGUCGGACUACAUCGGGCAUGGCAUGACAUCACCACCUUUGGAAAGCACGCACGGUCGGCAACGUCGGGCGUGGCAUGACAUCGCCGCUCUUGGAUAGCACGCAUGGUCGGACAACAUCGGGCAUGGCAUGACAUCACCGCCCUUGGGAAGCACACACGGUCGGACUACAUCGAGCGUGGCAUUCCAUUAUCGCCUUUGGGCAACACAAGGUCGAAAGACGUCAGGCGUGGAAUGACAUCACCUCCUUUGGACAGCGCACACGGUCGAACGACGUCGGGCGCAACAUGCCAUCAACGCCUUUGGAAAGCACACACGAUCGAACGACGUCGGGCGUGGCAUGCCAUCAUCACCUUUGGGCAGCACAAACGGUCGGACGGCGUCGGGCGUGGCAUGCGUUCAUCGCCCUUGGACGGUGAACACGGUCGAACGACGUCGGGUGUGGCAUGCAUUAUCGCCUUUGGGCAGCACACACUGUCGAAAGCCGUCGGGCGUGGCAUUCCAUCAUGGCCCUUGGAUAGCACACACGGUCGAACGACGUUGGGCGUGGCAUGACCUCAUAGCCCUUAAAUGGCAAACAAGGUUGAACGACGUCGGGCGUGGCAUACCAUCAUCGCCUUUGGACUAGUUGACACGGUCGAACGACGUUGAGCGCAGGCAUUCCAAUAUCGCCUUUGGGCAACACACACGGUCGAACGACGUCAAGCGUGGCAUGCCAUUAUCUCCUUUAGGCAGCACAAACGGUCAAACGACGUCGGGCGUGGCAUGACAUCACCGCCCUAGGAUUGCACGUACUGUCAGACGACGUCGGGCGUGGCAUGAAAUCACCGCCCUUGGACAGCACACACGGUCGAACGACAUCGGUCAAGGCAAGACAUUACCGCCCUUAGAUGGCACGCAUGGUCGAACGACGUCGGGCGUGGCAUGACAUAACCACCCUUGGACAACACAGACAAUCGGCAACGUCGGGCGUGGCAUGCCAUCACCACCUUGGACAUCACACACGGUCGGAUGACAGUCGAGCUUGGCAUGCCAUCACCGCCCUUCGACAACACACAUGGUAGGACGACGUCGGGCGUGGCAUGACCUCACCGCCCUUGGGCAGCACACACGGUCGGACUACGUCGGGCGUGGCAUGGCAUCACCGCUCUUUGACAGAACGCACAGUCGGCAACAUCGGGCGUGGCAGGACAUCACCGCCCUUGGGCAGCACACACGACUAAACGCCAUCGGGUUUAGCAUGCCAUCAUCUCCUUUGGGCAGCACAUACGGUCGAACAACGUCGGCCAUGGCAUGAAAUAAACGCCUUUGGAAAGCACACACGACCGAACGAUGUCGGGCGUGGCAUGCCAUCAUCGCCUUUGGGUAGCACAUACGAUCGAAUGACGUCGGGCAAGGCAUGCCAUCAGAGCCCUUGGACAGCACACACGGUCGAACGAUGUCGGGUGUGGCAUUCCAUCAUGGACCAUGGAAAACACACACGGUCGAACAACGUCGGGCGUGGCAUGCCAUCAUAGCCCUUGAACGGCAAAAAGGGUUGAACGACAUUGGGCGUGGCAUGCCAUCAUCACUGUUAAAUGAGCUGACACAGUCGGAGGCGUCGGUAGUGGUAUGCCAUCAUCUCCCUUGGACGGCAAACACAGUCAAACGGUGUCGGGGGUGGCAUGCCAUCACCGCCUUUGGACAGCACACACAGUCGGACGAUGUCGAAAGUGGCAUGCCAUCAUCUCCUUUAGGCAGCACAGACGGUCGGACGGCUUCGGGCGUGGCAUGCCAUCAUCGCCCUUGGACAGCACACACGGUAGGCAAUGUCGGGCGUGGCAUUACAUCACCGCCCUUGGAGAGCACACACGGUCGAACGACGUAUGGCAUGGCAUGAUAUCACGGCCCUUGGACUGCACGCACAAUCAGACGACGUCGAGCGUGGCAUGACAUCACCGCCUUUGGAUAACAAACACGGUCUUUAACGUCGGGCAUAGCAUGACAUCACCGCUCUUGGACAGCACACAUGGUCAGACGAUGUCGAGCAUGGCUUGACAUCACCGCCCUUGGACAGAACACACGGUCGAACGAUGUUGGGCGUAGCAUGACAUCACCGCCCUUGGACAGAACACACAGUCGGCAACGUCGGGCGUGGCAUACCAUCACCGCCCUUGGAAAGCACAGACAGUCGAACUACGUCGGGCAUGGCAUGACAUCACCGCCCUUGGGCAGCACACACGGUCGGCAACAUCGGGCAUUACAUGACAUAACCACCCUUUGAAAACAUACACGGUGGGCAACGUCGGGCGUGGCAUGACAUCACCGCCCUUGGACAGCACACACGAUCGGCAACAUCAGGUGUUGCAUGCCAUCAUCGCCUUUGGACAGCACACACGGUCGAACGACGUCGGGUGUGGCUUGCCAUCAUUGCCUUAAGGCAGCACAAAUGGUCAAAUGACGUCAGGCGUGGCAUGACAUCAUCAACUUUGAACAACACACACGGUCGAACGACGUCAGAUGUGGCAUGACAUCACCGCCUUGGGGAAGCACACACGGUCGAACAACGUCGUGCGUUGCAUGCCAUCAUCGCCUUAAGGCAGAACAAAUGGUCAAAUGACAUCGGGCGUGGCAUGCUAUCAUCGCCUUUGGGCAACGCAGACGGUCGGCAACGUCAGGCGUGGCAUGACAUCACCGCCUUUGAACAGCACACACGGUCGAACGACGUCAGGCGUGACAUGACAUCACCGCCUUUGGAUAACACACACGGUGGAACGACGUCGGGCGUAGCAUGCCAUCAUCGCCUUUGGACUAGCUGACACAGUCGGAUGGCGUCAUGCAUGGCAUGCCAUCAUCGCCCUUGGAUGGGAAACACCAUCGACAACGUAGAGCGUGGCAUGCCAUCAACGCCUAGGGACAACACACACGGAAGGACGACGUUGGGCGUGUCAUGCUAUCAUCGCCUUUCGGCAGCACAGACGGUUAGACGACGUCAGGCGUGGCAUGCCAUCACCGCCCUUGGACAGCACACAUGGUCGGAUGACGUUGGGCGUGGCAUGCCAUCACCGCCCUUGGACAGCACACACGGUAGGACUACGUCGGGCGUGGCAUGCCAUUAUCACCUUUGGGUAACACACACUGGUCGAACGACGUCGGGCAUGGCAUGACAUCAUAGCCUAUGGACGGCAAACACGGUCGAACGACGUCAAGUGUGACAUGCCAUCACCGCCUUUGGACAGCACACACAGUCGAACGACGUCAGGUAGGGCAUGCCAUCAUCGCCUUUGGGCCGCACACACGGUCGAAAGACGUCGGGCGUGGCAAGAAAUCACUGCCUUUUGACAGCACACACGGUCAAACGACGUCGGGCAUGACAUGCCAUCACUGCCUUAGGACAGCACACACGGUCGAACGAUGUCGUGCUUGUAAUGCCAUCAUCUCCUUUGGGCAGCACACACGGUCGAACUAUGUCGGGCGUGGCAUACCAUCAUCACCAUUGGGUAGCACAAACGGUCAAACGACAUUAGACGUGGCAUGCCAGCAUCGCCUUAAGGCAGCACACACAGUCAAAAGACAUCAAGCAUUGAAUGACAUCACCGCCAUUGGACAGCACACACAGUCGAAAGACGUCGGGCGUGACAUGCAAUUACCACCUUUGGACAGCACACACGGUAGGACGGCAUCGGGCGUGGCAUUCCAUCGUCGCCCUUGGACGGCAUACACGGUCGAACGACGUCGGGCGUGGAAUGCCAUCAUCUCCUUUGGGCAGUACGCACGGUCGACAUCGUCAGGCGUGGCAUGCUAUCACCCUAGGAAACCACACACGAUCGAACGAAGUCGGUCGUCGCAUGCCAUCAUAGCCCUUGAACGGCAAACAAGGUUGAAUGACGUCGGGCGUGGCAUGCCAUCUUCGCCUUUGGACUAGCUGACACAGUCGGACGGCGUCGGGCGUGACAUGCCAUCAUAGCCCUUGGAUGGGAAACACGGUCGAACGACGUAGAGCGUGGCAUGCCAUCAACGCCUAAGGACAGCACACAAGAAUGGACGACAUCGGGUGUGGCAUGCUAUUAUCUCCUUUGGGCAGCACAGACUGUCGGACGACGUAGACCGUUGAAUGCCAUCAAUGCCUUGGGAUAGCACAAAUGAAAGGACGACGUCGAGCGUGGCAUGCCAUCACCGCCCUUGGACAGCACACGUGGUCAGAUGACAUCUGGCGUGGCAUGCCAUCACUGCCCUUGGACAGCACACACGGUGGGACGACGUUGGGCGUGGCAUGAGAUCACCGCUCUUGGACUGCACGCAUGGUCGGACUACGUCGGGCGUGGCAUGACAUCACAACCUUUGGAUAGCACACACGGUCGAACGACGCGUGGCAUGGCAUGACAUCACUGCCCUUGAACUGCACGUGCGGUCAGACGACAUCGGGCGUGGCUUGACAUCUCCGAUCAUGGACAGCACGCAUGGUCGGACGACAUCGGACAUGGCAUGACAUUACCGCCCUUGGGCAGCACACACGGUCGGACUACGUCGGGCGUGGCAUGACAUCACCUCCUUUGGACAGCACACACGGUCGAACGACUUCGUGCGUGGCAUGCCAUCAUCGCCUUUGGGCAGCACACACAGUCAAAUGUCGUGGGGCGUGGCAUACAAUCAUAGCUCAUAGAUGGCAAACACGAUCGAACGACGUCGGGCGUGGAAUGCCAUUAUCGCCUUUGGGCAGCACACACGGUCGAACGACGUCGGGUGUGGCAUGCCGUCAUGGCCCUUGGACACCACACACGGUCGAACGAAGUCGGGCGUGGCAUUCCAUCAUAGCCCUUGAACAGGAAACACGGUUGAACGACGUCAGGCGUGGCAUGCCAUCAUCGCCUUUGGACUAGCUGACACACUCAGACGGCGUCAGGUGUGGCAUGCUAUCAUUUCCCUUGGACGGGAAACAUGGUCGAACGACGUAGUGCGUAGCAUACCAUCAAUGCCAUGGGACAGCACAUACGGAAGAACGACGUCGGGCGUGGCAUGACAUCAUCACCUUUGGGCAGCACACACGGUUGAACUACGUCGGGCGUGGCAUGCCAUCAUCGCCUUUGGGUAGCACAAACGGUCGAACGACGUCGGGCGUGGCAUGCCAUCAUCACCUUUGGGCAGCACACACGGUCGAACGACGUCGGGCGUGGCAUGCCAUAAUCGCCUUAAGGCAGCACACACAGUCGAAAGACGUCGGGCGUGGCAUGAAAUCACCGCCUUUAGACACCACACACGAUCGAACGACGUCAAGCGUGACAUGCCAUGACCGCCAUACGACAACACACGAUUGGACGACGUCGGGCAUGGCAUGACAUCACCGCCCUAGGGCAGCACACACGGUCAGACUACGUCAGGCGUGGCAUGACAUCAGCGCCUUCGUACAGCACACACGGUCGAACGACGUCGGGCAUGGCAUGCCAUCAUCGCCUUUGGACAGCAUACACGGUCAAACGACGUCGAGCGUGGCAUUCCAUUAUCGCCUUUGGGCAGCACACACAGUCGAACUACGUCGGGCGUGGCAUGCCAUCUUGCCUUGAGGAAGCACACACGGUCGAACGACGUCGCGCGUGGCAUGAAAUCACCGCCCUUGGACGGCACGCACAGUCAAACGACGUCGGGCGUGGCAUGCCAUCAUCACCUUUGGGCAGCACAAACGGUCGAACGACGUCGGGCGUGGCAUGCCAUCUUGCCUUGAGGAAGCACACACGGUCGAACGACGUCGCGCGUGGCAUGACAUCACCGCCCUUGGACGGCACGCACAGUCAAACGACGUCGGGCGUGGCAUGACAUCACCACCCUUGGAUUGCACAGACAAUCAGCAACGUAGGGCGUGGCAUGACAUCACCGCCAUAGUGUCGCACACGGUCGGAGGAUGUCGGGCAUGGCAUAACAUCACUGCCCUUGGGCAACAAACACGGUUGGACUACAUCAGGCGUGGCAUGACAUCACUGCCUUUGUACAACACACACGGUCGAACGACGUCAGGCGUGGCAUGCCAUCAUCGCCUUGGGGCAGCACACACGAUCGAAUGACGUCUAGCGGGGCAUGCCAUAAUAGCCCAUGGAUGGCAAACAUGAUCGAAUGACGUCAGGCGUGACAUGCCAUCACCGCCUUUGGACAACACACACGGUCGAACGACGUUGGGCAUAGCAUGCCAUCUUGACUUUGGGAAGCACACAUGGUCGAAAGAUGUCAGCAGUGGUAUGAUACACCACCUUUGGGCAGCACACACAUUCAAACGACGUCGGGCGUGACAUGCCAUCACCGCCUUUAGACAACACACACGAUCGAACGAAGUUGGGCGUGGCAUGCCAUCAUCGCCCUUGAACGGCAAACAAGGUUGAAUGACGUCAGGCGUGGCAUGCCAUCAUCGCCUUUGGACUAGCUGACACAGUCGGACGGCGUCGGGCGUGGCAUGCCAUCUUCGCCCUUGGAUGGGAAACACGGUUAAAUGACGUAGAGCGUGGCAUGCCAUCAACGCCUAAGGACAGCCACAAGGAAGGACGGCGUCGGGCGUGGCAUGCUAUCAUCUCCUUUGGACAGCACACAUGGUUGGAUGAUGUCGGGCGUGGGAUGCCAUCACUGCCCUUGGACAGCACACACGGUAGGACGACAUCGGGCGUGGUAUGAGAUCACCACUCUUGGACUGCACACAUGGUCAGACUACGUCGGGCAUGGCAUGACAUCACCACCUUUGGACAGCACAUACGGUAGAACGACGCGUGGCAUGUUAUGACAUCAUCGCCCUUGAACUGCACGCACGGUUAGACGACAUCAAGCGUGGCAUGCUAUCACCGCCUUUGGACAGCACACACAAUCGGACGAUUUCGGGCGUGGCAUGCCAUCAUCUCCUUUGGGCAGCACAGACGGUCGGACGGCUUCGGGUGUGGCAUGCCAUCAUCGCCCUUGGACAGCACAAACUAUCGGCUGUCAUCGGGCAUGGCAUUACAUCACCGCCCUUGGACAGCACAUACGGUCGAACGACGUCUACCAUGGCAUGACAUUAAGCCUGGCAUGCCAUCAUCACCUUUGGGCAACACACACGGUCGAACUACGUCGGGCGUGGCAUGCCAUCAUCGCCUUAAGGAAGCACAAAUGGUCAAACGAUGUUAGGCGUGGCAGGACAUCACCGCUUUUGGACAGCACACACAGUCUAACUACGUCAGGCGUGGCAUGACAUCACUGCCUUGGGGUAGGCACACACGGUUGAACGACGUCGAGCGUGGCAUGCCAUCUUCGCCUUAAGGCAGAACAAACGGUCAAGCGACAUCGGGUGUGGCAUGACAUCACCGCCCUUGGACUGCUCGCACGAUCGGCAACGUCGAGCGUGGCAUGACAUUAACGGCUUUGGACAGCACACACGGUAGAACAACGUAAGGCGUGACAUGACAUCAGGCCUUUAGACAACACACACGGUGGAACGACAUCGAGCGUGGCAUACCAUCAUCGCCUUUGGACUAGCUGACACAGCCGGACGGCGUUGGGCGUGGCAUGCCAUCAGCGCCCUUGGACGGGAAACAUGAUCGAACGACAUAGAGCGUGGCACGCCAUCAACGCCUAGGGACAGCACACACGGAAGGAUGACGUCGGGCGUGUCAUGCUAUCAUCGCCUUUGGGCAGCAUAGACGGUCGGACGACGUUGGGCGUGGCAUGCCAUCACCGCCCUUGGACAACACACAUGGUCGGAUGACGUUAAGCGUGGCAUGCCAUCACCGCCCAUGGACAGCACACACGAUAGGACUACGUCGGGCGUGGCAUGACAUCACAUCCUUUGGACAGCACACACGGUCGAAUGACGUCGGGCGUGGCAUGCCAUCAUCGCCUUUGGGCAACACACACUGGUCGAACGACAUAGGGCGUGGCAUGCCAUCAUAGCCUAUGGACGGCAAACACGGUCGAACGACGUUAGGCGUGACAUGCCAUCACCGCCUUUGGACAGCAGACACGGUCGAACGACGUCAGGUAGGGCAUGCUAUCAUCGCCUUUGGACCGCACACACGGUCAAAAGACGUCGGGCGUGGCAUGACAUCACCUCCUUUGGACAGCACACACGGUCAAACGACGUCGGGCGUGACAUAUCAUCACCGCCUUUGGACAGCGCACACGGUCGAACAACGUCAGGCGUGGCAUGCAAUCAUCACCUUUGGGCAGCACACACGAUCUAACUACGUCGGGCGUGGCAUGCCAUCAUCGCCUUUGGGCAGCACCAACGGUCGAACGACGUCGGGCGUGGCAUGCCAUCAUCUCCUUUGGGCAGCACACACGGUCGAACGACGUCAGGCUUGGCAUGCCAUCAUAGCCCAUGGACGACAAACACUGUCGAACGACAUCAGGCGUGACAUGCCAUCACCGCCUUUGGAUAGCACACACGAUCGAACGACGCUAGGCAUGGCAUGCCAUCAUCACCUUUGGGCAGCACAAACGGUUGGACGACAUCGGGCGUGGCAUGCCAUUGUCGCCUUUGGGCAGCACACAUGGUCGAACUACGUCGGGCGUGGCAUGCCAUCUUCACCUUUGCGCAGCACACACGGUCGAACGACGUCGGGCGUGGCAUGCCAUCAUCACCUUUGGGCAGCACACACAGUCGAAAGAAGUUGAGCGUGGCAUGACAUCACCGCCUUUUGACAGCACACACGGUCGAACGACGUUGGGCGUGACUUGCCAUCCCCACCUUUGGACAGCACACACGGUCGAACGACGCUGGGCAUGGCAUGUCAUCAUCACCUUUGGGCAGCACAAACAGUCGGACGGCAUCGGGCGUGGCAUGCCAUCGUCGCCCUUGGACGGCAAACACGGUCGACAUCGUCGGGUAUGGCAUGCCAUCAUGGACCUUAGACACCACACACGAUCGAAUGAAGUCGGUCUUGGCAUGCCAUCAUAGCCCUUGAACGGCAAACAAGGUUGAAUGACGUCGGACGUGGCAUGUCAUCAUCGCCUUUGGACUAGCUGACACCAUCGGACGGCGUCGGGCGUGGCAUGCCAGCAUCGCCUUUCGACAGGACACACGGUCGAACGACGUAGAGCGUGGAAUGCAAUAAACGCAUUUGAACAGUACACAUGGUCGGAUGACGUUGGGCGUGGCAUGCCAUCAUCGCCUUUGGGCAGUACACAUGGUUGGAUGACGUCGGGCGUGGCAUGCCAUCAAUACCCUUGGACAGCACACACGGUAGGACGACGACGGGCGUGGCAUGACUUCACCGCUCUUGGACUGCACGCAUGGUCGGACUACGUAGGGCGUGGCAUGACAUCACCAUCUUUCGAUAGCACGCACGGUCGGCAACGUCGGGCAUGGCAUGACAUCGCCGCUCUUGGAUAGCACGCAUGGUCGGACAACAUCGGGCAUGGCAUGACAUCACCGCCCUUGGGAAGCACACACGGUCGGACUACGUCGGGCGUGGCAUGACAUCACCUCCUUUGGACAACACACAUGGUCGAAUGACACUGGGCAUGGAAUGCCAUCAUCGCCUUUGGGCAGCGCAGACGGUCGGCAACGUCAGGCGUGGCAUGACAUCACCGCCUUUGGACAGCACACACGGUCGAACGACGUCAGGCGUGACAUGACAUCACCGCCUUUGGACAACACACACGGUGGAACGACGUUGGGCGUGACAUGCCAUCACCGCCUUUGGCCAACACACACAAUCGAACGAAGUUGGGCAUGGCAUGACGUCACCGCCUUUGGGCAGCACACAUAGUCGAACGACGUCGGGCGUGGCAUGACAUCACCACCUUGAGGCAGCACACACGGCCGAACGACAUCGAGCGUGGCAUGCCAUCAUCGCCUUAAGGCAGAACAAAUGGUCAAACGACAUCGGGCGUGGCAUGCUAUCAUCGCCUUUGGGCAGCGUAGACGGUCAGCAACGUCAGGCAUGGCAUGACAUCACCGCCUUUGGACAACACAAACAGUCGAACGACGUCAGGCGUGACAUGACAUCACCGCCUUUGGACAACACACACGGUGGAACGACGUCGAGCGUGGCAUGCCAUCAUCGGCUUAAGGCAAAAAAAAUAGUCAAACGACAUCGGGCGUGGCAUGCUAUCAUCGCCUUUGGGCAGCGCAGACAGUUGGCAAGGUCGGGCGUGACAUGACAUCACCGCCUUUGGACAGCACACACGGUCGAACGAUGUCAGGCGUGACAUGACAUCACCGCCUUUGGACAACACACACGGUGGAACGACUUUGGGCGUGACAAGACAUCACCGCCUUUGGCCAACACACACGAUCGAACGACGUCGGGCAUGGCAUGACGUCGCCGCCUUUGGGAAGCACACAUGGUCGAAUGACGUCGGGCGUGGCAUGACAUCACCGCCUUUGGGAAGCACACACAGUUGAACGACGUCGGGCGUGGCAUGACAUCACCACCUUUGGACAGCACACACAGUUGAAUGACGUCAAGCCUUGCAUGCCAUCAUCACCUUUGGGAAGCACACACGGUCGAACUACGUCGAGCGUGGCAUGCCAUCAUCGCCUUUGGACUAGCUGACACAGUCGGACGGCGUUGGUCGUGGCAUGCCAUCAGCGCCCUUGGACGGGAAACAUGAUCGAACGACAUAGAGCGUGGCAUGCCAGCAACGCCUAGGGACAUCACACACGGAAGGACGACGUCGGGCGUGUCAUGCUAUCAUCGCCGUUGGGCAGCACAGACGGUCAGACGACGUUGGGCGUGGCAUGCCAUCACCGCCCUUAGACAGCACACAUGGUCGGAUGACGUUAAGCGUGGCAUGCCAUCACCGCCCAUGGAAAGCACACACGAUAGGACUACGUCGGGCGUGGCAUGACAUCACAUCCUUUGGACAGCACAGACGGUCGAACGACGUCGGGCGUGACAUGCCAUCAUCGCCUUUGGGCAGCACACACGGUCGAACGACAUCGGGCAUGGCAUGCCAUCAUAGCCUAUGGACGGCAAACACGAUCGAACAACGUCGGGCGUGGCAUGCAAUCAUCACCUUUGGGCAGCACACACGGUCUAACUACGUCGGGCGUGGCAUGCCAUCAUCGCCUUUGGGCAGCACCAACGGUCGAACGGCGUCGGGCGUGGCAUGCCAUCAUCUCCUUUGGGCAGCACACACGGUCGAACGACGUCAGGCGUGGCAUGCCAUCAUAUCCCAUGAACGGCAAACACGGUCGAAUGACAUCAGGCGUGACAUGCCAUCACCGCCUUUAGAUAGCUCACAUGGUUGAACGACGUCGGGUAGGGCAUGCCAUCAUCGCCUUUGGGCAGCACACACAGUCGAAAGACAUCGGGCGUGGUAUGACAACUCACGGCUUUGGACAGCACACACGAUCAAAUGACAUCGGGCGUGACAUGCUGUCACCGCCUUUGGACAUCACACACGGUCGAACGACGUCGGGCGUGGCAUGCCAUCAUCACCUUUGGGCAGCACACACAGUCGAAAGACAUCGAGCGUGGCAUGACAUCACAGCCUUUUGACAGCACACACGGUCGAACGACGUUGGGCGUGACAUGCCAUCCCCACCUUUGGACAGCACACUCGGUCGAACGACGCAGGGCAUGGCAUGCCAUCAUCACCUUUGGGCAGCACAAACGGUCGGACGGCAUCGGGCGUGGCAUGCCAUCGUCGCCCUUGGACGGCAAACACGGUCGAAUGACGUUGGGUGUGGAAUGCCAUCAUCCCCUUUGGGCAGUAUGCACGGUCGACAUCGUCGGGCAUGGCAUGCCAUCAUGGACCUUGGACACCACACACGAUCGAACAAAGUCGGUCGUGGCAUGCCAUCAUAGCCCUUGAACGGCAAACAAGGUUGAAUGACGUCUGACGUGGCAUGUCAUCAUCGCCUUUGGACUAGCUGACACCAUCGGAUGGCGUCGGGCGUGGCAUGCCAGCAUCGCCCUUCAACAGGACACACGGUCGAACGACGUAGAGCGUGGAAUGCCAUCAACGCCUUUGGACAGUACACAUGGUCGGAUGACGUCGGGCGUGGCAUGCCAUCAUCGCCUUUGGGCAGUACACAUGGUAGGAUGACGUCGGGCGUGGCAUGCCAUCACUACCCUUGGACAGCACACACGGUAGGACGACGACGGGCGUGGCAUGACUUCACCGCUCUUGGACUGCACGCAUGGUCAGACUACGUCGGGCGUGGCAUGACAUCGCCGCUCUUGGAUAGCAUGCAUGGUCGGACAACAUCGGGCAUGGCAUGACAUCACCGCCCUUAGGAAGCACACACGGUCGGACUACGUCGGGCGUGGCAUGACAUCACCUCCUUUGGACAGCACACAUGGUCGAAUGACAUUGGGCGUGGAAUGCCAUCAUCGCCUUUGGGCAGCACACACGAUCGAACGAAGUCGGGCGUGGCAUGCCAUCAUAGCCCUUGAACGGCAAACAAGGUUGAACAAGGUCAGGCGUGGCAUGCCAUCAACGCCUUUGGACUAGCUGACACUCUCAAACGGCGUCGGGCGUGGCAUGCCAUCAUCGCCCUUGGACGGGAAACAUGGUCGAACGACUUAGAGCAUGGCAUGCCAUCAACACCUUGGGACAGCACACACGGAAGAACGACGUAGGGCGUGGCAUGACAUCACCGCCCUUGGACAGCACACACGGUCGAACAACAUCGGGUGUGGCAUGACAUCACCGCCCUUGGACAACACAGACAAUCGGCAACAUCGGGCGUGGCAUGACUUCACCGCCAUAGACAGCACACGGUCAAACGACGUCAGGCAUGGCAUGACAUCACUGCCCUUGGGCAGCACACACGGUCAGACUACGUCAAGCGUGGCAUGACAUCACCGCCAUUGUACAGCGCACACGGUCGAACGACGUCGAGCGUGGCAUUCCAUUAUCGCCUUUGGGCAGCACACAAGGCGAACUACGUCGGGCGUGGCAUGCCAUCAUCGCUUUUGGGCAGCACACACUGUCGAACGACGUUGGGCGUGGCAUGCCAGCAUCGCCUUUGGGCAGCACAAGGUCGAAAGACGUCAGGCGUGGCAUGACAUCACCUCCUUUGGACAGCACACACGGUCGAAUGUCAUCAGGCGUGGCAUGCCAUAAUCGCCUUUGGGAAGCACACACGGUCGAACGACGUUGGGUGUGGCAUGACAUCACCCCCUUUGGACAGCACACACGGUCAAAUGACGUCGGCCAUGACAUAACAACACCGCCUUUGAAAAGCACACACGCUCGAACGACGUCGAGCGUGGCAUUCCAUUUUCACCUUUGGGCUGCACACACGGUCAAACGACGUCUGGCGUGGCAUGCCAUUAUUGCCUUUGGGCAGCACAAACAGUCGAACGACGUUUGGCGUGGCAUGACUUCACCGCCCUACGACUGCACGAACGGUCAGACGAUGUCGGUCGUGGCAUGACAUCACAUCCCUUGGACAGCACACACCGUCGAACAACGUCGGGCCAGGCAUGAUAUCACCACCCUUGGACGGUACGCACGGUCGAACGACGUCGGGCGUGGCAUGACAUCACCACCCUUGGAGGUCACACACGGUCGAACGUCGUUGGGCGUGGCAUGCCAUCAUCUCCUUUGGGAAGCACACACGAUCGAAUGACGUCGGGCGUGGCAUGACAUCACCACAUUUGGGCAGCACACAUGGUCGAAUGACGUCAAGCGUGGCAUGCCAUCAUCACCUUGUGGAAGCACACACGGUCGAACUACGUCAGGCGUGGCAUGCCAUCAUCGCCUUUGGGAAGCACAAACGGUCGAACGACGUCGGGCGUGGCAUGCCAACAUCACCUUUGGGCGACACACGGUCGAACGACGACGGGCGUGGCAUGCCAGCAUCGCCUUUGGGCAGCACACAAGGUCGAAAGACGUCGAGCGUGCUAUGACAUCACCUCCUUUAGACAGCGCACACGGUCGAACAACGUCGGGCGCGACAUGCCAUCACCGCCUUUGGAAAGCACACACGGUCGAACGCCGUCGGGUGUGGCAUGCCAUUAUCACCUUUGGGCAGCACAAACAGUCGGACGGCGUCGGGCGUGGCAUGCCAUCAUAGCCCUUGAACGGCAAACAAGGUCAAACGGCGUCGGGUGUGGCAUGCAUUAUCGCCUUUGGGCAGCACACACGGUCGAACGACGUCGGGCGUGGCAUGCCAUCAUGGCCCUUGGAUAGCACACACGGUCGAACGACGUCGGGCGUGGCAUGCCAUCACCGCCCUAGGAGUGCACGCACAGUCGGAUGAUGUCGGGCGUGGCAUGACAUCAAAUCCCUUGGACAACACAUACGAUCGAACAACGUCGGGCCUUGCAUGACAUCACUGCCCUUGGACGGCACGCACGGUCGAACGACGUCGGGCAUGGCAUGACAUCACCACCCUUGGACGUCACACAGGUCGAACGUCGUUGGGCGUGGCAUGACAUCAUCUCCUUUGGGCAGCACACACGAUCGAAUGACGUCGGGCGUGGCAUGACAUCACCGUAUUUGGGCAGCACACACGAUCAAACAAUGUCCGGCGUGACAUGCCAUCACCGCCUUUGGACAGCACACACGGUCAAAUGACGUCAAGCGUGGCAUGCCAUCAUCACCUUUUGGGCAGCACACACGGUCGAACUACGUCGGGCGUGGCAUGCCAUCAUCGCCUUUGGGAAGCACAAACGGUCGAACGACGUCGGGCGUGGCAUGCCAACAUCACCUUUGGGCGACACACGGUCGAACGACGACGGGCGUGGCAUGCCAGCAUCGCCUUUGGGCAGCACACAAGGUCGAAAGACGUCGAGUGUGGCAUGACAUCACCUCCUUUGGACAGCGCACACGGUCGAACAACGUCGGGCGCGACAUGCCAUCACCACCUUUGGAAAGCACACACGGCCGAACGACGUCGGGUGUGGCAUGCCAUUAUCACUUAUGGGCAGCACAAAUAGUCGGACUGUGUCGGGCGUGGCAUGCCAUCAUAGCCCUUGAACGGCAAACAAGGUCGAACGACGUCGGGUGUGGCAUGCAUCAUUGCCUUUGGGCAGCACAUACGGUGGAAUGACGUCCGGCGUGGCAUGCCAUCAUGGCCCUUGGAUAGCACACACGGUCGAACAACGUCGGGCGUGGCAUGCCAUCAUAGCCCUUGAACGGCAAACAAGGUUGAACGACGUCGAGCAUGGCAUACAUUAUCGCCUUUGGACUAGCUGACACAGCUGGACGGCAUAAGGCGUGGCAUGCCAUCAUCGCCCUUGGACGGGAAACACGGUCGAAUGACGUAGAGCGUGGCAUGCCAUCACAGCCUUGGGACAGCACACACGGUCAGUCGGCGUCGGGCGUGGCAUGCUAUCAUCGCCUUUGGGUAGCACAAACGGUCAUACGACGUUGGGCGUGGCAUACCAUCACCGCCGUUGGAUAGCACACAAGGUCGGAUGACGUCUGACGUGUCAUGCCAUCGCCGCCCUUGGAAUGCACACACAGUAGGACGACGUGGGGCAUGGCAUGAGAUCUCCGCUCUAAGACAGCACACAAGGUCGAACGACGUCAGGGGUGGCAUGACAUCACUGCCCUUGGACUACACGCACGGUCGGACAACAUCAGGCGUGGCAUGACAUCACCGCCCUUGGACAACACACACGGUCGGCAACGUCAGGCGUGGGAUGACAUCACCGCCCUUGGACAGCACACACGGUCAAACGACGUCGGGCGUGGAAUGAAAUCACCGCCCUUGGGCAGCACACACAGUCGGACAACAUUGAGUUUGGCAUGCCAUCAUUGCCUAUUGGAAACACAGACGGUCGAACGAUGUCGGGCGUGGCAUGCCAUCAUCACCUUUGGGCAGCACAAACGGUCGAACGACGUUGGCCGUGGCAUCCCAUUAUCGCCUUUGGACUAGCUAACACAGUCGGACGGCGUCGGGCGUGGCAUGCCAUCAUCUCCGUUGGAUGGAAAACACGGUCGAACGACGUUGGGCGUGGCAUGAUAUCACCGCCUUUGUACAGCACACACGGUUGAACGACGUCGGGCGUGGCAUGAGAUCACCGCCCUUGAACUGAACGAACAGUCGGACGACAUCGAUCGUGGCAUGAUAUCACUGCCCUUGGACGGCAAAAACGAUCGAACGACGUCGGGCGUGGCAUGCCAACGCCACCUUUGGAUAGCACACACGGUCGAACGACGUCGGGCUUGGCAUGCAAUCAUCGCCUUUGGGCAGCACAUACGGUCGAACGAUGUUGGGCGUGGCAUGCCAUCAUGGCUCUUGGAUAGCACACACGGUCGAACGACAUCGGGCGUGGCAUCCUAUCAUAGCCCUUGAACGGCAAAUAAGGUUGAACGACGUUGGGCAUGUCAUACCAUCAUCGCCUUUGGACUAGCUGACAUAGUCAGACGAUGUCAGGCGUGGCAUGCCAUCAUCGCCCUUGGACGGGAAAAACGGUCGAACGACGUAGAGCGUGGAAUGCCAUAACCGCCUUGGGACAGCACACACGGUCAGACGACGUCGGGCGUGGCAUGCUAUCAUCGCCUUUGGGCAGCACAGACGGUCGGACGACGUCGAGCGUGGCAUGCCAUCACAACCCUUGGACAACACACAAGGUCGGAUGACAACUGGCGUGGCAUGCCAUCGCCGCCCUUGGACAGCACACACGGUAGGACGACGUGGGCGUGGCUUGAGAUCACCCCUCUUGGACUACACGCAUGGUCAGACGUGGCAUGACAUCACUUCCCUUGGAUAGCACACACGGUCGAACGACGUCAGGCGUGGCAUGACAUCACCGCCCUUGGACUACACGCACAGUUGGACGACGUCAAGCGUGGCAUGACAUCAACGCCCUUGGACAGCACACACGGUCAGAACGACGUCGGGCAUGGCAUGCCAUCAUCGCCUUUGGGCAGCACACACAAUCGAACGACGUCAGGCGUGGCAAGCCAUCAUGGACCUUGGACAACACACACGGUCGAACGACGUCAGGAGUGGCAUGCCAUUAUAGCCCUUGGACGGCAAACAGGGUCGAACGACAUCAGGCAUGGCAUGCCAUCAUCGCUUUUAAACUAGUUGACACAGUCAGACGGCGUCGGGCGUGGCAUGCCAUCAUCGCCCUAGGACGGCAAACACCGUCGAACGACGUCGGGGGUGGCAUGCCAUCACCGCCUUUGGUCAGCACACACAGUCGGACAACGUCGGGCAUGGCAUGCCAUCGUCUCAUUUGGGCAGCACAGACGGUCGGAUGGGGUCGGGCGUGGCAUGCCAUCAUCGCCCUUGGACAGCACAAACGGUCAGCUGUCGUCGGGCGUGACAUGCCAUAAUAGCCCUUGGACAUCACACACGGUCGACAAUGUCGGGCGAGGCAUUAAAUCACCACCCUUGGACAGCACACACGGUCGAACGACAUCUAGCAUGGCAUGACAUCACUGCCCUUGGACUGCACGGACGAUCGGACGACAUCAGGCGUUGCAUGACAUCACCGCCCUUGGACAACACACAGCCGACAAUGUCGUGCGUGGCAUCACAUCACUACCCUAGGACAAUACACACGGUCGUCAACGUCGGGCGUGGCAUGACAUCACCUCCCUUGGACAGCACAAACGGUCGGACGACGUCGGGCGUGGCAUGACAUCACCGCCCUUGGACAGCACACACGGUCAAACGUUGUCGGGCGUGGCAUGACAUCACCGCCAUUGGACUGCACGCACGGUUGGACGACGUCGUUCGUGGCAUGACAAUACCGCCCUUGGACAGCAGACACGGUCGAACGACGUCGGGCGUGGCAUGACCUCACAGCCCUUGGGCAGCACACACGGUCGGACUACGUCGGGCGUGGCAUGCCAUCAUCGUGUUGGGCAGCACACACGGUCGAACGAUGUCGAGCGUGGCAUGCCAUCAUCGCGUUGAGGCAGCACACACGGUCGAACGACGUCAGGCGUGACAUGAGAUCAUCGCCUUAAGGCAGCACAAACGGUCAAACGACGUCAGGCGUGGCAUGACAUCACCGCCCUUGGACUGCACACACUGUCAGCAACGUCGAGCGUGGCAUGACAUCACCGCCCUUUGACAGCACACACGGUCGAUAACAUCGGGCGUGGCAUGGCAUCACCACUCUUUGACAGAACACACAGUCGGCAACGUCGGGCGUGGCAGGCCAUCACCGCCCUUGGGCAGCACACACGGUUAAACGCCUUCGGGUGUGGCAUGCCAUCAUCGCCUUUGGGCAGCACACACGGUCGAACGACAUCGAGCAUGGCAUGAAAUCAAAGCCUUUGGAAAGCACACACGAUCGAACAAUGUCGGGCGUGGGAUGCCAUCAACGCCUUUGGGUAGCAUAUACGAUCGAAUGACGUCGGGCAAGGCAUGCCAUCAGGGCCCUUGGACAGCACACACGGUCGAACGACGUCGGGUGUGGCAUUCCAUCAUGGACCUUUGACAACACACACAGUCGAACAACGUCGGGCGUGGCAUGCCAUCACAGCCCUUGGACGGCAAAAAGAAUCAAACGAUGUUGGGCGUGGCAUGCCAUCAUCGCUUUUAAACGAGCAGACACAGUCGGACGGCGUCGGGCGUGGUAUGCUAUCAUAUCCCUUGAAUGGCAAACACAUUCAAACGAUGUCGGGGGUGGCAUGCCAUCACCGCCUUUGGACAAUACACACAGUCGGACGACGUCGGGCGUGGCACGCCAUCAUCUCUUUUGGGCAGCACUGACGGUCGGACGGCUUCGGGCAUGGCAUGCCAUCACCGCCUUUGGACAGCACACACGGUCGGCAAUGUCGGGCAUGGCAUUACAUCACCGCCCUUGGACAGCACACACGGUCGAACGAUGUCUGGCAUGGCAUGACAUCACCGCCCUUGGACUGCACACACGAUCAGACGAAGUCGAGCGUGGCAUGACAUCACCGCCCUUGGAUAACAAACACGGUCUUUAACGUCGGGCGUAGCAUGACAUCACCGCCCUUGGACAGCACACACGGUUAGACGAUGUUGGGCAUGGCUUGACAUCACCGCCCUUGGACAGAUCACACGGUCCAACGAUGUCGGGCGUAGCAUGACAUCACCGCCCUUGGACUGCAUGUACGGUCGAAUGACGUCGGGCGUGGCAUGCCAUCACUGCCCUUGGACAGCACACACGGUCGGACUUCAUCGGGCGUGGCAUGACAUCACCGCCUUUGGAUAAAACACACGGUCGACCGACGUCGGGCGUGGCAUGCCAUCAUCGCCUUUGGGCAGCACACACAAUCGAACGACAUCGGGCGUGGCAUGACAUCACCGCCUUUGGACAACACACAUAGUGGAACGACGUCGAGCGUGACAUGCCAUCACCGCCUUUGGACAGCACACACGGUCGAAUGAUGUCAUGCGUGGCAUGCCAUCAUCGUCUUAAGACAACAUAAAUGGUCAAACGACGUCAGGCGUGGCAUGACAUCACCGCCUUUGGACAGCACAGACGGUCGAAUGACGUCAGGCGUGGCAUGACAUCACCGCCUUGGGGCAGGCACACACAGUCGAACAACGUCGAGCGUGGCAUACCAUCAUCGCCUUAAGGAAGAUCAAACGGGACGUCGAGCGUGGCAUGAUCAAGUGGGGGAGUUUGUCACGGCCCGCAUGAUACCCAGGCAGAUCGCGACCCGUCUAGGAAGCCAGCAGCCUAUGCAAGGGGACAGACAGCCCAAAAAUGGCCAGCAGGCAAAGGGGCAGGCGUCCAAGCAGGCAGCAGACAAAGGGUCAGGCGUUUCAGCUGUUACAAGCAGUUACAGCCAUUACAGGCAGUUACAACCGUUACAGGCAGUUACAGCUGUUGCAGGCAGUUUCAGCCGUUACAGUCAUUUCUGCAGGUGAAGGGGCGACAGUUUCAAGCCUUGGAGAGGCUUGUUCAAGGCCUCUAGGCGUGGGGCAGACUAGGAGCAGCUAGGAGUCUCUUUUUGGAAGACUUAGAAGCAUGUCUUGUGGGCAUGGACUUAGGGGCUUGUAUAUAGUGUAGCAUUUAUUUACUCUUAGUGUUUAGAGUAGUAUAAAUAGGUAGUCAUUGUAUUUGUAAUACAUCAACCAACAUUUGAAUACAAGUCUUUCUUCCAAAACAGUCUUUUGUCUUUCCUUCAGUUUCUCUUAGCGAUCCGAGUAGUGAAAGGCUUACUUGAGUUUGCGAGAUCGUGAAAGAAUCGUGAGCAAACCGUCAAGUGCCGCACGGAGUAUUGUCCAGAUCGAAAAGUCUGUGACACUAUGGAUGGCAAACAUGGUUGAAUGACGUGUGGCGUGACAUGCCAUCACCGCCUUUGGACAGCAGACAUGGUCGAACGACGUCAGGAAGGGCAUGCUAUCAUCGUCUUUGGGCCGCACAUAUGAUCGAAAGACGUCGAGUGUGGCAUGACAUCACCACCCUUGGACGUCACACACGAUCGAACGUCGUUGGGCGUGGCAUGCCAUCUUUGCCUUUGGGCAGCACACACGAUCGAAUGACGUCAGGCGUGGCAUGACAUCACCGCAUUUGGGCAGCACACACGGUAAAACAACGUCGAGCGUGACAUGCCAUCACCGCCUUUGGAUAGCACACACGGUCGAAUGACGUCGGGCGUGGCAUGCCAUCAUCACCUUUGGGAAGCACUCACGGUCGAACUACGUCGGGCGUGGCAAUGCCAUCAUCGCCUUUGGGAAGCACAAACGGUCGAACGACGUCUGGGCGUGGCAUGCCAACAUCACAUUUGGGCAGCACACAUGAUCGAACGACGUCGGGUGUGGCAUGCCAGCAUCGCCUUUGGGCAGCACACAAGGUCGAAAGACGUCGAACGUGGCAUGACAUCACCUCCUUUGGACAGCGCACACGAUCGAACAACGUCGGGCGCGACAUGCCAUCAUCGCCUUUGGAAAGCACACACGUUCGAACGACGUCGGGCGUGGCAUGCCAUCAUCACCUUUGGGCAGCACAAACAGUCGGACAGCGUCGGGCGUGGCAUGCCAUCAUCUCCUUUAGGAAGCACAAACGGUCAAACGACGUUGGGCGUGGCAUGACAUCACCGCCCUAGGACUGCACGCACAGUCGGACGACGUAGGGCGUGGCAUGACAUCACUGCCCUUGGACAACACACAUGGUCAAACGACGUCGGGCGUGGCAUGACAUCACCGCCCUUGGACGACAUGCACGGUUAAACGACGUCAGGCGUGGCAUGACAUCACCACCCUUGGACAGAACAGAAAAUUGGCAACGUCGGGCGUGGCAUGAAAUCACCGCCAUAGAACAGCACAUGGUCGGAUGACGUCGGGCAUGGCAUGAAAUCCCCGCCCUAGGGCAGCACACACAGUCGGACUACGUCAAGCGUGGCAUGACAUCACCGCCUUUGUACAGCACACACGGUCGAACGAUGUUGGGCGUGGCAUGCCAUCAUCGCCUUUGGGCAGCACACACGGUUGAACGACUUCGGGCGUGACAUGCCAUCACCGGCCUAGGACUGCACGCGCAGUCGUACGACGUCGGGCGUGGCAUGACAUCACUGCCCUUGGACAACACACAUUGUCGAACGACGUCAGGCAUGACAUGCCAUCACCGCCUUUGGACAGCACACACGGUCGAACGGCGCUGGGCAUGGCAUGCCAUUGUCACCCUUGGACAGCAAACACGAUCGAACAACGUCGGGCAUGGAAUGCCAUCAUCUCCUUUGGGAAGUACACACGGUCGACAUUGUCGGGUGUGGCAUGCCAUCAUGGCCCUUGGACACCACACACGAUCGAACGAAGUCGGUCGUGGCAUGCGAUCAUAGCCCUUGAACGGCAAACAAGGUUGAAUGACGUCGGGCGUGGCAUGCCAUCAUCGCCUUUGGACUAGUUGACACCAUCGGACGGCGUCGGACGUGGCAUGCCAUCAUUGCCCUUGGACGGGAAACACGGUCGAAUGACGUAGAGCGUGGAAUGCCAUCAACGCCUUGGGACAGCACACACAAAAGGACAACGUCGGGCGUGGCAUACCAUCACCACCCUUGGACAGCACACAUGGUCGGAUGACGUCGGGUGUGGCAUGCCAUCACUACACUUGGACAGCACACACGGUGGGACGACGUCGGGCGUGACAUGAGAUCACUGCUCUUGGACUGCACGCAUGGUCGGACUACGUCGGGUAUGGCAUGACAUCACCAUGUUUGGACAGCACACACGGUCGAAUGAUGCGUGGCAUGGCAUGACAUCACCUGCCUUGAACUGCACGCACGGUAAGACAACAUCGGGCGUGGCAUGACAUCACCGUCUUGGACAGAACACACGGUCAGCAACGUCGGGCGUGGCAUGACAUCGCCGCUCUUGGACAGCGCUCAUGGUCGGACGACAUCGGGCAUGGCAUGACAUCACUGCCCUUGGGCAGAAUACACGGUCGGACUACGUCGGGUAUGGCAUGACAUCACCUCCUUUGGACCGCACACACGGUCGAACGACGUCGUACGUGGCAUGCCAUCAUCGCCUUUGGGAAGCACACACGGUCGAAUGACGUCGGGCGUGGCAUACCAUCAUAGCCCAUGGAUGGCAAACACGGUCGAACGACGUCAAGCGUGGCAUGACAUCAACGCCCUUGGACAGCACACACAGUCAGAACGACGUCGGGCAUGGCAUACCAUCAUCGCCUUUGGGCAGCACACACAGUCGAACGACGUCAGGCGUGGCAAGCCAUCAUGGACAUUGGACAACACACACGGUCGAACGACGUCAGGCGUGGCAUGCCAUUAUAGCCCUUGGACAGCAAACACGGUCGAACGACAUCAGGCGUGGCAUGCCAUCAUCGCUUUUAAACUAGCUGACACAGUCGAACGGCGUCGAGCGUGGCAUGCCAUCAUCGCCCUAGGACGGCAAACACCGUCGAACGACGUCGGGGGUGGCAUGCCAUCACCGCCUUAGGUCAAGACACAUAGUCGAACGACGUCGGGCGUGGCAUGCCAUCGUCUCAUUUGGGCAGCACAGACGGUCGGAUGGCGUCGGGCGUGGCAUGCCAUCAUCGCCCUUGGACAGCACAAACGGUCGGCUGUCGUCGGGCGUGACAUGCCAUAAUAGCCCUUGGACAUCACACACGGUCGGCAACUUCGGGCGAGGCAUUAAAUCACCGCCCUUGGACAGCACACACGGUCGAACGUCGUCUAGCAUGGCAUGACAUCACCGCCCUUGGACUGCACGGACGAUCGGACGACGUCGGGCGUUGCAUGACAUCACCGCCCUUGGACAACACACAGCCGGCAAUGUCGUGCGUGGCAUCACAUCACCACCCUAGGACAAUACACAUGGUCAUCAACGUCGGGCGUGGCAUGACAUCACCUCCCUUGGACAACACAAACGGUCGGACGACGUCGGGCGUGGCAUGACAUCACCGCCCUUGGACAGCACACACGGUCGAACAAUGUCGGGCGUGGCAUGACAUCACCGCCAUUGGACUGCACGCAUGGUUAGACGACGUUGUUCGUGGCAUGACAACACCGCCCUUGGAUAGCAGACACAGUCGAUCGACAUCGGGCGUGGCAUGACCUCACAGCCCUUGGGCAGCACACACGGUCGGACUACGUCGGACGUGGCAUGCCAUCAUCGCGUUGGGCAGCACACACGGUCGAACGACGUCGGGCGUGGCAUGCCAUCAUCGCGUUGAGGCAGUACACACGGUCGAACGACGUCGGGCGUGACAUGCGAUCAUCGCCUUAAGGCAGCACAAACGAUCAAACGACGUCAGGCGUGGCAUGACAUCACCGCCCUUGGACUGCACGCACUGUCAGCAAUGUGGAGCGUGGCAUGACAUCACCGCCCUUGGACAGCACACACGGUCGAUAACGUCGGGCAUGGCAUGGCAUCACCACUCUUUGACAGAACACACAGUCGGCAACGUCGGGCGUGGCAGGCCAUCACCAUUGGGCAGCACACACGGUUAAACGCUAUCGGGUGUGGCAUGCCAUCAUCGCCUUUGGGCAGCACACACGGUCGAAUGACGUCAGGCAUGGCAUGAAAUCAACGCCUUUGGAAAGCACACACGAUCGAACGAUUUCGGGCGUGGCAUGCCAUCAACGCCUUUGGGUAGCAUAUACGAUCGAAUGACGUCGGGCAAGGCAUGCCAUCACAGCCCUUGGACAGCACACACGGUCGAACGACGUCGAGUGUGGCAUUCCAUCAUGGACCUUUGACAACACACACAGCCGAACAACGUCAGGCGUGGCAUGCCUUCAUAGCCCUUGGACGACAAAAAGGGUCGAACGACGUUGGGCGUGGCAUGCCAUCAUCGCUUUUAAAUGAGCAGACACAGUCGGACGGCGUCGGGCGUGAUAUGCCAUCAUCUCCCUUAAACGGCAAACACAGUCAAACGAUGUCGGGGGUGGCAUGCCAUCACCGCCUUUGGAGAACACACACAGUCGGACGACGUCGGGCGUGGCAUGCCAUCAUCUCCUUUGGGCAGCACUGACGGUCGGACGGCUUCGGGCGUGGCAUGCCAUCAUCGCCUUUGGAAAGCACACACGGUCGGCAAUGUCGGGCGUGGCAUUACAUCACCGCCCUUGGAAAACACACACGGUCGAACGACGUCUGGCAUGGCAUGACAUCACCGCCCUUGGACUGCACACACGAUCAGAAGACAUCGAGCGUGGCAUAACAUCACCGCCCUUGGAUAACAAACACUGUCUUUAACGUCGGGCGUAGCAUGACAUCACCGCCCUUGGACAGCACACACGGUCAGACGAUGUUGGGCAUGGCUUGACAUCACCGCCCUUGGACAGAACACACGGUCGAACGAAGUCGGGCGUAGCAUGACAUCACCGCCCUUGGACUGUAUGUACGGUCGGAUGACGUCGGGCGUGGCAUGACAUCACUGCCCUUGGACAGCACAUACGGUCGGACUUCGUCGGGUGUGGCAUGACAUCACCACCUUUGGACAACACACACGGUCGACCGACGUCGGGCGUGGCAUGCCAUCAUCGCCUUUGGGCAGCACACACAAUCGAACGACGUCGGGCGGUGCAUGACAUCACCACCUUUGGACAACACACACAGUGGAACGACGUCGAGCGUGACAUGUCAUCACCGCCUUUGGACAGCACACACGGUCGAAUGAUGUCAUGUGUGGCAUGCCAUCAUCGUCUUAAGACAACAUAAAUGGUCAAACGACGUCAGGCGUGGCAUGACAUCACCACCUUUGGACAGCACAGACGGUCGAACGACGUCAGGCGUGGCAUGACAUCACCGCCUUGGGGCAGGAACACACAGUCAAACGACGUCGAGCGUGGCAUGCCAUCAUCGCCUUAAGGAAGAACAAACGGGACGUCGAGCGUGGCAUGACAUCACCGCCUUUGGACUGCUCGCACGGUCGGCAACAUCGGGCGUGGCAUGACAUCACCGCCUUUGGCCAGCACACACGGUCGAACGACGUCGGGCGUGACAUGACAUCACCGCCUUUAGACAACACACGCGGUGGAGCGACUUCGGGCGUGGCAUGCCAUCAUUGCCUUUGGACUAGCUGACACAGUCGGACGGCGUCGGGUGUGGCAUGACAUCGUCACCCUUGGACGGGAAACACGGUCGAACGACGUAGAGCGUGGCAUGUAAUCAAUGCCUAGGGACAGCACACACAGAAGGACGACGUUGGGUGUGUCAUGCUAUCAUCGCCUUUGGGCAGCACAGACGAUCGGACGACGUCGGGCGUGGCAUGCCAUCACCACCCUUAGACAGCACACGUGGUCGAAUGACAUUGGGCGUGGCAUGCCAUCACCGUCCUUGGAAAGCACACACGGUAGAACUAGGUCGGGCGUGGCAUGACAUCACCGCCUUUUGAUAGCACACACGGUCGAACGACGUCGGGCGUGGCAUGCCAUCAUCGCCUUUGGGCAGCACACACGGUCAAACGACGUCGGGCGUGGCAUGCCAUCAUAGCCUAUUGUAACGAUCCGCCUGAUACCUAGGCAGAUCGCGACCCGUCUAGGCAGCCAGCAGCCUGUGCAAGGGGACAGACAGCCCAAAAAUGGCCAGCAGGCAAAGGGGCAUGCGUCCAAGCAGGCAGCAGACAAAAGGUCAGGCGUUUCAGCUGUUACAAGCAGUUACAGCCGUUACAGGCAGUUACAGCCGUUGAAGGCAGUUUCAGCUAUUACAGUUGUUUCUGCAUGUGAAAGGGCGGCAGUUUCAAGCCUUGGAGAGGCUUGUUCAAGGCCUUUAGGUGUGGGGCAGACUAGGAGCAGCUAGGCGUCCCUUUUUGGAAGACUUAGAAGCAUGUCUUGUGGGCAUGGACUUAGGGGCUUGUAUAUAGUGUAGCAUUUAUUUACUCUUAGUGUUUAGAGUAGUAUAAAUAGGUAGUCAUUGUAUUUGUAAUACAUCAACCAACAUUUGAAUACAAGUCUUUCUUCCAAAAUAGUCUUUUGUCUUUCCUUUAAUUUCUCUUAGCGAUCCCAGUAGUGAAAGGCUUACUUGAGUUUGCGAGAUCGUGAAAGAAUCGUGAGCAAACCAUCAAGUGCCGCACGGAGUAUUGUCCAGAUCGAAAAGUUUGUGACAAUUGGUAUUAGAGCAGGUUCAUCGUAAGAGAAUGACGAACGAAGGAGAAGGCGCUAGCAGCACCCCCAACGUCCGCACUGAUGGUUGCAAGAAGAACAAGAAAGGGAAGAAGCAGCAGACGGGUAAUGAACCCAAUCUGCCCGGUCUUCCCCCAAGUGUUCCUCCACCAAGUGUUCCUACCCCAAGCGAAGGGAAGACAUCUCUCCCUCCCCAUAUUGUCGAUGGAAGUGACUAAGACACCGGCGAGGAGAUCGUGGACGUUACUGUCGGACAGGAGUGGAUUGCAAGGGUAGAAAAGGUAAGGCAAGCCGUUGAGAUCAUAGGCCACCGCUUGAACGGAACGGACAAAAAUCUUAAAGCUCUUGAAGAGUACUCCCUUGAGGAAGUUGACAGCGUCUGGAAGGAGGUUGAGACACGCCAGCGAGCAGAGUUCGAGACAAAGGAGGCCAUUACUUCCUUAGAGUUCAGGCUUAGGGAAGCACUUGGCGCAGUUGAGUCGCUUAAGGCCGAAGUGGCAGAACUCAAGGAAGAGAGAGAGGUUGGUGGAUCCUCAUCACAUGACCGGAAAAGGGAAGCCAGAGUUGAGGCGCCCAAGCCAUCUGUCUUCAAAGGCGUCCGUGACGCGCAAGCCGUGGAUAAUUUCCUUUGGCACUUGGAAAAUUAUUUCAAGUGUACGCGGGUUCAUAGUGAUGUGAACAAGAUCAACACGGCUGUGUUGUAUCUUUUAGAGUUGGCCAUGCUAUGGUGGAAGCAUAAAGAGUCUGACAUCGCAAAGGGGACAUUCGCGUUGAACACAUGGGAGCAGUUUUGUGUGCAGUUCAAGAAGGCGUUCCUCCCUAGCAACGUUGUCUAUGAGGCAAAGCGCAAGAUGCGGGAGUUGAGACAGAAGGGCAGCAUACGCGUGUAUGUGCAGGAGUUUACCACCCUUACAUUUCAGAUUCCCAACCUCAUGGACGACGACGCAUUGUUCUACUUCAUGGAUGGGCUGCAAAAUUGGGCAAGAAAAGAGUUGGAACGGCGGCAAGUCAGGACUAUAGACGACGCUAUUCCACAGGUUGAAGCCUUGACAGACUUCAGGCACGAGAAGUCCUUCAGUGCCGAUGAGGACAAUGAGGUAAGCAGUCAUGAUGAUAGUGGGGAAGACAGUGGCGAAGGUGAGGAGCAAAUGCCACAACCCAAAAGGCGUAACACCUACGGGUCCAGCGGCAAGAAGCCCGGAGAUCGUGGCAACACGGUAAGGGAUUCCUAGGAUGGUUGCUUUAUAUGCAAAGGGCCGCAUGGUUACAAAAGAUGCCCUGAACUCAAAAGUCUUGGUGCUAUCCUUCGUGAGCGGAAGGAAGAGAAGGCCCAAGAGGAAGUCGGGGAGACUAAGCAGUUGGGCGUGGUAAGCCUAUGCGGAGCUGCGAUUGAACAACCAUCGACGAGGCCAAGGCAAGAUAAGCCAAGGCAAGCAGAGUCGAAGCAUGCUGAGAAGGGACUUGCAAAGUCUAAGGCGUGGGCUCAAAUGGUCACGAUCAAUGGGAAUAUUGCUCGUGCUUUGGUCGACACCGGUGCGGAGGUCAAUGUUAUGACCAAGACGGCAGCAAAGAGGUUGGGGUUGCGAUAUACUGCAAGCAAUGCCCAAAUCAGAACUGUCAACGCAUUACCGACUCCUAUAGUUGGAGUUGCGCACGGGGUGAACAUCACGGUAGGCGAUUGGCAAGGGAAAACCAAGUUCAUCGUCGCCCCCAUCAAUAUGUUUGAUGUUAUUCUUGGGCAGAAGUUCUUCCAGCAGCGCCAUGCAGUAAUCGAUCCUCAUCUCCAAAAAUUGACAAUCAUGGAGAAAGGAAGGGAAUAUACAGUUCCCAUGGUGAAGGCGCAGGCAACGGAGGGACAGGCUAGACUGACAACCAUGAAGCUCGAGAGGGUCGAUUUAAGAAGAAGGUUAACACCAGCAGUGACCAUUGCAAGUUCGAGAGAAGACAAUGGUGCUAGAAACACCUUGCUACCGCGCAGGAAGAGGUUCCGAGUAGCUAGAAUUGAAAGAUGCUGCCGGAGCACUUGCCUCCGUUGAAGGAGGAAGUUCGGAAGAUCGCGUCGAGAAAGGUCGGGAAAUCGAUGAAGAGGCUGCUCGAAGGGAUUGAUCGAGUACGCGAGUUGAUGGUCGCCCGGCAGAAAUCAACGCCGAUACGGACGCAAUGCGACGCGGUCGUCGCAUCAUCAAGUGGGGGAGUUUGUCACGACCCGCAUGAUACCCAGGCAGAUCGCGACCCGUCUAGGCAGCCAGCAGCCUGUGCAAGGGGACAGACAGCCCAAAAACAGCUAGCAGGCAAAGGGGCAGGCGUCCAAGCAGGCAGAAGACAAAGGUUCAGGCGUUUCAGCUGUUACAAGCAGUUACAGCCGUUACAGGCAGUUACAGCCGUUACAGGCAGUUUCAGCCGUUACAGGCAGUUUCAGCCGUUACAGUCAUUUCUGCAGGUGAAGGGGCGGCAGUUUCAAGCCUUGGAGAGGCUUGUUCAAGGCCUCUAGGCGUGGGGCAGACUAGGAGCAGCUAGGAGUCUCUUUUUGGAAGACUUAGAAGCAUGUCUUGUGGGAAUGGAAUUAGGGGCUUGUAUAUAGUGUAGCAUUUAUUUAUUCUUAGUGUUUAGAGUAGUAUAAAUAGGUAGUCAUUGUAUUUGUAAUACAUCAACAAACAUUUGUAUACAAGUCUUCCUUCCAAAACAGUCUUUUGUCUUUCCUUCAGUUUCUCUUAGCGAUCCAAGUAAUGAAAGGCUUACUUGAGUUUGCGAGAUCGUGAAAGAAUCGUGAGCAAACCGUCAAGUGCCGCACGGAGUAUUGUCCAGAUCGAAAAGUCUGUGACACUAUGGACGGCAAACACGGUUGAACGACGUCAGGCGUGACAUGCCAUCACCGCCUUUGGACAGCAGACACGGUCGAACGACGUCAGGUAGGGCAUGCUAUCAUCGUCUUUGGGCCGCACACACGGUCGAAAGACGUCGGGUGUGGCAUGACAUCACCACCCUUGGACGUCACACACGGUCGAACGUCGUUGGGCGUGGCAUGCCAUCUUCGCCUUUGGGCAGCACACACGAUCGAAUGACGUUGGGCGUGGCAUGACAUCACCGUAUUUGGGCAGCACACACGGUCAAACAACGUCGAGCGUGACAUGCCAUCACCGCCUUUGGAUAGCACACACGGUCGAAUGACGUCGGGCGUGGCAUGCCAUCAUCACCUUUGGGAAGCACACACGAUCGAACUACGUCGGGCGUGGCAAUGCCAUCAUCGCCUUUGGGAAGCACAAAUGGUCGAACGACGUCCGGGCGUGGCAUGCCAACAUCACCUUUGGGCAGCACACACGAUCGAACGACGUCGGGUGUGGCAUGCCAGCAUCGCCUUUGGGCAGCACACACGGUCGAAGGACGUCGAGCGUGGCAUGACAUGCGCACAUGAUCGAACAACGUCGGGCGCGACAUGCCAUCAUCGCCUUUGGAAAGCACACACGGUCGAACGACGUCGGGCGUGGCAUGCCAUCAUCACCUUUGGGCAGCACAAACAGUCGGAUGGCGUCGCGCGUGGCCUGCCAUUAUCUCCUUUAGGCAGCACAAAUGGUCAAACGACGUCGGGCGUGGCAUGACAUAUACCGCCCUAGGACUGCACGCAUAGUCGGACGACGUCGGGCGUGGCAUGACAUCACUGCCCUUGGAUAACACACAUGGUCGAACGACUUCGGGCGUCGCAUGACAUCACCGCCCUUGGACGGCAUGCACGGUCGAACGACGUCAGGCGUGGCAUGACAUCACCACCCUUAAACAGAACAGAAAAUCGGCAACGUCGGGCGUGGCAUGACAUCACCGCCAUAGGACAGCACACGGUCGGACGACGUCGGGCAUGGCAUGACAUCCCCGCCCUAGGGCAGCACACACAGUCAGACUACAUCAAGCGUGGCAUGACAUCACCGCCUUUGUACAGCACACACGGUCGAACAACGUCGGGCGUGGCAUGACAUCACUGCCCUUGAACUGCACGUACGGUCAGACGACGUCGGGCGGGGCAUGUCAUAAUAGCCCUUGGACGACACACACGGUCGGACUUCGUCGGGCGUGGCAUGACAUACCGCCUUUGGACAACACACACGGUCGAUCGACGUAGGGCGUAGCAUGCCAUCAUCGCCUUUGGGCAGCACACACAGUCGAACAACGUCAGGCGUGGCAUGACAUCACCGCCUUUGGACAGCACACAAGGUUGAAUGACGUCAAGCCUGGCAUGCCAUCAUAACCUUUGGGCAGCACACACGGUCGAACUACUUCGGGCGUGGCAUGCCAUCAUCGCCUUAAGGAAGCACAAAUGGUCAAACGACGUUAGGCGUGGCUGGACAUCACCGCCUUUGGAUAGCACACACGGUCUAACGACGUCAGGCGUGGCAUGACAUCACCACCUUGGGGUAGGCACACACGGUUGAACGACGUCGAGCGUGGCAUGCCAUCAUCGCCUUAAGGCAGAACAAAUGGUCAAGCGACGUCGGGCGUGGCAUGACAUCACCGCCCUUGGACUGCUCGCACGGUCGGCAACGUCGGGCGUGGCAUGACAUCACCGCCUUUGGACAGCACACACGGUAGAACAACGUAAGGCGUGACAUGACAUCACACCUUUAGACAACACACACGGUGGAACGACGUCGAGCGUGGCAUGCCAUCAUCGCCUUUGGACUAGCUGACACAGUCGGAUGACGUUGGGCGUGGCAUGCCAUCAGCGCCCUUGGACGGGAAACAUGAUCGAAUGACAUAGAGCGUGGCAAGCCAUCAACGUCUAGGGACAGCACACACGGAAGGACGACGUCGGGCGUGUCAUGCUAUCAUCACCUUUGGGCAGCACAGACGGUUGGACGACGUUGGGCGUGGCAUGCCAUCACCGCCCUUGGACAGCAACAUGGUCGGAUGACAUUAAGCAUGGCAUGCCAUCACCGCCCAUGGACAGCACACACGAUAGGACUACGUCGGGCGUGGCAUGACAUCACAACCUUUGGUCAGCACACACGGUCGAACGACGUCGGGCGUGGCAUGCCAUCAUCGCCUUUGGGCAGCACACACGGUCGAUCGACAUCGGGCGUGGCAUGCCAUCAUAGCCUAUGGACGGCAAACACCGUCGAACAACGUUAGGCGUGACAUGCCAUCACCGCCUUUGGACAGCAGACACGGUCGAACGACGUCGGGUACGACAUGCUAUCAUUGCCUUUGGACCGCACACACGGUCAAAAGACGUCGGGCGUGGCAUGACAUCACCGCCUUUGUACAGCACACACGGUCAAACGACGUCGGGCGUGACAUAUCAUCACAGCCUUUGGACAGCGCACACGGUCGAACAACGUCGUGCGUGGCAUGCAAUCAUCACCUUUGGGCAGCACACACGGUCUAACUACGUCGAGCGUGGCAUGCCAUCAUCGCCGUUGGGCAGCACCAACGGUCGAACGACGUCGGGCGUGGCAUGCCAUCACCGCCUUUCGAUAGCACACACGGUCGAACGACGUCGGGUAGGGCAUGCCAUCAUCGCCUUUGGACAGCACACACAGUCGAAAGACGCCGGGCGUGGCAUGACAACUCACGCCUUUGGACAGCACACACGAUCAAACGACGUCGGGCGUGAUAUGCCAUCACCGCCUUUGGACAUCACACACGGUCGAACGACGUCGGGCGUGGCAUGCUAGCAUCGCCUAAAGGCAGCACACACAGUCGAAAGAUGUCGGGCGUGGCAUGACAUCACCGCCUUUGGACAGCACACACGGUCGAACGACGUCGGGCGUUACAUGCCAUUACCGCCUUUGGACAGCACACACGGUCGAACGACGUUGGGCAUGGCAUGCCAUCAUCACCUUUGGGCAGCACAAACGGUUGGACGGCAUCGGGCGUGGCAUGCCAUCGUCGCAUUUGGGCAGCACACAAUCAUCGCCUUUAGGCAGCACAAACGGUCGAACGACAUCGGGCGUGGCAAGCCAUCAUCACCUUUGGGCAGCACACACGGUCGAAUGACGUCGGGCGUGGCAUGCCAGCAUCCUUUUAAGGCAGCACACACAGUCGAAAGACGUCGAGCGUGGCAUGACGUCACCGCCUUUUGACAGCACACACGGUCGAAUGACGUUGGGCAUGACAUGCCAUCCCCACCUUUGGACAGCACACACGGUCGAACGACGCUGGGCAUGGCAUGCCACCAUCACCUUUGGGCAGCACAAACGGUCAAACGGCAUCAGGCGUGGCAUGCCAUCGUCACCCUUGGACGGCAAACACGGUCGAAUGACGUCGGGUGUGGAAUGCCAUCAUCUCCUUUUGGCAGUAUGCACGGUCGACAUCGUCAGGCAUGGCAUGCCAUCAUGGACCUUGGACACCACACACGAUCGAACGAAGUCGGUCGUGGCAUGCCAUCAUAGCCCUUGACCGGCAAACAAGGUUGAAUGACGUCGGGCGUGGCAUGUCAUCAUCGCCUUUGGACUAGCUGACACCAUCGAACGGCGUCGGGCUUGGCAUGCCAGCAUCGCCCUUCGACAAGACACACGGUCGAACGACGUAGAGCAUGGAAUGCCAUCAACGCCUUUGGACAGUACACAUGGUCGGAUGACGUCAGGCGUGGCAUGCCAUCAUCGCCUUUGGGCAGUACACAUGGUCGGAUGACGUCGGGCGUGGCAUGCCAUCACUACCCUUGGACAGCACACACGGUAGGACGACGAUGGGCGUGGCAUGACUUCACCGCUCUUGGACUGGACGCAUGGUCGGACUACAUCGGGCAUGGCAUGACAUCACCACCUUUGGAAAGCACGCACGGUCGGCAACGUCGGGCGUGGCAUGACAUCGCCGCUCUUGGAUAGCACGCAUGGUCGGACAACAUCGGGCAUGGCAUGACAUCACCGCCCUUGGGAAGCACACACGGUCGGACUACAUCGAGCGUGGCAUUCCAUUAUCGCCUUUGGGCAGCACAAGGUCGAAAGACGUCAGGCGUGGAAUGACAUCACCUCCUUUGGACAGCGCACACGGUCGAACGACGUCGGGCGCAACAUGCCAUCAACGCCUUUGGAAAGCACACACGAUCGAACGACGUCGGGCGUGGCAUGCCAUCAUCACCUUUGGGCAGCACAAACGGUCGGACGGCGUCAGGCGUGGCAUGCGUUCAUCGCCCUUGGACGGUGAACACGGUCGAACGACGUCGGGUGUGGCAUGCAUUAUCGCCUUUGGGCAGCACACACUGUCGAAAGUCGUCGGGCGUGGCAUUCCAUCAUGGCCCUUGGAUAGCACACACGGUCGAACGACGUUGGGCGUGGCAUGACCUCAUAGCCCUUAAAUGGCAAACAAGGUUGAACGACGUCGGGCGUGGCAUACCAUCAUCGCCUUUGGACUAGUUGACACGGUCGAACGACGUUGAGCGCAGGCAUUCCAAUAUCGCCUUUGGGCAACACACACGGUCGAACGACGUCAAGCGUGGCAUGCCAUUAUCUCCUUUAGGCAGCACAAACGGUCAAACGACGUCGGGCGUGGCAUGACAUCACCGCCCUAGGAUUGCACGUACUGUCAGACGACGUCGGGCGUGGCAUGAAAUCACCGCCCUUGGACAGCACACACGGUCGAACGACAUCGGUCAAGGCAAGACAUUACCGCCCUUAGAUGGCACGCAUGGUCGAACGACGUCGGGCGUGGCAUGACAUAACCACCCUUGGACAACACAGACAAUCGGCAACGUCGGGCGUGGCAUGCCAUCACCACCUUGGACAUCACACACGGUCGGAUGACGUCGAGCUUGGCAUGCCAUCACCGCCCUUCGACAACACACAUGGUAGGACGACGUCGGGCGUGGCAUGACCUCACCGCCCUUGGGCAGCACACACGGUCGGACUACGUCGGGCGUGGCAUGGCAUCACCGCUCUUUGACAGAACGCACAGUCGGCAACAUCGGGCGUGGCAGGACAUCACCGCCCUUGGGCAGCACACACGACUAAACGCCAUCGGGUUUAGCAUGCCAUCAUCUCCUUUGGGCAGCACAUACGGUCGAACAACGUCGGCCAUGGCAUGAAAUAAAUGCCUUUGGAAAGCACACACGACCGAACGAUGUCGGGCGUGGCAUGCCAUCAUCGCCUUUGGGUAGCACAUACGAUCGAAUGACGUCGGGCAAGGCAUGCCAUCAGAGCCCUUGGACAGCACACACGGUCGAACGAUGUCGGGUGUGGCAUUCCAUCAUGGACCAUGGAAAACACACACGGUCGAACAACGUCGGGCGUGGCAUGCCAUCAUAGCCCUUGAACGGCAAAAAGGGUUGAACGACAUUGGGCGUGGCAUGCCAUCAUCACUGUUAAAUGAGCUGACACAGUCGGAGGCGUCGGUAGUGGUAUGCCAUCAUCUCCCUUGGACGGCAAACACAGUCAAACGGUGUCGGGGGUGGCAUGCCAUCACCACCUUUGGACAGCACACACAGUCGGACGAUGUCGAAAGUGGCAUGCCAUCAUCUCCUUUAGGCAGCACAGACGGUCGGACGGCUUCGGGCGUGGCAUGCCAUCAUCGCCCUUGGACAGCACACACGGUAGGCAAUGUCGGGCGUGGCAUUACAUCACCGCCCUUGGAGAGCACACACGGUCGAACGACGUAUGGCAUGGCAUGAUAUCACGGCCCUUGGACUGCACGCACAAUCAGACGACGUCGAGCGUGGCAUGACAUCACCGCCUUUGGAUAACAAACACGGUCUUUAACGUCGGGCAUAGCAUGACAUCACCGCUCUUGGACAGCACACAUGGUCAGACGAUGUCGAGCAUGGCUUGACAUCACCGCCCUUGGACAGAACACACGGUCGAACGAUGUUGGGCGUAGCAUGACAUCACCGCCCUUGGACAGAACACACAGUCGGCAACGUCGGGCGUGGCAUACCAUCACCGCCCUUGGAAAGCACAGACAGUCGAACUACGUCGGGCAUGGCAUGACAUCACCGCCCUUGGGCAGCACACACGGUCGGCAACAUCGGGCAUUACAUGACAUAACCACCCUUUGAAAACAUACACGGUGGGCAACGUCGGGCGUGGCAUGACAUCACCGCCCUUGGACAGCACACACGAUCGGCAACAUCAGGUGUUGCAUGCCAUCAUCGCCUUUGGACAGCACACACGGUCGAACGACGUCGGGUGUGGCUUGCCAUCAUUGCCUUAAGGCAGCACAAAUGGUCAAAUGACGUCAGGCGUGGCAUGACAUCAUCAACUUUGAACAACACACACGGUCGAACGACGUCAGAUGUGGCAUGACAUCACCGCCUUGGGGAAGCACACACGGUCGAACAACGUCGUGCGUUGCAUGCCAUCAUCGCCUUAAGGCAGAACAAAUGGUCAAAUGACAUCGGGCGUGGCAUGCUAUCAUCGCCUUUGGGCAACGCAGACGGUCGGCAACGUCAGGCGUGGCAUGACAUCACCGCCUUUGAACAGCACACACGGUCGAACGACGUCAGGCGUGACAUGACAUCACCGCCUUUGGAUAACACACACGGUGGAACGACGUCGGGCGUAGCAUGCCAUCAUCGCCUUUGGACUAGCUGACACAGUCGGAUGGCGUCAUGUAUGGCAUGCCAUCAUCGCCCUUGGACGGGAAACACCAUCGACAACGUAGAGCGUGGCAUGCCAUCAACGCCUAGGGACAACACACACGGAAGGACGACGUUGGGCGUGUCAUGCUAUCAUCGCCUUUCGGCAGCACAGACGGUUAGACGACGUCAGGCGUGGCAUGCCAUCACCGCCCUUGGACAGCACACAUGGUCGGAUGACGUUGGGCGUGGCAUGCCAUCACCGCCCUUGGACAGCACACACGGUAGGACUACGUCGGGCGUGGCAUGCCAUUAUCACCUUUGGGUAACACACACAGUCGAACGACGUCGGGCAUGGCAUGACAUCAUAGCCUAUGGACGGCAAACACGGUCGAACGACGUCAAGUGUGACAUGCCAUCACCGCCUUUGGACAGCACACACAGUCGAACGACGUCAGGUAGGGCAUGCCAUCAUCGCCUUUGGGCCGCACACACGGUCGAAAGACGUCGGGCGUGGCAAGAAAUCACUGCCUUUUGACAGCACACACGGUCAAACGACGUCGGGCAUGACAUGCCAUCACUGCCUUAGGACAGCACACACGGUCGAACGAUGUCGUGCUUGUAAUGCCAUCAUCUCCUUUGGGCAGCACACACGGUCGAACUAUGUCGGGCGUGGCAUACCAUCAUCACCAUUGGGUAGCACAAACGGUCAAACGACAUUAGACGUGGCAUGCCAGCAUCGCCUUAAGGCAGCACACACAGUCAAAAGACAUCAAGCAUUGAAUGACAUCACCGCCAUUGGACAGCACACACAGUCGAAAGACGUCGGGCGUGACAUGCAAUUACCACCUUUGGACAGCACACACGGUAGGACGGCAUCGGGCGUGGCAUUCCAUCGUCGCCCUUGGACGGCAUACACGGUCGAACGACGUCGGGCGUGGAAUGCAAUCAUCUCCUUUGGGCAGUACGCACGGUCGACAUCGUCAGGCGUGGCAUGCUAUCACCCUAGGAAACCACACACGAUCGAACGAAGUCGGUCGUCGCAUGCCAUCAUAGCCCUUGAACGGCAAACAAGGUUGAAUGACGUCGGGCGUGGCAUGCCAUCUUCGCCUUUGGACUAGCUGACACAGUCGGACGGCGUCGGGCGUGACAUGCCAUCAUAGCCCUUGGAUGGGAAACACGGUCGAACGACGUAGAGCGUGGCAUGCCAUCAACGCCUAAGGACAGCACACAAGAAUGGACGACAUCGGGUGUGGCAUGCUAUUAUCUCCUUUGGGCAGCACAGACUGUCGGACGACGUAGACCGUUGAAUGCCAUCAAUGCCUUGGGAUAGCACAAAUGAAAGGACGACGUCGAGCGUGGCAUGCCAUCACCGCCCUUGGACAGCACACGUGGUCAGAUGACAUCUGGCGUGGCAUGCCAUCACUGCCCUUGGACAGCACACACGGUGGGACGACGUUGGGCGUGGCAUGAGAUCACCGCUCUUGGACUGCACGCAUGGUCGGACUACGUCGGGCGUGGCAUGACAUCACAACCUUUGGAUAGCACACACGGUCGAACGACGCGUGGCAUGGCAUGACAUCACCGCCCUUGAACUGCACGCGUGGUCAGACGACAUCGGGCGUGGCUUGACAUCUCCGAUCAUGGACAGCACGCAUGGUCGGACGACAUCGGACAUGGCAUGACAUUACCGCCCUUGGGCAGCACACACGGUCGGACUACGUCGGGCGUGGCAUGACAUCACCUCCUUUGGACAGCACACACGGUCGAACGACUUCGUGCGUGGCAUGCCAUCAUCGCCUUUGGGCAGCACACACAGUCAAAUGACGUGGGGCGUGGCAUACAAUCAUAGCUCAUAGAUGGCAAACACGAUCGAACGACGUCGGGCGUGGAAUGCCAUUAUCGCCUUUGGGCAGCACACACGGUCGAACGACGUCGGGUGUGGCAUGCCGUCAUGGCCCUUGGACACCACACACGGUCGAACGAAGUCGGGCGUGGCAUUCCAUCAUAGCCCUUGAACAGGAAACACGGUUGAACGACGUCAGGCGUGGCAUGCCAUCAUCGCCUUUGGACUAGCUGACACACUCAGACGGCGUCGGGUGUGGCAUGCUAUCAUUUCCCUUGGACGGGAAACAUGGUCGAACGACGUAGUGCGUAGCAUACCAUCAAUGCCAUGGGACAGCACAUAUGGAAGAACGACGUCGGGCGUGGCAUGACAUCAUCACCUUUGGGCAGCACACACGGUUGAACUACGUCGGGCGUGGCAUGCCAUCAUCGCCUUUGGGUAGCACAAACGGUCGAACGACGUCGGGCGUGGCAUGCCAUCAUCACCUUUGGGCAGCACACACGGUCGAACGACGUCGGGUGUGGCAUGCCAUAAUCGCCUUAAGGCAGCACACACAGUCGAAAGACGUCGGGCGUGGCAUGAAAUCACCGCCUUUAGACACCACACACGAUCGAACGACGUCAAGCGUGACAUGCCAUGACCGCCAUACGACAACACACGAUAGGACGACGUCGGGCAUGGCAUGACAUCACCGCCCUAGGGUAGCACACACGGUCAGACUACGUCAGGCGUGGCAUGACAUCAGCGCCUUCGUACAGCACACACGGUCGAACGACGUCGGGCAUGGCAUGCCAUCAUCGCCUUUGGACAGCAUACACGGUCAAACGACGUCGAGCGUGGCAUUCCAUUAUCGCCUUUGGGCAGCACACACAGUCGAACUACGUCGGGCGUGGCAUGCCAUCUUGCCUUGAGGAAGCACACACGGUCGAACGACGUCGCGCGUGGCAUGAAAUCACCGCCCUUGGACGGCACGCACAGUCAAACGACGUCGGGCGUGGCAUGCCAUCAUCACCUUUGGGCAGCACAAACGGUCGAACGACGUCGGGCGUGGCAUGCCAUCUUGCCUUGAGGAAGCACACACGGUCGAACGACGUCGCGCGUGGCAUGACAUCACCGCCCUUGGACGGCACGCACAGUCAAACGACGUCGGGCGUGGCAUGACAUCACCACCCUUGGAUUGCACAGACAAUCAGCAACGUAGGGCGUGGCAUGACAUCACCGCCAUAGUGUCGCACACGGUCGGAGGAUGUCGGGCAUGGCAUAACAUCACUGCCCUUGGGCAACAAACACGGUUGGACUACAUCAGGCGUGGCAUGACAUCACUGCCUUUGUACAACACACACGGUCGAACGACGUCAGGCGUGGCAUGCCAUCAUCGCCUUGGGGCAGCACACACGAUCGAAUGACGUCUAGCGGGGCAUGCCAUAAUAGCCCAUGGAUGGCAAACACGAUCGAAUGACGUCAGGCGUGACAUGCCAUCACCGCCUUUGGACAAAACACACGGUCGAACGACGUUGGGCAUAGCAUGCCAUCUUGACUUUGGGAAGCACACAUGGUCGAAAGAUGUCAGCAGUGGUAUGAUACACCACCUUUGGGCAGCACACACAUUCAAACGACGUCGGGCGUGACAUGCCAUCACCGCCUUUAGACAACACACACGAUCGAACGAAGUUGGGCGUGGCAUGCCAUCAUCGCCCUUGAACGGCAAACAAGGUUGAAUGACGUCAGGCGUGGCAUGCUAUCAUCGCCUUUGGACUAGCUGACACAGUCGGACGGCAUCGGGCGUGGCAUGCCAUCUUCGCCCUUGGAUGGGAAACACGGUUAAAUGACGUAGAGCGUGGCAUGCCAUCAACGCCUAAGGACAGCCACAAGGAAGGACGGCGUCGGGCGUGGCAUGCUAUCAUCUCCUUUGGACAGCACACAUGGUUGGAUGAUGUCGGGCGUGGGAUGCCAUCACUGCCCUUGGACAGCACACACGGUAGGACGACAUCGGGCGUGGUAUGAGAUCACCACUCUUGGACUGCACGCAUGGUCAGACUACGUCGGGCAUGGCAUGACAUCACCACCUUUGGACAGCACAUACGGUAGAACGACGCGUGGCAUGUUAUGACAUCAUCGCCCUUGAACUGCACGCACGGUCAGACGACAUCAAGCGUGGCAUGCUAUCACCGCCUUUGGACAGCACACACAAUCGGACGAUUUCGGGCGUGGCAUGCCAUCAUCUCCUUUGGGCAGCACAGACGGUCGGACGGCUUCGGGUGUGGCAUGCCAUCAUCGCCCUUGGACAGCACAAACUAUCGGCUGUCAUCGGGCAUGGCAUUACAUCACCGCCCUUGGACAGCACAUACGGUCGAACGACGUCUACCAUGGCAUGACAUUAAGCCUGGCAUGCCAUCAUCACCUUUGGGCAACACACACGGUCGAACUACGUCGGGCGUGGCAUGCCAUCAUCGCCUUAAGGAAGCACAAAUGGUCAAACGAUGUUAGGCGUGGCAGGACAUCACCGCUUUUGGACAGCACACACAGUCUAACUACGUCAGGCGUGGCAUGACAUCACUGCCUUGGGGUAGGCACACACGGUUGAACGACGUCGAGCGUGGCAUGCCAUCUUCGCCUUAAGGCAGAACAAACGGUCAAGCGACAUCGGGUGUGGCAUGACAUCACCGCCCUUGGACUGCUCGCACGAUCGGCAACGUCGAGCGUGGCAUGACAUUAACGGCUUUGGACAGCACACACGGUAGAACAACGUAAGGCGUGACAUGACAUCAGGCCUUUAGACAACACACACGGUGGAACGACAUCGAGCGUGGCAUACCAUCAUCGCCUUUGGACUAGCUGACACAGCCGGACGGCGUUGGGCGUGGCAUGCCAUCAGCGCCCUUGGACGGGAAACAUGAUCGAACGACAUAGAGCGUGGCACGCCAUCAACGCCUAGGGACAGCACACACGGAAGGAUGACGUCGGGCGUGUCAUGCUAUCAUCGCCUUUGGGCAGCAUAGACGGUCGGACGACGUUGGGCGUGGCAUGCCAUCACCGCCCUUGGACAACACACAUGGUCGGAUGACGUUAAGCGUGGCAUGCCAUCACCGCCCAUGGACAGCACACACGAUAGGACUACGUCGGGCGUGGCAUGACAUCACAUCCUUUGGACAGCACACACGGUCGAAUGACGUCGGGCGUGGCAUGCCAUCAUCGCCUUUGGGCAACACACACGGUCGAACGACAUAGGGCGUGGCAUGCCAUCAUAGCCUAUGGACGGCAAACACGGUCGAACGACGUUAGGCGUGACAUGCCAUCACCGCCUUUGGACAGCAGACACGGUCGAACGACGUCAGGUAGGGCAUGCUAUCAUCGCCUUUGGACCGCACACACGGUCAAAAGACGUCGGGCGUGGCAUGACAUCACCUCCUUUGGACAGCACACACGGUCAAACGACGUCGGGCGUGACAUAUCAUCACCGCCUUUGGACAGCGCACACGGUCGAACAACGUCAGGCGUGGCAUGCAAUCAUCACCUUUGGGCAGCACACACGAUCUAACUACGUCGGGCGUGGCAUGCCAUCAUCGCCUUUGGGCAGCACCAACGGUCGAACGACGUCGGGCGUGGCAUGCCAUCAUCUCCUUUGGGCAGCACACACGGUCGAACGACGUCAGGCUUGGCAUGCCAUCAUAGCCCAUGGACGACAAACACUGUCGAACGACAUCAGGCGUGACAUGCCAUCACCGCCUUUGGAUAGCACACACGAUCGAACGACGCUAGGCAUGGCAUGCCAUCAUCACCUUUGGGCAGCACAAACGGUUGGACGACAUCGGGCGUGGCAUGCCAUUGUCGCCUUUGGGCAGCACACAUGGUCGAACUACGUCGGGCGUGGCAUGCCAUCUUCACCUUUGCGCAGCACACACGGUCGAACGACGUCGGGCGUGGCAUGCCAUCAUCACCUUUGGGCAGCACACACAGUCGAAAGAAGUUGAGCGUGGCAUGACAUCACCGCCUUUUGACAGCACACACGGUCGAACGACGUUGGGCGUGACUUGCCAUCCCCACCUUUGGACAGCACACACGGUCGAACGACGCUGGGCAUGGCAUGUCAUCAUCACCUUUGGGCAGCACAAAGAGUCGGACGGCAUCGGGCGUGGCAUGCCAUCGUCGCCCUUGGACGGCAAACACGGUCGACAUCGUCGGGUAUGGCAUGCCAUCAUGGACCUUAGACACCACACACGAUCGAAUGAAGUCGGUCGUGGCAUGCCAUCAUAGCCCUUGAACGGCAAACAAGGUUGAAUGACGUCGGACGUGGCAUGUCAUCAUCGCCUUUGGACUAGCUGACACCAUCGGACGGCGUCGGGCGUGGCAUGCCAGCAUCGCCUUUCGACAGGACACACGGUCGAACGACGUAGAGCGUGGAAUGCAAUAAACGCAUUUGAACAGUACACAUGGUCGGAUGACGUUGGGCGUGGCAUGCCAUCAUCGCCUUUGGGCAGUACACAUGGUUGGAUGACGUCGGGCGUGGCAUGCCAUCAAUACCCUUGGACAGCACACACGGUAGGACGACGACGGGCGUGGCAUGACUUCACCGCUCUUGGACUGCAUGCAUGGUCGGACUACGUAGGGCGUGGCAUGACAUCACCAUCUUUCGAUAGCACGCACGGUCGGCAACGUCGGGCAUGGCAUGACAUCGCCGCUCUUGGAUAGCACGCAUGGUCGGACAACAUCGGGCAUGGCAUGACAUCACCGCCCUUGGGAAGCACACACGGUCGGACUACGUCGGGCGUGGCAUGACAUCACCUCCUUUGGACAACACACAUGGUCGAAUGACAUUGGGCAUGGAAUGCCAUCAUCGCCUUUGGGCAGCGCAGACGGUCGGCAACGUCAGGCGUGGCAUGACAUCACCGCCUUUGGACAGCACACACGGUCGAACGACGUCAGGCGUGACAUGACAUCACCGCCUUUGGACAACACACACGGUGGAACGACGUUGGGCGUGACAUGCCAUCACCGCCUUUGGCCAACACACACAAUCGAACGAAGUUGGGCAUGGCAUGACGUCACCGCCUUUGGGCAGCACACAUAGUCGAACGACGUCGGGCGUGGCAUGACAUCACCACCUUGAGGCAGCACACACGGCCAAACGACAUCGAGCGUGGCAUGCCAUCAUCGCCUUAAGGCAGAACAAAUGGUCAAACGACAUCGGGCGUGGCAUGCUAUCAUCGCCUUUGGGCAGCGUAGACGGUCAGCAACGUCAGGCAUGGCAUGACAUCACCGCCUUUGGACAACACAAACAGUCGAACGACGUCAGGCGUGACAUGACAUCACCGCCUUUGGACAACACACACGGUGGAACGACGUCGAGCGUGGCAUGCCAUCAUCGGCUUAAGGCAAAAAAAAUAGUCAAACGACAUCGGGCGUGGCAUGCUAUCAUCGCCUUUGGGCAGCGCAGACAGUUGGCAAGGUCGGGCGUGACAUGACAUCACCGCCUUUGGACAGCACACACGGUCGAACGAUGUCAGGCGUGACAUGACAUCACCGCCUUUGGACAACACACACGGUGGAACGACUUUGGGCGUGACAAGACAUCACCGCCUUUGGCCAACACACACGAUCGAACGACGUCGGGCAUGGCAUGACGUCGCCGCCUUUGGGAAGCACACAUGGUCGAAUGACGUCGGGCGUGGCAUGACAUCACCGCCUUUGGGAAGCACACACAGUUGAACGACGUUGGGCGUGGCAUGACAUCACCACCUUUGGACAGCACACACAGUUGAAUGACGUCAAGCCUGGCAUGCCAUCAUCACCUUUGGGCAGCACACACGGUCGAACUACGUCGAGCGUGGCAUGCCAUCAUCGCCUUUAGAUUAGCUGACACAGUCGGACGGCGUUGGUCGUGGCAUGCCAUCAGCGCCCUUGGACGGGAAACAUGAUCGAACGACAUAGAGCGUGGCAUGCCAGCAACGCCUAGGGACAUCACACACGGAAGGACGACGUCGGGCGUGUCAUGCUAUCAUCGCCGUUGGGCAGCACAGACGGUCAGACGACGUUGGGCGUGGCAUGCCAUCACCGCCCUUAGACAGCACACAUGGUCGGAUGACGUUAAGCGUGGCAUGCCAUCACCGCCCAUGGAAAGCACACACGAUAGGACUACGUCGGGCGUGGCAUGACAUCACAUCCUUUGGACAGCACAAACGGUCGAACGACGUCGGGCGUGACAUGCCAUCAUCGCCUUUGGGCAGCACACACGGUCGAACGACAUCGGGCAUGGCAUGCCAUCAUAGCCUAUGGACGGCAAACACGAUCGAACAACGUCGGGCGUGGCAUGCAAUCAUCACCUUUGGGCAGCACACACGGUCUAACUACGUCGGGCGUGGCAUGCCAUCAUCGCCUUUGGGCAGCACCAACGGUCGAACGACGUCGGGCGUGGCAUGCCAUCAUCUCCUUUGGGCAGCACACACGGUCGAACGACGUCAGGCGUGGCAUGCCAUCAUAUCCCAUGAACGGCAAACACGGUCGAAUGACAUCAGGCGUGACAUGCCAUCACUGCCUUUGGAUAGCACACAUGGUCGAACGACGUCGGGUAGGGCAUGCCAUCAUCGCCUUUGGGCAGCACACAAAGUCGAAAGACAUCGGGCGUGGUAUGACAACUCACGGCUUUGGACAGCACACACGAUCAAAUGACGUCGGGCGUGACAUGUUGUCACCGCCUUUGGACAUCACACACGGUCGAACGACGUCGGGCGUGGCAUGCCAUCAUCACCUUUGGGCAGCACACACAGUCGAAAGACGUCGAGCGUGGCAUGACAUCCCCGCCUUUUGACAGCACACACGGUCGAACGACGUUGGGCGUGACAUGCCAUCCCCACCUUUGGACAGCACACACGGUCGAACGACGCAGGGCAUGGCAUGCCAUCAUCACCUUUGGGCAGCACAAACGGUUUGACGGCAUCGGGCGUGGCAUGCCAUCGUCGCCCUUGGACGGCAAACACGGUCGAAUGACGUCGGGUGUGGAAUGCCAUCAUCCCCUUUGGGCAGUAUGCACGGUCGACAUCGUCGGGCAUGGCAUGCCAUCAUGGACCUUGGACACCACACACGAUCGAACGAAGUCGGUCGUGGCAUGCCAUCAUAGCCCUUGAAUGGCAAACAAGGUUGAAUGACGUCUGACGUUGCAUGUCAUCAUCGCCUAUGGACUAGCUGACACCAUCGGAUGGCGUCAGGAGUGGCAUGCCAGCAUCGCCCUUCAACAGGACACACGGUCGAACGACGUAGAGCGUGGAAUGCCAUCAACGCCUUUGGACAGUACACAUGGUCGGAUGACGUCGGGCGUGGCAUGCCAUCAUCGCCUUUGGGCAGUACACAUGGUAGGAUGACGUCGGGCGUGGAAUGCCAUCACUACCCUUGGACAGCACACACGGUAGGACGACGACGGGCGUGGCAUGACUUCACCGCUCUUGGACUGCACGCAUGGUCGGACUACGUCGGGCGUGGCAUGACAUCGCCGCUCUUGGAUAGCACGCAUGGUCGGACAACAUCGGGCAUGGCAUGACAUCACCGCCCUUAGGAAGCACACACGGUCGGACUACGUCGGGCGUGGCAUGACAUCACCUCCUUUGGACAGCACACAUGGUCGAAUGACAUUGGGCGUGGAAUGCCAUCAUCGCCUUUGGGCAGCACACACGGUCGAACGAAGUCGGGCGUGGCAUGCCAUCAUAGCCCUUGAACGGCAAACAAGGUUGAACAAGGUCAGGCGUGGCAUGCCAUCAACGCCUUUGGACUAGCUGACACUCUCAAACGGCGUCGGGCGUGGCAUGCCAUCAUCGCCCUUGGACGGGAAACAUGGUCGAACGACUUAGAGCAUGGCAUGCCAUCAACACCUUGGGACAGCACACACGGAAGAACGACGUAGGGCGUGGCAUGACAUCACCGCCCUUGGACAGCACACACGGUCGAACAACAUCGGGUGUGGCAUGACAUCACCGCCCUUGGACAACACAGACAAUCGGCAACAUCGGGCGUGGCAUGACUUCACCGCCAUAGACAGCACACGGUCAAACGACGUCAGGCAUGGCAUGACAUCACCGCCCUUGGGCAGCACACACGGUCAGACUACGUCAAGCGUGGCAUGACAUCACCGCCAUUGUACAGCACACACGGUCGAACGACGUCGAGCGUGGCAUUCCAUUAUCACCUUUGGGCAGCACACAAGGCGAACUACGUCGGGCGUGGCAUGCCAUCAUCGCUUUUGGGCAGCACACACGGUCGAACGACAUUGGGCGUGGCAUGCCAGCAUCGCCUUUGGGCAGCACAAGGUCGAAAGACGUCAGGCGUGGCAUGACAUCACCUCCUUUGGAUAGCGCAAACGGUUGAACGACGUCGGGCGCGACAUGCCAUCACCGCCUUUGGAAAGCACACACGGUCGAACGACGUCGGGCGUGGCAUGCCAUUAUCACAUUUGGGCAGCACAAACGGUCGGACGGCAUCGGGCGUGGCAUGCGUUCAUCGCCCUUGGACGGCGAACACGGUCGAACGACGUCGGGUGUGGCAUGCAUUAUCGCCUUUGGGCAGCAUACACUGUCGAAAGCCGUCGGGCGUGGCAUUCCAUCUUGGCCCUUGGAUAGCACACACGGUCGAACAACGUUGGGCGUGGCAUGCCCUCAUAGCCCUUAAAUGGCAAACAAGGUUUAACGACAUCGGGCGUGGCAUACCAUCAUCGCCUUUGGACUAACUGACACGGUCGAACGACAUCGAGCGCAGGCAUUCCAAUAUCGCCAUUGGGCAACACACACGGUCGAACGACGUCAAGCGUGGCAUGCAUUUAUCUCCUUUAGGCAGCACAAACGGUCGAACGACGUCGGGCGUGGUAUGACAUCACCGCCCUUGGACAGCACACACGGUCGAACGACGUCGGGGAAGGCAAGACAUUACCGCCCUUAGACGGCACGCACCAUCGAACGAUGUCGGGCGUGGCAUGACAUCACCACCCUUGGACAACACAGACAAUCGGCAACGUCGGGCAUGGCAUGACAUCACCGCCAUAGGACAGCAAAAAUGGUCGUACGACGUCGGGUGUGGCAUGCCAUCACCGCCCUUGGACAUCACACACAGUCGGAUGACGUCACGCUUGGAAUGCCAUCACCGCCCUUCGACAACACACAUGGUAGGACGACGUCGUGCGUGGCAUGACCUCACCGCCCUUGGGCAGCACACACGGUCGGACUACGUCGGGCGUGGCAUGAAAUCACCACCUUUGGAUAGCACACACAGUCUAAUGACGUCGGGCGUGGCAUGCCAUCAUCGCUUAUGGGUAGCACACACGAUCGAAUGACGUCCGAUUCGAAAAGUCCGUGGCAAUUGGUAUCAGAGCAGGUUCGUCGUAAGAGAAUGACGAACGAAGGAGACGGAAGCAGCACUAGUAGCACCCCCAACGUCCGCACUGAUGGUGGCAAGAAGAACAAUAAGGGGAAGAAGCAGCAAACGGGUAAUGAACCCAAUCUGCCCGGUCUUCCACAAAAUGUUCCUCUACCUAGUGUUCCUACACCAAGCGAAGGGCAAACAUCUCUCCCUCCCCAGAUUGUCGAUGGAAGUGACGUAGACACCGGCGAGGAGUCCGUGGACGUUACUGUCGGACCGGAGUGGAUUGCAAGGGUCGAAAUGGCGAGGCAAGCCGUUGAGAUCACAGGCCAGCGCUUGAAUAGAACGGACAGAGAUCUCAAAGCUCUUGUAGAGUACUCCCUUGAGGAAGUUGAGAACGUCCGGAAGGAGUUGGAGGCACGUCAGCGAGCCGAGUGCGAGACAAAUGAGGCCAUUACUUCCUUAGAGAUCAGAUUUAGGGAAGCACUUGGCACAAUCGAGUUGCUUAAGGCCAAGGUGGCAGCACUCGAGGAGGAUAGAGAGUUUGGUGGAUCCUCAUCACAUGACCAGGAAAGGGAAGCCAGAGUUGAAGCGCCCAAGCCACCAGUCUUCAUAGGCGUCCGUGACGCGCAAGGGGUGGAUAAUUUCCUUUGGCACUUGGAGAAUUAUUUCAAGUGUAUGCGGGUCCGUAGUGAUGUGAACAAGAUCAAAACGGCUGUGUUGUAUCUUUCAGAGUUGGCCAUGCUAUGGUGGAAGCGUAAAGAGUCUGACAUCGCAAAGGGGACAUGCGCGUUGAACACAUGGGAGCAGUUCCGUGUGGAGUUAAAGAAGGCGUUCCUCCCUAGCAACGUUGUCUAUGAGGCAAAGCGCAAGAUGCGGGAGUUGAGACAAAAGGGCAGCAUACGUGCAUAUGUGCGGGAGUUUACCACACUUACAUUUCAGAUUCCCGACCUCAAGGACGACGACGCAUUGUCCUACUUCAUGGACGAGUUGCAAAAUUGGGCCAGAAUGGAGUUGGAACGGCGGAAAGUCAGGACUAUAGACGACGCCAUCACGCAGGCUGAAGCCUUGACAGACUUCAGGCGAGAGAAGUCUAUUAGUGCCGAGGAGGACGACGAGGUAGGCACUCAUGAUGAUAGUGGGGAUGACAGUGGCGAAGGCGAGGAGCAAACGCCACAACCCAAAAGGCGUGACACCUACGGGUCCAGCGGCAAGAAGCCCGGAGAUUGUGGCAACACGGUACGAGAUUUGAAAGACGGUUGCUUCAUAUGCAAAGGGCCGCAUGGUUAUAAGAGAUGCCCUGAACUGAAAAGUCUUGGUGCUAUACUCCGUGAGCGGAUGGAAGAGAAAGCCCAAGAGGAAGUCGGGAAGACUAAGCAGUUGGGCGUGGUAAGCCUAUGCGGAGCUGCGAUUGAACAACCAUCGUUGAGGCCAAGGCAAGUUGAGCCAAGGCAAGCGGGGCCGAAGCAUGCUGACAAGGGACUUGCAAAGUCUAUGGCGUGGGCUCAAACAGUUGACAUCACGGUCAAUGGGAAACCUGCUCGUGCGUUGGUCGACACCGGUGCUGAGGUCAAUGUUAUGACCAAGACGGUAGCAAAGAGGUUGGGGUUGCGAUAUACUUCAAGCAACACCCAAAUAAAGUCUGUCAACGCAUCACCGACUCCCAUAGUUGGAGUAGCACAUGGCGUGAACAUCAUGGUAGGCGAUUGGCAAGGGAAAACCAAAUUCAUCAUCGCCCCCAUCAACAUGUUUGAUGUUAUUCUUGGGCAUAAAUUCUUCCAACAGUGCCAUGUAGUAAUCGAUCCUCAUCUUCAAAAAUUGACAAUCAUGGAGAAAGGAAGGGAAUAUACAGUUCCCAUGGUGAAGGCACAAGUGACGGAGGGACAGGCUAGACUGACAGCCAUGAAGCUCGACAGGGGCGACAUGAGAAGAAGGUUAACAACGGCAACAACCAUUGCAAGUUCGAGAGAAGAUAAUGGUGCUGGAAAGUCCAUGCCACCGCGCAAUAAGAGGGUUCCGAGUAGGAACGCUGACAUGAUGAAGAAGACGCCGGAGCACUUUCCUCCGUUGAAGGAGGAAGUUCGGAAGAUCGGGUCGAGAAAGGACGGGACAUCGAUGAAGAGGCUGCUCGAAGGGAUUGAUCGAGUACGCGAGUUGAUGGUCGCCCGGCAGAACUCAACGCCGAUACGGACGCAAUGCGACGCGGACGUCGCAUCAUUAGGUGGGGGAGUUUGUCACGACCCGCCAGAUACCCAGGCAGUUCGCGACCUGCCUAGGCAGCCAGUAGCAGGUGCAGGGGGGCAGGCAGCCCACACCGGUCAGCAGACCAAGGUGCAAGCGCCCAAGCAGGCAGCAGUUGGAGGGGCAGCCGUUACAACCGUUUCGGCAGUUUCAGCCGUUUCAGCUGUUACAGCAGUUACAGCCAUUACAGCUGUUACUGAAGGUGAAGGGGCAGCAGUUUCAAGCCUUGAUGAGGCUUGCUCAAGGCCUCUUGGAACGUGGGGGCAGACUAGUCAAGGCUAGGAGUCCUUUUUUGGAAGACUUAGAAGCAUGUCUUGUGGGCAUGGACUUAGGGGCUUGUAUAUAGUGUAGCAUUUAUUUACUCUUAGUCAUUAGAGUUGUAUAAAUAGGUAGUCAUUGUAUUUGUAAUACAUCUAUCAACCAACAUAUCAAUACAAGUCUUUCUUCCAAAUUCUGUCUUUGUUUUCUCUUUCUAAGUUCUCUUAGCGAUCCAAGUAGAGGAAUGCUUACUUGAGUCUACAAGAUCGUGCAAGAAUCAUGAGUAGACCGUCAAGUGCCGCACGGAGCAUUGUCCGAUUCGAAAAGCCCGUGACACUAUGGACGGCAAACACGGUCGAAUGACGUUAGGCGUGACAUGCCAUCACCGCCUUUGGACAGCAGACACGGUCGAACGACGUCAGGUAGGGCAUGCUUCAUCGCCUUUGGGCCGCACACACGGUCGAAAGACGUCGGGCGUGGCAUGACAUCACCGCCUUUGGACAGCACACACGGUCAAACGACGUCGGGCGUGACAUAUCAUCACCGCCUUUGGACAGUGCACACGGUCGAACAACGUCGCGCGUGGCAUGCAAUCAUCACCUUUGGGCAGCACACACGGUCUAACGACGUCGGGCUUGGCAUACAAUCAUCGCCGUUGGGCAGCACAUACGGUCGAACGACGUCGGGCGUGGCAUGCCGUCAUGGCCCUUCGAUAGCACACACGGUCGAACGAUGUCGGGCGUGGCAUCCUAUCAUAGCCCUUAAACGGCAAACAAGGUUGAACGACGUUGGGCAUGGCAUACCAUCAUCGCCUUUGGACUAGCUGACAUAGUUGGACGACGUUAGGCAUGGCAUGCCAUCAUCGCCCUUGGACGGGAAAAAUGGUCGAACGACGUAGAGCGUGGAAUGCCAUAACCGCCUUGGGACAGCACACACGGUCAGACGACGUCGGGCGUGGCAUGCUAUCAUUGCCUUUGGGCAGCACAGACGGUCGGACGACGUCGAGCGUGGCAUGCCAUCACAACCCUUGGACAGCAGACAAGGUCGGAUGACAUCUGGCGUGGCAUGCCAUCGCCGCCCUUGGACAGCACACACGGUAGGACGACGUGGGGCGUGGCUUGAGAUCACCCCUCUUGGACUGCACGCAUGGUCAGACGUGGCAUGACAUCACUUCCCUUGGACAGCACACACGGUCGAACGACGUCAGGCGUGGCAUGACAUCACCGCCCUUGGACUACACGCACAGUUGGACAACGUCAAGCGUGGCAUGACAUCAACGCCCUUGGACAGCACACAAGGUCAGAACGACGUCGGGCAUGGCAUGCCAUCAUCGCCUUUGGGCAGCACACACAGUCGAACGACGUCAGGCGUGGCAAGCCAUCAUGGACCUUGGACAACACACACGGUCGAACGACGUCAGGCGUGGCAUGCCAUUAUAGACCUUGGACGGCAAACAGGGUCGAACGACAUCAGGCGUGGCAUGCCAUCAUCGCUUUUAAACUAGCUGACACAGUCGAACGGCGUCGGGCGUGGCAUGCCAUCAUCGCCCUAGGACGGCAAACACCGUCGAACGACGUCGGGGGUGGCAUGCCAUCACCGCCUUUGGUCAAGACACACAGUCGGACGACGUCGGGCGUGGCAUGCCAUCAUCUCAUUUGGGCAGCAUAGACGGUCGGAUGGCGUCGGGUGUGGCAUGCCAUCAUCGCCCUUGGACAGCACAAACGGUCGGCUGUCGUCGGGCGUGACAUGCCAUAAUAGCCCUUGGACAUCACACACGGUCGGCAACGUCGGGCGAGGCAUUAAAUCACCGCCCUUGGACAGCACACACGGUCGAACGGCGUCUAGCAUGGCAUGACAUCACCGCCCUUGGACUGCACGGACAAUCGGACGACGUCGGGCGUUGCAUGACAUCACCGCCCUUGGACAACACACAGCCGGCAAUGUCGUGCGUGGCAUCACAUCACCACCCUAGGACAAUACACACGGUCGUCAACGUCGGGCGUGGCAUGACAUCACCUCCCUUGGACAGCACAAACGGUCGGACGACGUCGGGCGUGGCAUGACAUCCCCCCCUUGGACAGCACACACGGUCGAACAAUGUCGGGCGUGGCAUGACAUCACCGCCAUUGGACUGCACGCAUGGUUAGACGACGUUGUUCGUGGCAUGACAACACCGCCCUUGGACAGCAGACACGGUCGAUCGACAUCGGGCGUGGCAUGACCUCACAGCCCUUGGGCAGCACACACGGUCGGACUACGUCGGGCGUGGCAUGCCAUCAUCACGUUGGGCAGCACACACGGUCGAACGACAUCGGGCGUGGCAUGCCAUCAUCGCGUUGAGGCAGUACACAUGGUCGAACGACGUCAGGCGUGACAUGCGAUCAUCGCCUUAAGGCAGCACAAACGAUCAAACGACGUCAGGCGUGGCAUGACAUCACUGCCCUUGGACUGCACGCACUGUCAGCAACGUGGAGCGUGGCAUGACAUCACCGCCCUUGGACAGCACACACGGUCGAUAACGUCGGGCAUGGCAUGGCAUCACCACUCUUUGACUGAACACACUGUCGGCAACGUCGGGCGUGGCAGGCCAUCACCAUUGGGCAGCACACACGGUUAAACGCCUUCGGGUGUGGCAUGCCAUCAUCGCCUUUGGGCAGCACACACGGUCGAAUGACGUCAGGCAUGACAUGAAAUCAACGCCUUUGGAAAGCACACACGAUCGAACGAUUUCGGGCGUGGCAUGCCAUCAACGCCUUUGGGUAGCAUAUACGAUCGAAUGACGUCGGGCAAGGCAUGCCAUCACAGCCCUUGGACAGCACACACGGUCGAACGACAUCGAGUGUGGCAUUCCAUCAUGGACCUUUGACAACACACACAGCCGAACAACGUCGGGCGUGGCAUGCCUUCAUAGCCCUUGGACGGCAAAAAGGGUCGAACGACGUUGGGCGUGGCAUGCCAUCAUCGCUUUUAAACGAGCAGACACAGUCGGACGGCGUCGGGCAUGGUAUGCCAUCAUCUCCCUUAAACGGCAAACACAGUCAAACGAUGUCGGGGGUGGCAUGCCAUCACCGCCUUUGGAGAACACACACAGUCGGACGACGUCGGGCGUGGCAUGCCAUCAUCUCCUUUGGGCAGCACUGACGGUCGGACGGCUUCGGGCGUGGCAUGCCAUCAUCGCCUUUGGAAAGCACACACGGUCGGCAAUGUCGGGCGUGGCAUUACAUCACCGCCCUUGGAAAACACCACGGUCGAACGACGUCUGGCAUGGCAUGACAUCACCGCCCUUGGACUGCACACACGAUCAGAAGACAUCGAGCAUGGCAUAACAUCACCGCCCUUGGAUAACAAACACGGUCUUUAGCAUCGGGCGUAGCAUGACAUCACCGCCCUUGGACAGCACACACGGUCAGACGAUGUUGGGCAUGGCUUGACAUCACCGCCCUUGGAAAGAACACACGGUCGAACGAUGUCGGGCGUAGCAUGACAUCACCGCCCUUGGAUUGCAUGUACGGUCGGAUGGCGUCGGGCGUGGCAUGACAUCACUGCCCUUGGACAGCACACACGGUCGGACUUUGUCGGGUGUGGCAUGACAUCACCACCUUUGGACAACACACACGGUCGACCGACGUCGGGCGUGGCAUGCCAUCAUCGCCUUUGGGCAGCACACACAAUCGAACGACGUCGGGCGUGGCAUGACAUCACCGCCUUUGGACAACACACACAGUGGAACGACGUCGAGCGUGACAUGCCAUCACCGCCUUUGGACAGCACACACGGUCGAAUGAUGUCAUGUGUGGCAUGCCAUCAUCGUCUUAAGACAACACAAAUGGUCAAAAGACGUCAGGCGUGGCAUGACAUCAUCACCUUUGGACAGCACAGACGGUCGAACGACGUCAGGCGUGGCAUGACAUCACCGCCUUGGGGCAGGAACACACAGUCAAACGACGUCGAGCGUGGCAUGCCAUCAUCGCCUUAAGGAAGAACAAACGGAACGUCGAGCGUGGCAUGACAUCACCGCCUUUGGACUGCUCGCACGGUCGGCAACAUCGGGCGUGGCAUGACAUCACCGCCUUUGGACAGCACACACGGUCGAACGACGUCGGGCGUGACAUGACAUCACCGCCUUUAGACAACACACACGGUGGAGCGACUUCGGGCGUGGCAUGCCAUCAUUACCUUUGGACUAGCUGACACAGUCGGACGGCGUCGGGUGUGGCAUGACAUCGUCGCCCUUGGACGGGAAACAUGGUCGAACGACGUAGAGCGUGGCAUGUAAUCAAUGCCUAGGGACAGCACACACGGAAGGACGACGUUGGGUGUGUCAUGCUAUCAUCGCCUUUGGGCAGCACAGACGAUCAGACAACGUCGGGCGUGGCAUGCCAUCACCACCCUUAGAUAGCACACGUGGUCGAAUGACAUUUAGCGUGGCAUGCCAUCACCGUCCUUGGAAAGCACACACAGUAGAACUAGGUCGGGCGUGGCAUGACAUCACCGCCUUUUGAUAGCACACACGGUCGAACGACGUCGGGCAUGGCAUGCCAUCAUCGCCUUUGGGCAGCACACACGGUCAAACGACGUCGGGCGUGGCAUGCCAUCAUAGCCUAUUGUCACGAUCCGCCUGAUACCCAGGCAGAUCGCGACCCGUCUAGGCAGCCAGCAGCCUGUGCAAGGGGACAGACAGCCCAAAAAUGGCCAGCAGGCAAAGGGGCAUGCGUCCAAGCAGGCAGCAGACAAAAGGUCAGGCGUUUCAGCUGUUACAAGCAGUUACAGCCGUUACAGGCAGUUACAGCCGUUGAAGGCAGUUUCAGCUAUUACAGUUGUUUCUGCAUGUGAAAGGGCGGCAGUUUCAAGCCUUGGAGAGGCUUGUUCAAGGCCUUUAGGUGUGGGGAAGACUAGGAGCAGCUAGGAGUCCCUUUUUGGAAGACUUAGAAGCAUGUCUUGUGGGCAUGGUGGACUUAGGGGCUUGUAUAUAGUGUAGCAUUUAUUUACUCUUAGUGUUUAGAGUAGUAUAAAUAGGUAGUCAUUGUAUUUGUAAUACAUCAACCAACAUUUGAAUACAAGUCUUUCUUCCAAAAUAGUCUUUUGUCUUUCCUUUAAUUUCUCUUAGCGAUCCCAGUAGUGAAAGGCUUACUUGAGUUUGUGAGAUCGUGAAAGAAUCGUGAGCAAACCAUCAAGUGCCGCAUGGAGUAUUGUCCAGAUCAAAAGUUUGUGACAAUUGGUAUUAGAGCAGGUUCAUCGUAAGAGAAUGACGAACGAAGGAGAAGGCGCUAGCAGCACCCCCAACGUCCGCACUGAUGGUGGCAAGAAGAACAAGAAAGGGAAGAAGCAGCAGACGGGUAAUGAACCCAAUCUGCCCGGACUUCCCCCAAGUGUUCCUCCACCAAGUGUUCCUACCCCAAGCGAAGGGAAGACAUCUCUCCCUCCCCAUAUUGUCGAUGGAAGUGACUAAGACACCGGCGAGGAGAUCGUGGACGUUACUGUCGGACAGGAGUGGAUUGCAAGGGUAGAAAAGGUAAGGCAAGCCGUUGAGAUCAUAGGCCACCGCUUGAACGGAACAGACAAAAAUCUUAAAGCUCUUGAAGAGUACUCCCUUGAGGAAGUUGACAGCGUCCGGAAGGAGGUUGAGACACGCCAGCGAGCCGAGUUCGAGACAAAGGAGGCCAUUACUUCCUUAGAGUUCAGGCUUAGGGAAGCAUUUGGCGCAGUUGAGUCGCUUAAGGCCGAAGUGGUAGAACUCAAGGAAGAGAGAGAGGUUGGUGGAUCCUCAUCACAUGACCGGAAAAGGGAAGCCAGAGUUGAGGCGCCCAAGCCAUCUGUCUUCAAAGGCGUCCGUGACGCGCAAGCCGUGGAUAAUUUCCUUUGGCACUUGGAAAAUUAUUUCAAGUGUACGCGGGUUCGUAGUGAUGUGAAAAAGAUCAACACGGCUGUGUUGUAUCUUUUAGAGUUGGCCAUGCUAUGGUGGAAGCAUAAAGAGUCUGACAUCGCAAAGGGGACAUUCGCGUUGAACACAUGGGAGCAGUUUUGUGUGCAGUUCAAGAAGGCGUUCCUUCCUAGCAACGUUGUCUAUGAGGCAAAGCGCAAGAUGCGGGAGUUGAGACAGAAGGGCAGCAUACGCGUGUAUGUGCAGGAGUUUACCACCCUUACAUUUCAGAUUCCCAACCUCAUGGACGACGACGCAUUGUUCUACUUCAUGGAUGGGCUGCAAAAUUGGGCAAGAACAGAGUUGGAACGGCGGCAAGUCAAGACUAUAGACGACGCUAUUCCACAGGUUGAAGCCUUGACAGACUUCAGGCACGAGAAGUCUUUCAGUGCCGAUGAGGACAAUGAGGUAAGCAGUCAUGAUGAUAGUGGGGAAGACAGUGGCGAAGGUGAGGAGCAAAUGCCACAACCCAAAAGGCGUAACACCUACGGGUCCAGCGGCAAGAAGCCCGGAGAUCGUGGCAACACGGUAAGGGAUUCCUAGGAUGGUUGCUUUAUAUGCAAAGGGCCGCAUGGUUACAAAAGAUGCCCUGAACUCAAAAGUCUUGGUGCUAUCCUUCGUGAGCGGAAGGAAGAGAAGGCCCAAGAGGAAGUCGGGGAGACUAAGCAGUUGGGCGUGGUAAGCCUAUGCGGAGCUGCGAUUGAACAACCAUCGACGAGGCCAAGGCAAGAUAAGCCAAGGCAAGCGGAGUCGAAGCAUGCUGAGAAGGGACUUGCGAAGUCUAAGGCGUGGGCUCAAACGGUCACGAUCAAUGGGAAUAUUGCUCGUGCUUUGGUCGACACCGGUGCGGAGGUCAAUGUUAUGACCAAGACGGCAGCAAAGAGGUUGGGGUUGCGAUAUACUGCAAGCAAUGCCCAAAUCAGAACUGUCAACGCAUUACCGACUCCUAUAGUUGGAGUUGCGCACGGGGUGAACAUCACGGUAGGCGAUUGGCAAGGGAAAACCAAGUUCAUCGUCGCCCCCAUCAAUAUGUUUGAUGUUAUUCUUGGGCAGAAGUUCUUCCAGCAGCGCCAUGCAGUAAUCGAUCCUCAUCUCCAAAAAUUGACAAUCAUGGAGAAAGGAAGGGAAUAUACAGUUCCCAUGGUGAAGGCGCAGGCAACGGAGGGACAGGCUAGACUGACAACCAUGAAGCUCGAGAGGGUUGAUUUAAGAAGAAGGUUAACACCAGCAGCGACCAUUGCAAGUUCGAGAGAAGACAAUGGUGCUGGAAACACCUUACUACCGCGCAGGAAGAGGUUCCGAGUAACUAGAAUUGAAAGAUGCAGCCGGAGCACUUGCCUCCGUUGAAGGAGGAAGUUCGGAAGAUCACGUCGAGAAAGGUCGGGAAAUCGAUGAAGAGGCUGCUCGAAGGGAUUGAUCGAGUACGCGAGUUGAUGGUCGCCCGGCAGAAAUCAACGCCGAUACGGACGCAAUGCGAUGCAGUCGUCGCAUCAUCAAGUGGGGGAGUUUGUCACGACCCGCAUGAUACCCAGGCAGAACGCGAGCCGUCUAGGCAGCCAGCAGCCUGUGCAAGGGGACAGACAGCCCAAAAACGGCUAGCAGGCAAAGGGGCAGGCGUCCAAGCAGGCAGAAGACAAAGGGUCAGGCGUUUCAGCUGUUACAAGCAGUUACAGCCGUUACAGGCAGUUACAGCCGUUACAGGCAGUUACAGCCGUUUCAGGCAGUUUCAGCCGUUACAGUCAUUUCUGCAGGUGAAGGGGCGGCAGUUUCAAGCCUUGGAGAGGCUUGUUCAAGGCCUCUAGGCGUGGGGCAGACUAGGAGCAACUAGGAGUCUCUUUUUGGAAGACUUAGAAGCAUGUCUUGUGGGCAUGGAAUUAGGGGCUUGUAUAUAGUGUAGCAUUUAUUUAUUCUUAGUGUUUAGAGUAGUAUAAAUAGGUAGUCAUUGUAUUUGUAAUACAUCAACAAACAUUUGUAUACAAGUCUUUCUUCCAAAACAGUCUUUUGUCUUUCCUUCAGUUUCUCUUAGCGAUCCAAGUAGUGAAAGGCUUACUUGAGUUUGCGAGAUCGUGAAAGAAUCGUGAGCACCGUCAAGUGCCGCACGGAGUAUUGUCCAGAUCGAAAAGUCUAUGACACUAUGGACGGCAAACACGGUUGAACGACGUCAGGCGUGAUAUGCCAUCACCGCCUUUGGACAGCAGACACGGUCGAACGACGUCAGGUAGGGCAUGCUAUCAUCGUCUUUGGGCCGCACACACGGUCGAAAGACGUCGGGUGUGGCAUGACAUCACCACCCUUGGACGUCACACACGGUCGAACAUCGUUGGGCGUGGCAUUCCAUCUUCGCCUUUGGGCAGCACACACGAUCGAAUGACGUCGGGCGUGGCAUGACAUCACCGUAUUUGGGCAGCACACACGGUCAAACAACGUCGAGCAUGACAUGCCAUCACCGCCUUUGGAUAGCACACACGGUUGAAUGACGUCGGGCGUGGCAUGCCAUCAUCACCUUUGGGAAGCACACACGAUCGAACUACGUCGGGCGUGGCAAUGCCAACAUCGCCUUUGGGAAGCACAAACGGUCGAACGACGUCCGGGCGUGGCAUGCCAACAUCACCUUUGGGCAGCACACACGAUCGAACGACGUCGGGUGUGGCAUGCCAGCAUCGCCUUUAGGCAGCACACACGGUCGAAAGACGUCGAGCGUGGCAUGACAUCACCUCCUUUGGACAGCGCACACGAUCGAACAACGUCGGGCGCGACAUGCCAUCAUCGCCUUUGGAAAGCACACACGAUCGAACGACGUCGGGCGUGGCAUGCCAUCAUCACCUUUGGGCAGCACAAACAGUCGGAUGGCAUCGCGCGUGGCAUGCCAUUAUCUCCUUUAGGCAGCACAAAUGGUCAAACGAUGUCGGGCGUGGCAUGACAUAUACCGCCCUAGGACUGCACGCACAGUCGGACGACGUCGGGCGUGGCAUGACAUCACUGCCCUUGGACAACACACAUGGUCGAACGACGUCGGGCGUGGCAUGACAUCACCGCCCUUGGACGGCAUGCACGGUCGAACGACGUCAGGCGUGGCAUGACAUCACCACCCUUGGACAGAACAGAAAAUCGGCAACGUCGGGCGUGGCAUGACAUCACCGCCAUAGGACAGCACACGGUCGGACGACGUCGGGCAUGGCAUGACAUCCCCGCCCUAGGGCAGCACACACAGUCAGACUACGUCAAGCGUGGCAUGACAUCACCGCCUUUGUACAACACACACGGUCGAACGACGUCGGGCGUGGCAUGCCAUCAUCGCCUUUGGGCAGCACACACGGUCGAACGACGUCGGGCGGGGCAUGUCAUAAUAGCCCAUGGACGACAAACACGGUCGAACGACGUCAGGCGUGACAUGCCAUCACCGUCUUUGGACAGCACACACGGUCGAACGACGUCGGGCGUGGCAUGCCAUCUUGCCUUUGGGAAGCGCACACGGUCGAAUGACAUUGGGCGUGGUAUGGCAUCACCGCCUUUGGGCAGCACACACGGUCAAACGCCAUCGGGCGUGACAUGCCAUCACCGCCUUUAGACAGCACACACGGUCGAACGAAUUCGGGCGUGGCAUGCCAUCAUAGCCCUUGAAUGGCAAACAAGGUUGAAUGACGUCAGGCUUGGCAUGCCAUCAUCGCCUUUGGACUAGCUGACACAGUCGGACGGCGUCAGGCGUGGUAUCCCAUCAUCACCCUUGGACGGGAAACACGGUCGAACGACGUAGAGUGUGGCAUGCCGUCAACGGCUAAGGACAACACACAAGAAAGGACGACGCCGGGCGUGGCAUGCUAUUAUCUCCUUUGGACAGCACAGACGGUCAGACGAUGUCGGUCGUGGCAUGCCAUCACCGCCCUUAGACAGCACACGUUGUCGGAUGACGUCGGGCAUGGCAUGCCAUCACCGCCCUUGGACAGCAUACACGGUAGGACGACAUCGGGCGUGGUAUGACAAUGCUAAAAAGUUAUAACAUUUUUUAAAACACCUAAGCAGCCUACUAAAUUAUUACGAUUUGAUUUUAACAUUCAAAAAUUAAUGGAAUCUAGUUUUUUAUUUUUUAUUUUUUAGUUUUUUAGACUUAUUAACAAAAGCGUCAAGCAAAUUAAAAAUUGGUUAGAUUAUAACACCUACAAACAAUGAUUCUAGGUGGUUAAAGACAAACCUAUAGGCAUGAUUUCUAAAAAAAAUUUACAAUGAACAAGUAGGCAUGUAAAUCCCCCUCCCCUAGACGAUCCCCCAAAUAAAUUUAUAUAUAUGAUCUUUAGAGUUACAAAUGUUACAACAAUCGAAUAAAUAAAAUAAGAAGAAAAAAAAUAAUAUAUAUAUAUAUAUAUAUAUAUAGAGAGAGAGAGAGAGAGAGAGAUUCAAAUAAACAAAUAAAUAUUUCCUCGUGGUUAAUCUUCAACUUGAACUUCAAGUUUGAAACCUGUCAAAGCAAUCAAAUAACUACACAAGUAAUCACAUUUAUUUGUCAAGGUGAGACAAUAAGCAAUUGUUUAAUGACGAAUUCUAUAUAUAAAAAAAACAAUAGCUUACACAAAUGUGUGAAUGUAAAGAUAGUGUAAAUGUUAAGAAUACUAACCAGUCAAGCAAAACAAAUUGAUUAACUUUUACUCGAACAAAGUAGCAAAAUAGCGAAAAAGAACACUUGAAUAAUUACCGGAAUCUUAAUGUAUUGUUAGAGUAGCAAGAGAGCAAUGAGAGAAGGAAGAGUGAUGAGAGAACUUGUGAUUGAGAGUGAAUGAGUGUACCCGUUGAUGAAGGGAGGGGUCUUAUUUAUAUAGCAAGGAGGAGGAAACAAAUAAGGAAAACAAAAACUUAAAGGAAUCAAUUAAAUAUAUUGUUUUCCUUAUUAUAAAAGAGGACCAAAUCUGAAUAUUUUAAAAUAAUUUAUUACCAUAAUAAAAACAAGUAAGGAAUCAGUAUGUUUAUUCAUAAGGAAAAAUAGAUCAAUUAAACUUAUUUUCCUUAACUAGUAGAGAAUAAAAUCAGUACAAUCCUUUUUACCUUAAUUAAAUAUCACUUUUCUAAAAAUAUAACAACCAAGAAUAUAUUUGAAGUCAAUCAAGGUAAAAUAAAAUAGUCAAUUAAAAAUGACAAUAAUAUUUUAAAAGAUAUAAGAAAUCUGAAACUACUAUUGAAAAUUACAAGACUUAUCAUAACAAAUAAUAAUCAAAGUGAAACCAAUAUAUACUUAGCAUGUCAAUACCCAAAUCACAUUUAGCAGACUUAAUGGGAGGCAGGAACUGAUUAUCAUAACAUAUUGUUUUCAACACGGCUAAAACACAUGUACUUUGCGAAUUUUCAAGAAAAAAAUCAACAAGAACAGUCCAUAGGAUCAAGCAAAUCACAAUAUAUUUUCAUACUCAUAGCAAAAUAUUUCUGAAACAUGCAUAACAUUAGGGGAAUUAAACAUCUAAAUAAAAAAACUAAAACAGAAACUAACCCAGACGGAUCUGUUUAAAUUCAUCUUAAAAUCAGCCGCAAUAUAUUGAGAUAUUAAUAGAAUCUACGCCAUUCAUUAGCUGAACUUGCUGGCCGGAAACAAAGGAAAAACAAGGCUCGCCGGAGUCUGCUGUUGCUGCUGUCUCGUCGAGAUGCUGCUGCCGGUUUUCCCUGCAAAAGGAGUAGAGAAAGGGGAAGAGGAAGGGGAAAAAGAAGAGACAGGAGGGGAGAGAGGAGAAGGGGAGAGAAAGAGGGAGAAGCGGGGCCAACGGGAGAGAAAGAGAAAGGGAGAAGAGGUGGCCAGCGGUUGACUUCGCCGGAGCUGCCACUGGUCGCUUGACUUCGUCGGAGAGGAGAAGGGGAGAGAAGGAAAGAGGGAAGAGAGGAGAGAAAGAAAAGAUGGAGGCGGGGAGAGGGAGAAGGACGGGAAGGGAGGCGGCGGAGAGGGGUGGCGACAGAGGGGCGUUGCCACCUCUGGAUGAUGGCCUCGCCGUCCAGAAAAAGGAAGAAGGAGGAGCGGCGCUGGAGAGAGAGAGAAAGAGUGUGGCGGCUGCCAAGGAGAGGGGGAGAAGAAUGGGUUAGAAUUUUAGGUUUUGGGGUCUUUUGGUGUUGAGAAAAUAAUAGAUUUAAUCACAACCGUUGAUCUAAUUUGAAACGAGGGUCUAGGAUUCAAUUAAUAAAAUAGAUGGAUGAGAUUAAAAGUUGAGAUGUAUUGAAAUCAGAUUGGAUUGCAUAUGGAAUGGCUACAAUUGCAAUUAAAAUGGCUAGAAUUGAAAUGAGAGAGAGGCUAUGAUUGUAAUAAAAACUUAAUUGGAGUAGCUAGAAUUGAAAGAAGUUACGAUAGAAUAGGCUAGAAUUUAAAAUUUAAGGAAAGUGUAGGACUUACUAUUUAAUUAAAAUACUACAUAUAUUAAAAUAUUUUUAUAUAAUUGAAAAUCAAUUAAAUUUUUACAUUUGAAGUUCAUUAAUAAUUUUAAAAUAUUUUAAUGAUAUUUACGAUAACUUUAUAAAGUAAAACAUACUGAAACAUAUAAUUUUCAAGCAAAGUCGGCUAAAAAAUUCUAAAAUUUAAAAUACAUAUUUAAUCGAAUAGUAUUCCUAAAAUGGUCAAAGGUCGGUAAAAAUUGGGUGUCAACAGACAGCACACGGUCAGACGACGUCGGGCACGACAUGACAUCAACGCCCUUGGGCAGCACACACGGUCGGAUACGUCAGGCGUGGCAUUACAUCACCGCCUUUGGACAGCACACACGGUCGAACGACGUCGAGCGUGGCAUUCCAUUAUCGCCUUAGGGCAGCACACACGGUCGAACUAUGUCAGGCGUGGCAUGCCAUCAUCGCCUUUGGGAAGCACAAACGGUCGAACGACGUCGGGCGUGGCAUGCCAACAUCCCCUUUGGGCAGCACACACGGUCGAACGACGUCGGGCGUGGCAUGACAGCAUCGCCUUUGGGCAGCACACACGAUCGAAAGACGUCGGGCGUGGCAUGACAUCACCUCCUUUGGACAGCGCACACGGUUGAAUGACGUCGGGCGCGUCAUGCCAUCACCGCCUUUGGAAAGCACACACGGUCGAACGACGUCGGGCGUGGCAUUCCAUCAUCACCUUUAGGCAGCAGAAACGGUCGUACGGCGUCGGGCGUGGCAUGCCAUCAUCGCCCUUGGACGGCAAACACGAUAGAACGACGUCGGGUGUGGCAUGCAUCAUCGCCUUUGGGCAGCACACACGGUCGAACGACAUCGAGCAUGACAUGACAUCACCGCCUUUGGACAGCACACACGCUCGAACGACGUCGGGCGUGGCAUGCCAUCAUCGCCUUUGGGCAGCACAUAUGGUCGAACGACGUCGGGCAAGGCAUGCCAUCAUAGCCCUUGGACAGCACACACGGUCGAACGACAUCGGGUGUGGCAUUCCAUCAUUGACCUUGGACAACACACAGGGUCGAACAACAUCGGGCGUGGCAUGCCAGCAUAGCCCUUAGACGGCAAACAGGGUCAAACAACGUUGGGCGUGGCAUGCCAUCAUCGCUUUUAAACUAGCAGACACAGUCGGACGGCGUCGGGCGCGGCAUGCCAUCAUCUCCCUUGGAUGGCAAACACAGUCGAACGACGUCGGGGGUGGCAUGCCAUCACCGCCUUUGGACAGCACAUACAGUCGGACGACGCUGGGCGUGACAUGCCAUCAUCUCCUUUGGGCAGCACAGACGGUCGGACACCUUCGGGUGUGGCAUGCCAUAAUCGCCCUUGGACAGCACAAACUAUCGGCCAUCACCCGGCAUAGCAUUACAUCACCGCCCUUGGACAGCACACACGGUCGAACGACGUCUUCCAUGGCAUGACAUCACCGCCCUUGGACUGCACGCACGAUCAUACGAAUUUGGGCGUGGCAUGACAUCACCACCCUUGGAAAGCACACAGCUGGCAACAUCGAGCGUGGCAUGACAUCACCGCCCUUAGACAACACACACGGUCGUUAACGUCAGGCGUGGCAUGACAUCACUGCCCUUGGACAGCACACACGGUCGGACGACAUCGAGCGUGGCAUGACAUCACCGCCAUUGGACAUAACACAUGGGCGAACAAUGUCGGGCGUGGCAUGACAUCACCGCCCUUGGACUGCACGUACGAUCGGACGAUAUCGGGUGUGGCAUGACAUCACUGCCCUUGGACAGCACACACGGUCGGACUUUGUCGGGAGUGGAAAGACAUCACUGCCUUUGGGCAACACACACGGUCGACCGACGUCGGGCGUGGCAUGCCAUCAUCGCCUUUGGGCAGCACACACAGUUGAACGACGUCGGGCGUGGCAUGACAUCACCGCUUUUGGACAGCACACACAGUGGAACGACGUCGAGCGUGACAUGCCAUCACCGCCUUUGGACAGCACACACGGUCGAACGAUGUCGGGCGUGGCAUGCCAUCAUCGCCUUAAGGCAGCACAAAUGGUCAAACGACAUCAGGAGUGGCAGGACAUCACCGCCACACACGGUCUAAUGACGUCAGGCAUGACAUGACAUCACCGCCUUGGGUUAGGCACACACGGUUGAACGACGUCAAGCGUGGCAUGCCAUUAUCGCCUUAAGGCAGAACAAACGGUCAAACGAUGUCGGGCGUGGCAUGACAUCAUCGCCCUUGGACUGCUCGCACGGUCGGCAACGUCGGGCGUGACAUGACAUCACCUCCUUUGGAGAGCACACACGGUAGAACGACAUCAUGCGUGAAUGACAUCACCGCCUUUAGACAACACACACGGUGGAACGACGUCGGGCGUGGCAUGCCAUCAUCACCUUUGGACUAGCUGACACAGUCGGACGUCGUCGGGCUUGGCAUGCCAUCAUCGCCCUUGGACAGGAAACACGGUCGACAACGUAGAGCGUGGCAUGCCAUCAACGUCUAGGGACAGCACACACGCAAGAACGACGUUGGGCGUAUCAUGCUAUCAUUGCCUUUCGGCAGCACAGACGGUCAGACAACGUCGGGCGUGGCAUGCCAUCACCGCCCUUGGACAGCACACAUGGUCGGAUGAUGUUGAGCGUGGAAAGCCAUUACCACCCUUGGACAGCACACACGAUAGGACUAUGUCGGGUGUGGCAUGACAUCACCGCCUUUGGACAGCACACACGGUCGAAUUACGUCGGUCGUGGCAUGCCAUCAUAGCCUAUGGACGGCAAACACGAUCGAACAACGUCAAGUGUGACAUGCCAUCACCGCCUUUGGACAGCACACACGGUCGAAUGACGACAGGUAGGGCAUGCCAUCAUCGCCUUUGGGCCGCACACACGGUCGAAAGACGUCGGGCGUGGCAGGACAUCACCGCCUUUGGACAGCACACACAGUCAAACGAUGUCGGGCGUGACAUGCCAUCACCGCCUUUGGACAGCACACACGGUCGAACGACGUCGGGCGUGUAAUGCCAUCAUCUCCUUUGGGCAGCACACACGGUCGAACUACGUCGGGCGUGGCAUGCCAUCAUCACCUUUGGGUAGCACAAAUGGUCGAAAGACGUCGGGCGUGGCAUGCCAUCAUCACCUUUGGGUAGCACACACGGUCGAACGACGUCGGGCAUGGCAUGCCAGCAUCGCCUUAAGGCAGCACACACAGUCGAAAGACGUUGGGCGUGGCAUGACAUCACCGCCUUUGGACAGCACACACGGUCGAACAGCGUUGGGCGUGACAUGCCAUCACUGCCUUUGGACAGCACACACGAUCGAACAACGUCGGGCGUGACAUGCAAUCACCGCCAUAGGACAGCACACAAUCGGACGACGUCGGGUAUGGUUUGACAUCACCUCCUUUGAACAGCGCACACGGUCGAACGACGUCGAGUGCGACAUGCCAUCACCGCCUUUGGAAAGCACACACGGUUGAACGAUGUCGAACGUGGCAUGCCAUCAUCACUUUUGGGCAGCACAAACAAUCAAACGACGUCGGGCGUGGCAUGCCAUCUUGUCUUUGGGAAGCACACACGGUCGAACGACGUCGUGCGUGGCAUGACAUCACCGCCCUUGGACGGCACGCACGGUCAAACGAUGUCGGGCGUGGAAUGACAUCACCACCCUUGGACAGCACAGAGAAUCGGCAACGUAGGGCAUGGCAUGACAUCACCGCAAUAGGACAACACACGGUCAGACGACGUCGGUCAUGGCAUAACAUCACCGCCCUUGGCCAACACACACGGUUGGACUACGUCAGGCGUGACAUGACAUCACCGCCUUUGUACAGCACACACGGUCGAACGACGUUGGGCGUGGAAUGCCAUCAUCGCCUUUGGGCAGCAUACGAUGUCGAACGACGUUGGGCGUGGCAUGCCAUCUUGCCUUUGGGCAGCACACACGGUCAAAUGACGUCGGGCGUGACAUGCCAUCACCGCCUUUAGACAGCACACAUGGUCAAACGAAGUCGGGCGUGGCAUGCCAUCAUAGCCCUUAAACGGCAAACAAGGUUGAAUAACGUCAGGCGUGGCAUGCCAUCAUCGCCUUUGGACUAGCUGACACAGUCUGACGGCGUCGGGCGUGGCAUGACAUCAUCGCCCUUGGACGAGAAACACGUCGAACGACGUAGAGCGUGGCAUGCCAUCAACGCCUAAGGAUAGCUCACAAGGAAGGACGACGUCGGGCGUGGCAUGCUAUCAUCUCCUUUGGGCAGCAAAGACGGUCGGACGACGUUUUGCGUGGCAUGCCGUCACCGCCCUUGGACUGCACACAUGGUCGGAUGACGUCGGGCGUGGCAUGCCAUCACUGCCCUUGGACAGCACACACGGUAGGACGAUGUCGGGCGUUGCAUGACAUCGCCGCUUUUGGACAGCACGCAUGGUCGGACGACAUCGGGCAUGGCAUGACAUCACCGCCCUUGGGCAGCACACACGCUCGGACUUCGUCGAGCAUGGCAUGACAUCACCGCCUUUGAACAGCACACACGGUCGAAAGACGUCAGGCGUGGCAUGCCAUCAUCACCUUUGAGCAGCACACACGGUCGAAUGACGUCGGCAUGGCAUGCCAUCAUAGCUCAUGGACGGCAAACACGGUCGAACGACGUCAGGCGUGACAUGCCAUCACUGCCUUUGGACAGCACACACGGUCGAACGUCGUCGGGCGUGGCAUGCCAUCAUCGCCUUUGGGCAGCUCACACGGUCGAACGACGUUGGGCGUGGCAUUACAUCACCGCCUUUGGACAGCACACACGGUCGAACGACGUCGGGCGUGACAUGCCAACAUCGCCUUUGGACAGCACACACGGUCGAACGACGUCGAGCGUGGCAUUCCAUUAUCGCCUUUGGGCAGCACACACGAUCGAACGACGUCUGGCGUGGCAUGCCAUUAUUGCCUUUGGGCAGCACAAACGGUCGAACGACGUCAGGCGUGGCAUGACAUCACCGCCCUAGAACUGCACGCACGGUUGGACGACGUCGGGUGUGGAAUGACAUCAUCGCCCUUCGACAGCACACACGAUCGAAUGACGUCGGGCCUGGCAUUACAUCACCGCCUUUGGACACCACGCACGGUCGAACGACGUCAGGCGUGGCAUGACAUCACCACCCUUGGACGUCACACACGGUCGCACGUCGUUAGGCAUCGCAUGCCAUCAUCGCCUUUGGGCAGCACACACGAUCGAAUGACGUCGGGCGUGGCAUGACGUCACCGCAUUUUGGCAGCACACACAGUCAAAGAACGUCGGGCGUGACAUGCCAUCACCGCCUUUGGACAGCACACACGAUCAAAUGACGUCGGGCGUGGCAUGCCAUCAUCCCCUUUGGGCAGCACACAUGUUCAAACUACGUCGGGCGUGGCAUGCCAUCAUCUUCUUUUGGGAAGCACAAACGGUCGAACGACGUCGGGCGUGGCAUGCCAACAUCAUCUUUGGGCCGCACACACCGUCGAACGACGUCAGGCGUGGCAUAUGCCAGCAUCGCCUUUGGGAAGCACACACGGUCGAAAGACGUCGAGCGUGGAAUGAAAUCACCUCCUUUGGACAGCGCAUACGGUCGAACAACGUAGAGCGUGGCAUGCCAUCACCGCCUUGUGACAUCACACACGGUUAGACGACGUCGAGCGUGGCAUGCUAUCAUCGCCUUUGGGCUGCACAAACAGUCGGACGACAUCGGGUGUGGCAUGCCAUCACCGCCCUUGGAUAGCACACAAGGUCGGAUAACGUCUGGCGUGGCAUGCCAUCGCUGCCCUUGGACUGCACCCACGGUAGGACGACGUGGGGCAUGGCAUGAGAUCACCGCUCUAGGACAGCACGCAUGGUCGGGCAUGGCAUGACAUCACCACCAUAGAACAGCACUCGAUCAGACGACGUCGGGCAUGGCAUGACAUCACCGCCCUUGGGCAGCACACACGGUCGGACUACGUCAGGCGUGGAAUGACAUGAACGCCUUUGUACAGCACACACGUUCGAACGACGUCGGGCGUGGCAUGCCAUCAUCGCCUUUGGGCAGCACAGACGAUAGAACGACGUCGGGCGGGGCAUGCCACAAUAGCCCAUGGACGGCAAACACAAUUGAACGAUGUCAGGCGUGACAUGCCAUCACCGCCGUUGGACAGCACACACGGUAAAACGACGUCGGGCGUGGCAUGCAAUCUUGCCUUUGGGAAGCACACACGGUCGAAAUACGUCGGGCAUGGUAUGACAUCACCGCCUUUGGGCAUCACACACGGUCAAAUGUCGUCGGGCAUGACAUGCCAUCAUCGUCUUUAGACAGCACACACGGUCGAACGAAGUCAGGCGUGGCAUGCCAUCAUAGCCUUUGAUCGGCAAACAAGGUUGAAUGACGUCAGGCGUGGCAUGCCAUCAUCGCCUUUGGACUAGCUGACACAGUCGGACGUCGUCGGGCGUGGCAUGCCAUCAUCGCCCUAGGACCGGAAACACGGUCGAAUGACGUAGAUCGUGGCAUGCCAUCAACGCCUAAGGAUAGCACACAAGGAAGGACAACGUCGGGCGUGGCUUGCUAUCAUCUCCUUUGGGCGGCAUAAACGGUCAGACGACGUCGGGCGUGGCAUGCCAUCACCGCCCUUGGACAGCACACAUGGUCGGAUGACGGCGAGCGUGGCAUGCCAUAACCGCCCUUGGACAGCACACACAAUAGGAUGACGUAGGGCGUAGUAUGAGAUCACCGCUCUUGGACGGCAUGCAUGGUCAGACUACGGCGGGCGUGGCAUGACAUCACCACCUUUGGACAGCACACAUGGUAGAAUGACGCAUGGCAUGGCAUGACAUUAUCGCCCUUGAACUGCACGCACGGUAAGACGACAUCGGGUGUGGCAUGAUAUCAUAUCCCUUAGACGGCAAACACGAUUGAACGACGUUAGGCGUGACAUGUCAUCACCGCCUUUGGGCAGCACACACGAUUGAAUGACGUCGGGCGUGGCAUGCCAUCAUAUCCCUUGGAUAACAAACACGGUAGAACGACGUUAGGUAUGACAUGUCAUCACCGCCUUUGGACAUCACACACGAUCGAACGUCGUCGGGCGUGGCAUGCUAUCAUCGCCUUUGGGAAGCACACACGGUCGAACGACGUUGGGCGUGGCAUGACAUCACCGCCUUUGGACAGCACACACGGUCGAACGACGUUGAGCGUGACAUGACAACAUCGCCUUUGGACAAACCACACGGUCGAACGACGUCGAGCGUGGCAUUCCAUUGUCGCCUUUGGGCAGCACACACAGUCGAAAGACGUCUGGCGUGGCAUGCCAUUAUUGCCUUUGGGCAGCACAAACGGUCGAACGACGUCGGGCGUGGCAUGACAUCACCGCCCUAGGACUGCACGCACGAUCAGACGACGUCGGGCGUGGCAUGACAUCACCGCCCUAGGACAGCACACACGGUCGAAUGACGUCGAGCCUGGCCUGACAUCACCGCCCUUGUAGACACGUAAUUUUUGACCGAAUUUAAUUUUAACACUAAUAUUUAAAGCAUAAAUAAUUUUAUCAAUAUAAAUUAAAUAUAUUUUGACUUUUUAUUAUUUUCAUUAAUUUUAUUUAAAAGAUAUAAAAAUAAACAACAUAAAUAUAAUUUUAUUUAGAAAAGUUUAUUUUGAUUGUUAAAAAAAAGGAUAUAUAUAUAUGUGUGUGUGUGUGUGUGUGUAAUAAUAAAUAAUUAAAAAAAAAGGGAAACCACUCCCAUUUUCCCCACUUCCCCCAUGACCCCCAUGUACACACUACACACGUACACUACUACUACUACUAUAUACAUACAAUGAAAAAAAAAAGAAAAGGGAGGAUCAGACAACAAAAAGAAAAGAGAAAUCAACGAAAAAAAAGAAAGGGACAUCAGAAAGGUAAAAAAAAAGAACGAAAGGGAGCAAAAAUCAAGGAAAAGAAGGCAACACAUACGUAAAAAAUAUUAUUCUCAUCUUAUUACUUUUUUUGAAAAUCACAAACAAAGGUUGAGUUUUGAGGUUCACUUCGUGGUUUCAAGUUCACGGUUCCUUAUUCGAAUUGUUUUCUUUUGGUAGAAUUUUCGCAAGAGGUACCAUUUUUUAUUAUUAUUUUUAUAUAAUUUAAUAUCAUGUUUAUACAAGCACUGAUUACAAUAUAUUAAAGUUGUCAAAUUUCACAUGUGGUUAAACCGUUAUGUUUUAUAUGAAGUUUGUUCAAAUAUUUAAUAUCAACUUUAUGUUUAGAUCCUUUAUAUAGUUUUAUUUUGUGUGAAAUUGCUAUAAUAAACCGUAGUUUAUUUCAUAUUAAAUAAUUCAUAGUUUAUUUCAUGCCUAAGUAAAAUUAUUGUCUAAGUCUAUUCUUAUUUUUCAUGUUUAAUUUUUAAUGAUAAUAUGUGUAGUUAUUAUAAUUCUAAUGAUAAUAUGUAAAGUUAUCCAAAUUUUUAUAUUCGUGUCUUACUAAUUUGAAUGAAUUUUUUAUUUGGUUGUGUUUAGAAAUGUAUUAAAUUAUAUUUUAUAUUAUAUUAUGUGUCUUGUCUUACAUUAUUAUUUUUAGAUUCCAUAAAAAAUAAUAAUAAUAAUAAACUUGUUAGGAGAGGAUAAUAAAUUGAAAGAAAAAAGAAAAAAAAGAUUAAAAAAAUAAAAAAAAAUAAUAACAAUAAAAAUGGAGUAAGGAAAAGAGGUAGAAUACGUGAAUAAAAAAAGAAAAGAAAAGUAGUGAAGAAGGAAUGUUCGAAUUAGAAAAAGAAUAAUAAAAAAUAAAAAAUAAAUAUAUAAUAAAAAGAAUGUAAAAAAUGUAAACGAGAAAGUAAAAAAAAUACUUUAAAAAUGAAAAGAUACAAAAAGUAUAGUGUUAAAAAUAUGUGAAAUAUUUUAUUAUUAUCAUGAAAAAAGAAGAAGAAAAAUCAAUGUAAAAAUAAAACAAAAAUACAAUGAAAAAAAAAAGAGAAAUUAAGAAAUAAGCAAAAUGUUGAAAGAAUAAUAAAAAAUAAUAAUGUAUAAAAACUUGACAUGCUUCUAAAAUUGGAUGGUUUUAAAUAUGUUAAUAAAUCAAAGAAUGAGGGUAAAUACAUUUGUCUUAAUAAUACAAUAUUCAUAUAUUAGUUUAAGUCAUAAAUGUCCAUGAAGCGACCGUGCUAGAACCACGGACACGAGGGAUGCCUAAUACCUUCCCCUCGGUCAACAGAAUUCCUUACCCGAACUCGUUCGUAGACCAAACAAUGAGUCAUUUCCUUUUGAUUAGGGAUUAAACAAAAAAGGUGACUUGGAACACCAUAACUUAAUUCCAAGUGGCGACUCUGAAAAAAUCAAAAUAAUCCCUUAAUUAAUAACGUCACUUAUAUUGGAAAAACCCUUACGCCGUCGCGCGAAAAAGGGGUGUGACAUCUCUGGCGACUCCGCUGGGGACUAACUAGAAUUAGAGCUUGUAAACAUGGACUUCUACAUUGACUUUGUUGUAUAUUUACGUACUUAUCGAUUUGUGAAUAUUGUGUUUAAUGACAUAAUAUGUUAUUUGUUUGCUUAUUUACCCUUUUGAUUAUAUGUGAAUUAUAAUAUAAUUAACUUUCCUCGCGCAUCCAUCUGAGUCUUCUGAGAUAUUUUAUUCGGAGAUGCGAUUACGCUCCCGAGCCAUGAGAUACCAGAGAUGCGGCAACGGUCCUGGGAAGGAUUCUAUAGUAACACAUGUCUUAGGAUGGGAAGGACUAACAGUGAGGCCAGAAAGCCCUGCUACUGAUAAGUUGUCCAUUCUCGACUCGAGUAGUCCGCUCGUUUAUGGCCAGUCUAGACACCUUCCCUAUUAGAUUGUUUACCUAGUAAAACAAGCCUCAACAAUGACUAUCCCUAAUAGGAUUCGAUUUAUCUGCAUCAUGCAUAACGUUGAAUUAAUGGGGAGCUCGACACGAGGGUCGAGCCUGUCUAGGAGAAGUAUCCCUACUUGAAACUAUCAUGUACAUUAUUUUGUGUUAUUUGUUGUAUUACGGAGAAGACUAUACAAAUGUUGAUCGGCUUUAGAUGAAUGAAUUAUAAUGAAAAAUUAAUUAUAACGAAAAAUACCAAAUUAAAGUUUUGACGUAACUCUUUUAUUAAACACAAUUUUUUCUAUCAAAAUUUAUAUUUCUUUUACAAAUAGAAAAAUCUAUUAUAUUUAAAAAUAAAAAAAAAAGAUUGAAAAUUUAAUCAACAAAAACUAAAAUACAAUCGAAUAUAUUAAUAUUUUUAGUUUUGGAAAAAUUUUAAGGGCUAUUUAUAUAUAUAUAUUUUUUUUUCUCAUUCUUCCUUUAAUAAAUAUUUUUUUAAAAAAAAACAAAUAAAUAAGAAUAAAAAUAAAAUAAAAAAUUUGCUUUUUUUUGUGUGUGUAUGACUUUUUCUUAUUCUUAUUUAAAAAAUAUAUUUUAUUAUAAAAAAAAUUUACUUUUUUGUGUGUUUGAUUUUUCCGUUAUUCUUGUUAAAAAAUAUAUAUUUUAUUAAGCCUAGUUUGUCACUAUCAUAAUAUAGGGAAAUAUGAAUCCAUAUGGAAAGGGAGAUAAGAGACAAAGAGAGGACCAAUCACCUCGAUUCAUGAUAGUGGAUAAGGCCCCGACACUCUUGAAGACAUGGUAUGAAAAUAUGACAAACCAUGGACGAGGAAUGGUGUUCAAACGCUUGGGAUUUCUACGAAGCCUUUUGUAUGUUGAGCCACGACGGGAUUUGAUAGAAGCACUAGUGCAUUUUUGGGACCCAUUAAGGAAUGUAUUCCAUUUUUCUGAUUGUGAACUCACCCCCACCCUUGAGGAGAUAGGGGCAUUCAUUGGAAAGGGUAAACAUCUUCACAAAGAAGAGCCUAUGAUACCAAAAAAUAUUAAUGGGAGGAGGUUUCUAGGAUUACUGCAUAUAAAUGAGAAUGAUAUAGGCGGUUGUCUCAAUAAUGGAUGGGUCCCGUUAGAAUUUUUGUACAAAAGAUAUGGCAAAAGUGAUGGAUUCGAAGUGUAUGGAAAUAAACUCCGUAAUAAUGGGUGUCGUCUGACUUGGGAAGCACACAGUUAUGAUGCCUUCGUGGUGGCUUUUUUGGGAAUCAUGGUAUUUCCAAAAAAGGGAGGAAAGAUUAGCAUGAACUUAGCUGCAGCCAUUACAGCUUUUGAGAAGAAGCCUAAUAUCACCCUCGUACCAAUGAUUCUGGCAGACAUCUAUCGUGCUUUAACUAUUUGGAAGGAUGGAAAAGACUACUUUGAGGGAUGCAAUAUGUUAUUACAACUAUGGAUGAUUGAACACAUUCGUCAUCACCCAUAUGCAGUGGACUUUAAAGUAGAAUGGAAUGAUUAUAUUGGAGGUCACAAAGAAAGAAUCAAAGAUCAUAGUUUUCCGAAAGGUAUUGAAGCUUGGAAGCAACACCUCAAUAAUCUGACUGCUGACAAGAUUGUGUGGAAUUAUCAUUGGUUUCCAUCGGCCGAGGUGAUAUACAUGUCUACUUUUCGAUCGUUCAUUGUUCUAAUGGGUCUUCGAGGUAUCCAACCUUACAUGCCACUUAGAGUCAUGCGACAACUUGGGCGACGCCAGUUUAUACCACCCAAUGAAGAUAUGCGUGAAUUCAUGUAUGAGUUUCAUCCCAAGAUACCUUUAAGGCAAUCAGAGAUAUUUAAGAUUUGGGGGGGAUGCAUACUCUCAAGUCCCCACGAUAUGGUGAAGGAUCGCACUAGAGGCGAGGUGGACCAAGCAUACUUAGAUUGGGUUCAUGAUCAGCCCCUUCCUAAGGUUAUGCCAAAAGGGUCAAUAAAAGGACCUAUAGAUCGAGAAGCAGAAAUUGAGGUUAAGAUUAAGCAAGCUCGCCUCAAAGUCAAAAGAAGCUACAAAUCCACUCUGGAUAUCCUAAGUAAUGACCUGAAAAACGCUAAAGAGGAGUUGGCCCAACGUGAUGCGAUAUUCGAAGUUAGAGUUAGAAAACACCGCUCUACCAUUCUAACCUUACAAGAAGACUUGGGCAUUGCCACAGGCGCCAUGGAGCAACAGGAAGAGGAGUAUAAGAAAGAAAAGUCCCAACUUAUCUGCGCACAGUCUAGGCUCCAAACUCAAGUUAAAGCCUCUAUGGAACGAGAAAGAGAAAUAGCAAGGCGUUUCAGUGCUUAUCAGGCAGACUGUGAGAUUGAGAGAGGUCAAAGGAUAGCCGAGCGAGAUGCACUCCACCUUCAAAUUGAAGAGCUCCAAGAACAAAGGGAAAAUUUGACGCAUGAAGUCAAUACCGCUCACCACUGGUUACAGAAUUGUUAUGACAAUAUGGAUGAAGCUAGAGACCGAAUACUGCAACUCAGGGAUGAACUCAACAAUGUUUAUGCUAGAUAUUUACACCAGAACGAUGAGAGGUUGGGCUAACAGGCCCGUGCUUUGUCUCCAUAUCUACCGAAAGCGUCGGCGAAGAUUUAUAAGGGCCUUGGAGAUGAUUGAGAUUCGAGGAUUCAGUUUCUUUUAGAGUAUAUUCUCUUAGUAGUGAUUAUUUCAUUAUUAUUAUUAUUAUUAGUUUUUUCCCUUUCUUUUCGUUUUGUUAUUUUAUUUCAUUUAGAGUCUAUCUAAGUCCUAGGUACUUCUGUUUUUUUUUUGUUUUAUCCAAAUCAUUGUUUCAAAUAUUUGAAAAUGAAUGAAAAAGAUUUACUUUCGAUCACCUUGUGUGCAUAUGUCAUGCAAAAAAAAGGAAAAAAAAAGAAAAAAAAUUAUUAUUAAUAUCUUCCUCGAACUACGCAAGAUCUGAUUCAUGGGCCAAACAUGAUACGUAGGCAACCCAGGGGGUUGGAUCCAAAUUAUUAUUAUUACUAUUAUUAUUAUUAUUUUCUUUUCCUUUUUUUUCUUUCUUCUUUCUCUUAAAAAAUGAUAAUCAUAAUGAGAAUAAAUAAAUAAACAAAUAAGUAAAUGAAUAAGUAAUAAUAAUGAAAUAUUAAAAAAACUAAUGAAGAGAAGAAUGCCUAGGUAAGCCGGGAUGAAACAUGAGGUCCUCCAUAUUAGAAGUAUGUAUGUGGAUACAAUGUGCAUAAUUUCUUAACACUAAUCGGUUUGUUACUCUAUUCAGAGAGAGAGAGAGAGAGAUAGAGAGAGAAAGAGAGAGAGACAUACUAGCUUAAAGGUGGUUGGUUUGUGGUUAAACUGGCACACAUCCUUACAACACAAGAUCAAAAGGGAAACAGAAAAUGGCCCCCAGAGACGAAAAUGAAUCGGACAAUGAUGAGGAGAUCCAAAACCAGAUGACUUCACAAGAAACAGGGACAACAGAAGAGAUAAGGGUGUUAAGACAACAAAUGGCAGAGAUGUACGAGGCUUGGAUGAGUGGACAACCUCCACCAUCUUCAAUCCGAGACUAUUUUAAUACAAAUAUGUCUCACCCUAUCCAGGUGUCAACAAGCGAUCCGAUAUAUCCCCCUGGAUUCGACCCCUAUGCUAACACAUCCAAUGUCGUUGGAACUUCUAUGGCACGCCCUUCGAAUACGCCUGUAAUAAGUAAUCCACUCUUUGUGUCAACUGCCCCAACUAACAGCAUCCCGCAGCCAACGAUGAUGCCCAAAUCCAACAGCGAUCCUCCGCCCAAAGUUCGGCGUGAGCAGAGUUACACUCUUGAAGAGACCAUUAAAAUUCCAAGUUCUCAUCCCCACAUUCAUCAAUAUAGUUCCCCUGUUGAAAUUGAGAGGAUGGUCAAGAAUGAGGAACAUGAAGAAAUGACUAAGAAAAUGAAGAGUUUGGAACAGAGUAUAAGAGAUAUGCAAGGACUAGGAGGCCACAAAGGUAUCUCGUUCAGUGACUUGUGUAUGUUUCCUCACGUCCAUUUGCCUGCUGGUUUUAAAACUCCAAAGUUUGAAAAAUACGAUGGUCACGGAGACCCUAUAGCUCAUCUAAAGAGAUAUUGCAACCAAUUGAGGAAUGCAGAGGGCAAAGAAGAGUUACUUAUGGCCUAUUUUGGGGAAAGCUUAAUAGGGAUUGCAUCUGAAUGGUUCAUAGAUCAGGAUAUCAUCAACUGGCACACAUGGGAUGAUUUUGCUUGAUGUUUUGUACAACAAUUCCAAUAUAAUAUUGACAUUGUUCCAGAUCGCUCCUCGUUAGCCAACAUGAGAAAAAUGACCACGAAAAAUUUUCGUGAAUAUGCUAUCAGAUGGAGGGAACAAGCUGCUAGGGUUAAACCACCGAUGAAGGAGUCAGAGAUGAUUGACGUUUUUCUCCAGGCGCAAGAACCUGAUUACUUUCACUAUCUGCUUUCUGCCUUAGGGAAGACAUUCACUGAAGUUAUUAAGGUAGGGGAAAUGGUGGAAAAUGGCAUCAAGUCUUGAAAGAUUGUAAGUCAAGCUGCCUUAAAAGCCACAACACAAGUGCUUCAAAAUGGUUUUGGAAAUAUUGGAGGGAAGAAGAGAAGGGAGGAUGUGGCCGCUAUUGUAUCAGCGCCUAGAACUCAUGUCCAAGGUAAUUCCUCACAACACUAUUUUCCUUCCCAAGCUCCACAAUAUUCUGUCCCAUACACUCCAUAUCAUGUUUUUAAUGCACAACCAAUUGCACCCCCUUCUUAUCCACAAUGGCGUGCACCAACUCCACAAAAUCAUCCACCACCCCCACAAGUUCAUCUAAACACUGCUAGAAUUCCUUUCCGUCCUAGACCACAAUACAAAAAGGGAAAUGGCGUUAAAGGUGAGUUCACUCCUAUUGGGGAGUCGUAUGCUAGCUUGUUCCAAAAAUUAAGGACGUUGAAUGUUUUGAGUCCUAUUGAGAGAAAGAUGUCGAUUCCUCCCUCGAGAAAUUUGGAUUAUUCUCAACAUUGCGCAUAUUGUUCUAAUGCCCCAGGGCACAACAUAGAAAGAUGUUGGUAUUUGAAAAGGGCCAUUCAGGAUUUGAUCGAUUCUAAUCAAAUUAUAGUUGAAAGUUCGAGUAGACCCAACAUCAAUCAAAAUCCAUUGCCGAGGCAUACUGAAACAAACAUGCUAGAAAUGAUGAAGGGUCAUGAAGAGUUUGCAUCUCCGUAUAAGCCAAUACUUAGGGUUGGAACUGGCAUUGAGAAGUCAGCAAAUGUUGUUGAUUUAACAAAAAUGAUGCCUUUAGGGGCGGAAAGUGUGUUAGAAAAGUUGAGUCCAUCAAACACACCCAUCUAAACUGUGAAAGGAGCCCUUGAAGAUGUUUGGGCAAGUCCGAGUAAGGCAAAAUCGUUUGUUCCAAAAAGGCCAAACAAACCUAUCUUGAUCGUGCAAGGGGCCCAUAUUCCUCCUGUGAUUAUCAGGCCAGUAUCCCAGCUUCCAUUGACUAACCCCAAAGCUGUUCCUUGGAAUUAUGAACCUACUGUCGUGACAUACAAGGGAAAAGAAGUUGCUGAAGAAAUAGAUGAAGUGGGAGGAAUAACCCGUUCAGGAAGAUGUUAUGCCCCAAUGGAAUUAAGGAAAACAAAAAAUGACCAAAUACAAAUAAAGAGUUCGGUCACUGAAGGAGAGGCAGAGGAAUUCCUAAGGAAGAUGAAACUAUCAGACUACUCCGUGGUGGAAAAAUUAAGAAAAACUCCAGCCCAAAUCUCUUUGUUGUCUUUGCUAAUACAUUCUGAUGAACAUCGUAAGGAUGUAAUGAAAAUUUUGAAUGAAGCACAUGUUCCUAGUAAAGUUACAGUGAGUCAGUUAGAGAAGAUUACUGGGAGAAUAUUUGAGGUAAACCGCAUCACCUUUUCAGAUGAUUAACUACCCAAAGAAGGUACAGGACAUAACCAAGGCCUACAUAUCACUGUAAAGUGUGAUCUUUCAUAUGUCACUCGAGUUCUAAUUGAUGGAGGAUCUGGAGCAAAUAUUUGUCCUUUAUCAACUCUACAGAAAUUGAAUGUUAGUGCUGAAAGGGUCCGACCCAACAAUGUAUGUGUUAGAGAUUUUGAUGGGUCAAAAACAGAUGUUAUUGGUGAGAUAGAGCUCGUACUAACCAUAGGGCCUGUGGAUUUCGCUGUGAAUUUUCAAGUGUUGGAUAUCAACGCGUCCUACAAUCUAUUGUUGGGGAGGCCAUGGGUGCAUAGGGAUGGAGCAGUCCCCUCAACGUUGCAUCAAAUGAUUAAGUUUGAACACGACCGACAAGAGGUAAUUGUUCAUGGUGAGGGGGAUUUGUCAAUCUACAAAGACUCUUCCUUCCCUUUUAUCGAUGCGGAUAAUGAGAAUGAGGCACUAGUUUAUCAAGCUUCUGAGGUAGUGUUUAUUGAGCAUGUCCCCGAGGGGAGUGUCAUUCCAAAACCAAAUAUGCCCAUCGCGUCUGUAAUGGUGGUGAAUGAAUUGCUGAAACAUGGGUUUGAGCCGGGUAAAGGCUUAGGAAUCUGCUUGCAAGGAAGAGCUUAUCCUGUGAGUCUACGAAAGAGCAUCGGUACUUUUGGCUAAGGCUACCAACCUAGAUUCGAGGACAAAAUGAAGACAAAGAAGCAGAAGAGAGAUGUAUGGUCACUUACCAAGCCUAUACAACCAAUCUACAAAUCUUUCAUCAAAGCCCGCGCAACAGAAUCUUAUCAAUCAUCUUUUCCAGAGCCAGUGAUGAAAGUUAGCGAAGAAAUGAUCAACUAUUUUCAAGAUUUAUUUGUCGAGGUUGAUAUGGUGGAACUCGGAGAAGGCACUAGCGAUAGAGAUGUGCAAUUCAUUGGUCCUGAUGUCAAUCUAAACAAUUGGGAGGCCACCCCUCUCCCCGUUAAAGACGAGUCUUUGUAGUCUGUCUUGUUUUUUUCUUUUGCCAUCCGAUUCAUUCAAGGAUUGUAAUUCGGAUUUUAUCUUGUCGUUUUAUUUCAAACAUUCUAUUUCCCUUUUCAAUAGGAUGUAAUUGAAUCUUUAUUUCAGUCUAAUAUAUUUCUUCGUUUUCUUUUAUACAGUUCUUUCUAUGCCGAUUCUAGUGAUAUGACAUGCAUGCAGAAUUUUUCGUCAGAUCUUAAUAUCCAAUCUAAUCUUCGACCUAAUAUUGAAAUAAUAAGUCAAGAAAUCAACAUGAUGAAGACAGAGUAUUUGAAGAAGUAAGGAGGGAUUUCAAUCAUUUUGAAAAUAAGUCAAAUCCAAACAUGAGUGAAACUGAGACGAUAAAUCUGGGGGAUCAGGAAAUUAUUGAAGAGACUAAGAUAAGAGUACAUGUUCAACAUCAAAAGGACGAUAUAAUCCAGGCCUUGUUUGAUUACAAAGAUGUUUUUGCGUCAUCUUAUGAUGACAUGCCUGGAUUAAGCACGGACAUGGUUGUUCACAAGUUGCCAAUUGAUCCCAAUUUUCCUCCGAUAAAGUAGAAGUUGAGAAAACUGAAAACCGAUAUGAGUGUGAUAAUUAAAGAGGAGAUCACAAAACAACUUGAGGCCAAAGUCAUUCAAGUCGCUCAAUAUCCUUCUUGGUUAGCCAAUAUCGUACCUGUCCCUAAGAAAGACGACAAAGUUCGAAUAUGUGUUGAUUAUUGUGAUUUGAAUAAGGCAAGUCCAAAAGAUGAUUUUCCUUUGCCUAACAUCCAUAUUUUAUUGGAUAAUUAUGCUAAACAUGAGGUUGCAUCUUUUGUGGAUUGUUAUGCGGGCUACCAUCAGAUUAUUAUGGAUGAUGAAGAUGCAGAAAAAACAUCUUUUAUCACUCCAUGGGGUACAUACUGUUAUCGUGUUAUGCCUUUUGGAUUAAAAAAUGCAGGGGCUACUUAUAUGAGAGCAAUGAAAACCAUGUUUCACGAUAUGAUGCAUAGAGAAAUCAAAGUUUAUGUGGAUGAUGUUAUCAUUAAAUCUAAAAAACAGUCAGAUCAUGUGAAAGACUUAAGGAGAUUCUUCGAAAGGCUCUGCAGGUACAAUCUCAAGCUUAAUCCUGCAAAAUGUGUAUUUGGAGUACCAUCGAGGAAGCUUUUGGGGUUUAUAGUCAGUCGAAGAGGUAUCGAGUUGGAUCCUUCAAAAAUUAAAGCAAUCCAAGAAUUGCCACCUCCAAAGAACCAAACUGAGGUUAUGAGCCUUCUAGGAAGGUUAAACUACAUUAGCAGAUUCAUUGCUCAACUCACAACAACUUGUGAGCCUAUCUUUAAGUUGUUGAAAAAGAAUGCCACAGUCGAGUGGACCGAAGAAUGUCGACAAGCUUUUGAAAAAUUAAGAGUUACCUAUCAAAUCCCCCUGUGUUGGUUCCUCCCGAGCCGGGAAGACCUUUGAUAUUGUAUAUGUCAGUACUUGAUAAUUCUUUUGGUUGCGUACUGGGUCAGCAUGAUGACACUGGGAAGAAAGAGCGGUCCAUUUAUUACCUCAGCAAGAAAUUUACCGUUUACGAAGCAAAGUAUACCCUUCUUGAAAGAACAUGUUGUGCCCUAACUUGGGUAGCACAGAAGUUGAAACAUUAUCUUUCGUCUUACACUACUUAUCUCAUCUCUCGUAUGGAUCCGUUGAAAUAUAUUUUUCAAAAGCCCAUGCCCACAGGCAGGCUUACGAAAUGGCAAAUAUUGCUCACAAAGUUUGACAUUAUCUAUAUAAUGCGGACCGCAAUGAAAGCUCAAGCAUUGGCAGAACAUUUGGAAGAGAACCCUAUUGAUGAAGAAUAUGAACCACUUAAAACCUAUUUUCCAGAUGAAGAGAUAUCUUGUAUCGAUGAAGUUAUUCACGAUAACGAUCAAGGUUGGAAGUUAUUCUUUGAUGGUGCCUCUAACAGGAAAGGAGUUGGAAUAGGAGCUGUUCUUAUGUCUGAAUCAGGGGAAUAUUACCCUAUAUCAGCCCAAAUUAGAUUCUAUUGUACUAAUAAUAUGUCUGAGUACGAAGCGUGCAUUUUGGGUCUAAGGUUAGCUGUUGACAUGGGCAUCCAAGAAUUGUUAGUGUUAGGAGACUCAGACUUACUAGUUCAUCAAAUUCAAGGAGAAUGGGAAACUCGAGACCCAAAGAUGAUACCAUAUCAACAUUGUUUACAAGGUCUUUGUCAACGAUUCGUGUCGAUAAAGUUUAGAAACAUUCCCAGAAUUCACAAUGAGAUUGCAGAUGCAUUGGCCACUUUGUCUUCGAUGCUCCAACACCCUAAUGACGCCCAUAUCGACCCUUUAUACAUACAAAUUCGUGAUCAACAUGCCUAUUGCAACAUGAUUGAGGAGGAAUUUAAUGGUAAGCCUUGGUUUCAUGAUAUCAAAACUUAUCUUCAGUCUGGAGAAUGUCCGUCAGAUGUAACUAGUAAUCAAAGAAGGACUAUUCGACGACUAGGAAGGGGUUUUUUCUUAAGCGGAGGCAUACUGUACAAGAAGACACCCGAUUAAGGUCUUCUAAGGUGUGUAAAUGCUCAAGAGGCUUCCACAAUCAUGAUUGAAGUACACUCAGGAGUUUGUGGACCUCAUAUGAAUGGAUAUGUUCUAGCCAAGAAAAUACUUCGAGCAGGAUAUUAUUGGCUCACCAUGGAGCGGGAUUCCAUACGAUUUAUUCGUAAAUGUCAUGAAUGUCAAAUACAUGGUGAUUUAAUACAUUCUCCCCCUUCUGAGUUGCAUGCAAUGUCGGCUCCAUGGCCUUUCAUGGCAUGGGGAAUGGAUGUAAUUGGAUCGAUAGAACCAAAAGCAUCAAAUGGUCACAGGUUCAUCUUGGUGGCCAUUGAUUAUUUUACAAAGUGGGUGGAAGCAGUAACUUUCAAAUCAGUGACCAAGAAGGUCGUGGUGGAUUUCAUCCAUUUCAACAUCAUCUGUCGUUUUGGUAUUCCAAAGGUGAUUAUAACUGACAAUGCCGGAAAUCUCAACAGCCACUUAAUGCAAGAGGUAUGCUACCGAUUUAAGAUUAAGCAUCGAAAUUCGACUCCGUAUCGCCCAAAGGCAAACGGGGUUGUA